UGGACAAUCGUACAACACGAGAGAAUUAAGAUUGUUGAAUACGUGUAGUGCAAAAGGCAAGGAAGAAGAGUGCCAACCUGUUAUAGUUAAAGUGCGAAGGGAAUAACAGCUACACAUAUACAAAGAGAACCAUUCCAUAUUUCGACCAAAGAAGUCUUCAACUUCCAACUCUUUAAGAAAGGCACUAUUAAUUAGAACUUUCUCUAGGGUGGAUUCAAUGACGUGAGUUCCACAAAGGAUGGCCCUUAUCAAGCAUGAUGGCAAUUCAUUUAUCGAAAUGCCAUCACAUCUCUUUAGUUCUAUAUCACUGAUAUUAGCAGCCUUGGGAAUUGAAGCCUCCAACUCUUCGCAAUCAAUAAUUUCCAACUUUUGCAAACAAGGAAGAUGAUGAGGCAGAGCACUUUUCAACUUGGGACAUUGUUUUAGACAAAGCUCUUGAAGCAAAGGGAAACCUUCAAGGCAUAACCAUUCCUUCCAUUCAGACAUAUACUCCACCCGCAAAGUUUCAAGGGAUCUAAAUGCAGCAUAAUUAUAGCCGAAAAACUCUGAACCAAUGUUCUCUAUUCCAUGACAGCCGGAAAUGGAAAGCUUCUUGAGAGAAUGGAACUGCCCAAGUGGUGGCAACUGGGAACAGUGUUUACAUCCAAACAAUUCAAGAGAUACUAAAUUGGGUAGAUGAUGAUCCCCAAGCCAAUUUGGAAAGCUACUACCUCUGUAGUCAUUGAUGGUGAGCCUCAUGAGAUUUCUAUUUGGUUGAAGAGCCUCCAAGACCAAGAGACGUGCUUCAGUUUCUGAGCCUUCCAUUUCUCUCCAUUCAUCGUAUGACAUGAUUAAUUCUUGUAAAUGUUUCUUAUCUUUCAAAUUUGCUGCCAUAGCAUCUGCUGGAUCGGUCACAUUCUUCAACCCUGAAAUUUGAAGCCUUCCUUUAAGGUGGUUAAGUUCUUCCAACAGCUUAAUAUCAUAUCCAUGUUGCUCUCCCACAACAAAAUCAGUCAGCAUCUCAAGAUUGAUUAAUACUCUUAUCUCCUUUGGCAUCUUCUUGAUAUGUGUGCCUUUCAAAUUAAGAUGACGUAAAUUGAUGAGUUUGCCAAAAUUUGAUGGGAGCUCAGUCAAUUUAAAACAUUCUUCCAGUAAGAGCGUAUGCAAAUUAUACAGCAUACAAAUGGAAUUAGGUAAGCUUGUAAUGUCGGUGUAAGAAAGGUCUAGAUAUCGUAGAAGCUUUAAAUUUCUUAUCUCAUCAGCUAGCUCUAAGAGAUUGCAACCAUUGAAAGACAACCUUCGCAAAUAUUUUAGUCUAAAAAACAAAUUAAGCUGAACAUCGGUGCUUAUCUGAAAGCGCUGGUCACCAUAGCCUUGUGCUUCUACCAUCAGACUCUGUAGUCCUUUAAUGUCACGAAUCUGCUUUAGUUUUCUAUCACCAUCUUCCAAAUCAAGGCAGCACCAAAUGUGACGUGUCCUUUGAGGGAUAUCUUGCACGUUAUCACCCUCUAUUCGUAAGUGGGAUUCUCCUGUCAAUGAUUUCGCUAAAUCACUGGCAAGAUCAUGCAUGAUGAAAUAGUACUUACCAGCCCAUAAUGGCAUAAUUGCUGAUUGUUGGAAAAAUGACAUUGACACUAGAUGAUCAAAGAAUUCAUUACCCAACUCUUCUUCAUUUUUGUCUUUUCCGCAACACUUUAGCAAACCUUGUGCCAUCCAAAGCUUGAUUAAUCCAUCCUUUUCAAACUUAUAACCCUUGGGAAAUAUAGAACAAUAUGCAAAACAAUGCUUCAGAUUUGAAGGGAGGUUAAGGUAACUCUGUCUUAGAAAGGAAUAAAUGCUUCUGUCACUCUUAGGUAAACUCCACAAAUCAGUCUCUAAUAUCUUAACCCAUUCAUUUUCAGAGAAUCUUCUUUGCAAGAGAAUCCCCAAUGUUUUUAGAGCAAAAGGCGACCCCCCACAUUUUUCUACUAUUUUCAUACCAAUCGAUUCAAGAUUUGGAUAUUCAAACAUAUUCCUGCCUUCAAAAGCAUGUCUUACAAAUAAACUCCAAGAGUCACUCUCCUCCAAUUGCCUUAAAUGAAGUAUCUGGGUGGAUCUCAUGACUGAUGCAACUUCUUUAUCAUGUGUUGUCACUAUCAUCCUCCCUCGAAAAGAGUCCGGGUUAAAAAUAAGUAGUAACUGCUCCAGCAUAUUCCAAUGUUUGAUCCAUACAUCAUCUAGAACAAGCAAAUAUUUCUUCCCUGCUAGCCGCUGUUGCAAUUGAUGUUUAAGUAUUUCCUUGUCUUCAUCAUAUAAUGUUGAUAAAGAAAUUGACUUGAGAAUUGAUUUCAUGAGAUGACGAUAGUUAAAAGAUUUUGAAACAUGGAUCCAUCCUAUAACUUCAAAUUGAUCCCUCGUCAUGUGGUCAUUAUAAACAAGCUGCGCAAGGGUUGUCUUACCUAUCCCGUUCAGACCCACGAUACUGAUUAUGGGUACCCGGUUGUCACCGUGACUGUAUGAAAGUAAAAAAUCAAUUAUUUCUUCUUUCUCAUGCUCUCUACCAUAUAUGAUAGAUUCAUUCAUGAAUGAUGAAGUUCCAAAAUUGCUGGCUCCAUCUUCAUGAUAACAAUAAUCCUGAUGAAGUUGCAAUCUAUCAUUUUGUUUUGCAAGAACCUUUAGCCUCUUGAUCAAUACUUUAAUCCUAGAUUCAAAUCGAUUGAUAGAACCUGAAAGAAAGCGUUGUAUCUUUCCCUUUUGUUGUGCGGCGUCAGUAGCAAUGACAUCCAACAGUUGCUCUACUUCGUAUAUCUUAUUCCUGAUAUCAUCAACCCAAUUCUUUACGUCUAGAUUUUCGUACUGCUUUGUCUCUGCGUCAUCAAGCACUUUAUUGAUUGAAACCAAUGUGAUUUCAAGUUUUUUCACAUGCUUUUCAUGGAAGUAGUCACUCAAAUCUGUUGAAGCUAAUCUCUCACAAAUCAAUUGAAUGACGGGGGAAAGAAAUGCCCGACGAACAACAACCUCUGCCAUGAUAUCAAUUAAUUCAACAAAACCAAAAUGAUCAGGGAUGCAGACUAUAUGCAAGAUCAGUUUGGUCAACGAAUCCCCACACCUACCAUAUUACCAUGUUGGUGGUAGUUCUGAUAACACAAUUACUAGAUCCGAUGUUGAUGAAGAUGGACAUGGAGAGAAAUGAAUCUUGAGUUGAAUUGAUUGGGUGAAGUUCGGAGAAACGUUAGAGAUGAGGAUGAUUGGAUGGAGUUGUUGAAUUUUCAAUGAUUUUUUUUCUAUACAUCAUACAUUAAAUAAGAUUUAGGGCUAAAGUGCACGCACUUUUUCACCCAUAACUUUCAAAAACUUGCAAUUUUGAUCCCUUAAGUACAAAAAUUACAAUUUUACCCUUAAGAUUUAGUCUCAUUGCAAAUUUGAUCAUUUUGAUCUAGUCGCAUGUCUGUAAUUAAUUAAUUAAAAAAAUUAAAAAACCAAAAAAUGAAUUUUUAAACUAAAUAAAUGAAAAAAGAAUUAAAAAAUCAGAAAAAGAAUUUUUUUCCUUCCUCAUCUUCUUCCUUCCUUCCUCUUCAACAUUAUCUUCCUACAACUUCAUAAAAAAACUCAAAAACAACUAUAUAGGUGAAAUAUUAUUAUAUGAUAUAUAUUCUUUUUCUUCUUCUUAUGAAAACACCCCUAUCACAUAAUUUCCAGAAUCUGCAUAUCCCUCUCUCUUAGCUCUCUCUUUGUUCCGUAAUUUCCACCGAUUUCAAUUUCGGUUCACAUUUACCAUACAUAUAAAUCAAACUAGUUCCCACAAACACAUCCUGAUCCAAACCACACUUCAAAACCGACUCAUGAACCAAUUUUCCAACCAUAACCCCAAGAAAGUUCAUGUCUGCUAACGGUAAACUUCUCUGUCCGAUUUUCCAACUGAACCAGUUUUGCAGCAAUUUGAAGGAAGGGGAAAGUUGGUGAUAGUUCUGAUAGCACAAUUACUAGAUCCGAUGUUGAUGAAGAUGGACAUGGAGAGGGAUGGCUUUCAAAUAUCACAUGAGAGAAAUGAAUCUUGAGUUGAAUUGAUUGGGUGAAGUUCAGAGAAACGUUAGAGAUGAGGAUGAUUGGAUGGAGUUGUUGAAUUUUCAAUUUUUUUCCUGAUUUUUUUAUUUUUUAUUUUUAUUUUUCAUUUACUUAAUUAAAAAAAUGAUUAUAGGUUUUUUUAAUUUUUUUAAUUCAAUAAUUACACAUGUGGCGUGCCAAGUAGGCAUUGAUUAGUCAAAAUUGGCCAAAAGGACCAAAGAUGCAAAUGUUUAAAUCUUAGAGGGUCAAAAUUAUAGUUUUUGUACAUAGGGGCCAAAAUCACAAUUUUUUAAAACUUAGAGGGGCACUUCAGCCUAAGAUUUACUGUGUAAAUUAAGAUACAUUGGAAAUGUAAAGUGAAAAUGGCCAACAACAAUUAAGUGGUUAAUGAGCUUCAAUCGAGUUUGGAUGGAUGGAAUAAUUCUUAGCCAAGUAGAUAUUGCGGAAGAACUUUGGAUUACCAACUUCUCAUUUUUUAUGAGAUGAAGCAAAGGAAGAAAAAUGUAAAAUUUCGGGUGCUUUUCCAUAUGAAAAGCAAUCUAUUAGAAAAGGUAAGUAAGUAAUAUGAAAUGCAAUCUAUAGCAGGAAAAAAAUGAUGAACAGUUAGCAUAGAUAGGAAAUGACUUGGGCGUGUUUCAAGUUUCAACUAAGUGAGAUAUGAUUGAUCACUAAAAUGAGAGAAUACAAAAAAACAAAAAAAAAAAAUUGGGAAACGUCAAUAAUUUAUUAUUCACAACUACAUUUUUAAAUUGAUAAAAAUGAAGAUAUCACUAAAGUGAUAUCACCAAAAUGAAAAUACUAUAGAAAUUUUAGGGGUCAAACACCCGUAUAGGCCACCUCCCUCUAUGCCGAUCACCAUGUUUUCUAAAGCUCCCUUUGUGGUUGAAGUUGACACCGUUCUCAAAUGCAUUAAAUCAAUCCUAAAUGGACAUCUUGUGGUAGAGAUGGGUUGCGAGCCCAACACCUUUUAGAUGCAUUGUGUGGAGAAGGUUCAAUUGUGACUAGAGAUCUUUUGUGUGAUAUCACUUUAGUGGUUAACCUAUGAUUAGGAGGAAGAUGUGCCUUGAGUUUGGUAGAGUUUGUAGCUUCUUCACCCUUGACACCAUUGUUAAAUCCUGAUGGUGGAAUACACCCUAUUGCAGUAGGUACUAUUUGGAGGCGUUUGGUAUCCAAAGUUGCUAUGAAAGGAGUUGGUAAAGAUAUGGCUAUCUCAAUGGAUUUCAGUUUGGUGUUAGGGUUUCAAGUGGGGCGGAUGCCAUUUUGCACAGUGUCAAUAGAGUAUUGAACCUACGACAUGGAGAUGAUUCCUUGACUAUGCUUACAGUAGAUUUUUCGAAUGCCUUCAACUUGGUAGAUAGAUCAGCACUGCUACGUGAUGUGAGAUUGAGAUGCCCAUGUAUUUCUCUAUGGGUUGAGUUUCUUUAUGGCGAAGCAGCGAGGUUAUACGUUGGCGGUGGGCAUAUUAUGUCUGCUUAUAGAGUGCAACAAGGUGACCCAUAGGGCCGCUCCUUUUUGCUCUUAUGUUACACCCUCUUAUUCAUCAGAUUAGAAAUAGUUGCAAGAUUCUUCUUCAUGUUUGGUAUCUUGAUGAUGGGACUCUUGUAGGGGAUUCAAAGUAGGUGGCUAAAGCUCUGGACAUCAUUCGAGUUUUUGGACUAGAAUUGGGUCUGGUAUUGAAUAUUCGUAAGAUUGAGAUCUUUUGGCCUUCAUGUGAUGUAAUCAGCAUCGCGAGGGGUUUUUCCCUAUGGAUAUUGGGAGGCCGUCAUUGGGGGUGAAAUUGUUUGGAGGGGUUGUUAGCUGAGAUAAUGGUUUUAUCGAGAGGUUGGUCAUGAAGAGAGUUUCCAGUGUUGUUGAGUUAAUGCACCUUCUUCCACAGUUACGAGAUCCUCAGAGUGAGCAUCUUCUACUUCGAUCAUGCAUGGGUAUCGCCAAAAUUUUCGUUGACCUAAGAACGUGCCAACCAAUUCACAUGGAGGAGGUGGUUGUGUUGUUUGAUAAAGAGUUGUGUGGAGCGGUUGAGGAUAUUGUGGUUUAUGGAGGUCCAUUCUUUGGGGACCUUCAAUGGAGGUUGGCUUUUUUACCUAUUAGGUCUCUUAUAGAUAGUUGGCAAGUGUACCAAUAACUAUCGAAGUAGUAAUAAAUAUUGUUCCACAACACUGGAAACUAUUAAUUCCAAUUAUAGCAAGUACGUUAUUAUUUUAGGAUAUGUAAAAGUUAUUUUGAUUGCCCCAUGCAGAUGAUUUGAAUGUAACAGAAGUAAGUAAAAGUUGUUUGAAAGAUGAUUUGAGAAGAAUGAUUAAGCCGAUGAAUCCCCUAUUGUUCUAUAUGAGUAGUUAACUCCCUUAUUUACUAAUCACUAUUUAGUCUUUACGACAAAUUAUCUAAGUAGUUUUGAUCAAUCUCUUGAAUCAAAACCCUUUCCUAAGUUAUAACCUUUUAAUCUCUUAAACCGAUUGAAUAACCGCGGAAGCGAUGUCUGAACGUUAAUUCAUAUGUCAUGAUUCUCAAUUUCCUAUCUCUAGGUUCCUAUGUUGAAUCAAACAUGAUUACUAAUUCAGGAUUAAAAUCUAGGGUUAGUGGUCAUUCAAUUCCUAAUAUCAAUUCAUGUAAUUUCAAGAAGCUAGGGUUAAUAGUCAUACAAACAAUUAAAUGAAAGCAAUGAACACAAGUGAUUCUGAAUAAAGACUGAAUAAUAUUAUUAAAUAAGAGAGUAUCAACUACUAAAUCAUAUAUUACAAAGGUUCAUCAUGGCUUAAUCAUACCAAGAGUUUAGCUACUCAUGGCUUUACGAUUAUAAACAUAAAUAAGAGUGAACAUACAUAAAUCUGGACCAACUAUGAGUUGGUAUGAGAUUCAGGGCUUGUUCUUCGGUCUCCUGGUGUCUUCUAUGCUCAAAAUCGCACUUCCCAAUCAAUCCCUAAUCCUUGGCCGCAGCUGGCCUUAUAUAGAAAGAAUUUUAGGGUUCCAAAAAGCCCAUCAUCGUGCCACGAUACGAUCCAAUCGUGGCACGAUAGCUUCAUUAAUCCUACGUGGCAGCAGACAAAACCUAGCAUUAUGGCACAUUGCAUAUUGCUUCAUAACACGAAAUUUCCAGCGCUGAAUCCUUUGUCCCACGUUCAAAUGCCGUGCCACGAACAAGCUUCAUCAUGGCACGAUGCUUCACUCUUAGGAAUUUUUAAUCUUUUUCUCAGUUUCUUCUCUUUGAGCUCUUGUUCCUGUUUUGGUCUGAUUUAACCAUGAUUUACAAGCAGUUGUCUCUCUAAAUGUCAUAAAAACGACAUAAACAUAGCUAAAAACUAGUGUUGAUGCAACAUCAUCAGUCUCGGGGGUUGGGUUUAUACUCACCAGUAGAGGCUUCCUCGUACGCUUUUGUGGCUUCUAAGGCACAGUUUGUUGAAACAAAAUGUGUUUAACAUUACCACCUUAAGUUUUAAUGAUAAAAAAGUAUUAAAAAGUCAAUUGGAUAUGCUAAUAUGAUGGUGAGAAAAACACAAGAAGGGGGGUUGAGUUGUGGUUUCUUUUUCUUUUCUCCUAUUGAAGUCACUGUUCAGAAGCAGAUAGAGUUCAGCUUCUAAAGUGAGGUUCAGAAUCUAAAUGCAGCAAAUAAGUAAUGAAAGAGAGAGAGAGAGAGAGAGAGAGAGAGAGAGAGAGAGAGAGAGAGAGAGAGAGAAGAAAGACACAAAGCAAUUAUACAUGUUUCUUCCAUAAACCGGAAGUAGUUCUGUCCCCCUUGCACUUCCAAGGAGAGUUCACUAAAAUCAAUAUAUUUGAUUACAACAGCUCACUGCUAAAACUAGCAAGAGACUUGAAACUACUCAAUCACAACUACAAGAUGUUUCCUAUGCUCAAGAACAAAAUCAAGACACUUCCUAUGCUCAAGCACAACUGCAAGAGACUUCUAUUCAAAUAGAAUUACAAAGAAAGAUGUUUAAGGUUGAAGACUUGAUAUACAAUCAGUGGUGUUCACAAUACAAAUCAGAUACAGACUCUUAAGACUCUAGAAUUUCUAAGAUAUGAAAGUUGAUAAGAAAUUCUAAGUGAGGUAGUUAAUUAUAACAAUUGAGUAAAUCAUCCGUUGUACUUUGAGGGCUGCUAGCAGGUGUUGCCGUUGUGAUGUUGUGGGAGUUUGCUAGCAUUUUUUUGGUUGUUGCUGAAAUGGUUAUGCUACGAGGCUUUUGUUCUUUUAUUUGGACUUAUAGGUUGCUGAUAGUGAGACAGGUCUAUGCGUGUUAACAAAUUUUAUUAGGUUGGCUGCUUAAAUAAAAAAAAAGUCACGAUACCUGAUGCGGUUCUAGAAACAACGACAAUUCUCACGAUAAUUGGAAAUUAUGCGGCAAUUUGGAACGACAAAAUUGAACAAUCAAAAUGGGAAGAAGAAUGAAAAAGAAACAAAAAUUGAUCAAUAUGGAAGAAUAAAGAAGAAGAAAUUUGAAAGAAUGAGAUGUUUUUAUUCUCACGUUUGGGGUUCUGGAAUGGAAGAAAUUUUAUGAAUGUAAAUGAUGAAUUUAAGGACAUCUAGAUGAAAGAAAUUUAAUGUAAAAUUUUAUUUGUUAUAAGUCUUGUAGUUGUAAAGUAGGAAAUGUCCCUUUCUUGUACCUAGGUAUGCCUAUUGGUGGUAACCCUCGAAGAUUGUGUUUCUAGGAACCUAUUGUGAAUCAUAUUAAAUCUAGACUGUCGGGUUGGAAUAGUCGGUUUCUCUCUUUUGGUGGUCGCUUGGUUCUACUCAAAUCUGUCUUGACAUCUCUGCCUGUCUAUGCACUUUCCUUCUUCAAAACUCCAACAGGUAUAAUCUCCUCUAUUGAAUCUUUGUUAAUUAAUUUUUUUUUGGGGGGGGAGUGAGGAUAAUAGGAAAAUUUCUUGGUUAAGUUGGCAAACUGUUUGUUUAAAACAUGAGUAUUGCGGUUUGGGGGUGCGGAAAUUGAAGGAGUUUAAUUUAGCUUUGUUAGGAAAAUGGUGUUGGCGGAUGCUGGUGGACAGAGGUGGUUUGUGGUAUAGGGUUUUAGUCGCCAGGUAUGGCGAAUUAGGUGGCAGGUUGGAGGUUGGGGGCCGGAGUGUUUCUUGCUGGUGGUCGGAGGUGAGGCGACUUAGGGAUAGGGUAGGCGAUGGUGGUAGCGGGUGGUUUGAGGAUCAGGUGUUGAUGAGAAUGGGUGAUGGGGUUGACACUUCGUUUUGGUCUGAUAGGUGGAUAGGGGAGGCUCCUCUUUGUGUGCGGUUUAGACGGUUGUUUGAGUUAAUAGAGAAUAAGUCUAUGUCCGUCGCCGACUUGCUCUCUGUUGAUUCGGAGCGGUGGGGGGAGGUGUGGAGGUGGAGACGUAGGUUAUAGCAGUGGGAGGAGGAGUUGCUAGAUGAGUGUAGGGCUUUACUUCUUGAUGUUUCUUUGAAUCCUAAUGUUUCAGAUAACUGGGUGUGGCUUCUGGACCCAUCUGGUGGAUACACAGUUCGAGGUGCAUAUAGUUUGUUAAUCUCUCAAGUACCUCAGGUCGCCGACUAUGCUAUGGAUUUUGUGUGGCACAAACAGGUUCCCUUGAAGGUUUCUGUUUUUGCAUGGAGGCUCAUCCGUGAUCGUUUACCAACAAGGACUAAUUUGAUUGCUAGACGGGUGUUGUCGCCUGACAUGUCCUCGUGUGUUGCUGGUUGUGGUCAUCCUGAAUCGGCACGCCAUCUAUUUUUAUUGUGUGAUACUUUUAGUUCUCUGUGGCAUUUGGUGCGAGAUUGGAUUGGUUGCUAUGGGGUGGAUACAGAUAAUAUUUCAGAUCAUUUUUUACAGUUCACUCAUUUGACAGGUGGUGGUGUUGCUAGACGUUCUUUUAUGCAACUAAUAUGGCUUUUAUGUGCCUGGGUUGUUUGGAAUGAACGUAAUAACCGUAUGUUUAAUCAUGUUGUUACCCUCAUCUCUUGUUUACUAGAUAAGAUUAAGCUGUUGUCUCUAGGUUGGUUGAAAGCUAAAAAAGCUACCUUUGUUUUUGGGACUCAGCAGUGGUGGUCACGCCCUCUUGUUUGUUUGGGUAUUGACUAAUGUUUUUCUGGUGUGUUUUGUUUGUAAUUGUUGUAACUCUUGGUUUCUGAGGUAGUCUCUAAGGCACAUCUUGUGCAUUUGAGACUACCCUAUUUCGUAUAUAAUUCCAUUUUAGCUUGUUCAAAAAAAAAAGAUUGAACACCUUAAUAUAAAAAAAAUAAAUCAUUUGUUGUUUCAAAAAAAAAAAAAAUUAAAAAUAUUAAAAGUUACCUUAUGAUUAAGAUUAACUCUCCUUAAAAAAAAAAUUAAGAUCAACUCUUUUAUUUUUAAAAAAAAUCUACUCAUUUAUUUGACAUUUAAUGGUACCUAUAUAUAUUACAUUUUGAUUAGUUGAUAUCAUGAGAGGGUAAAUUACCCUCUAAACAAGAGAGCGUAACGUAGGCCUCACCCAGGGGAAGCCGUUAAUUAAAGAUAUGAAGGCUUGAAUAUAUUAGAAGAUGGGAUCAAUAAUUCAGCAGCGACAUGAGUAAUCAUAAGAAAACAUUCUAUAAAUAACAGGUUGAUAUAUAAUAAAAAUCUUAUAUCAAACUUUGAUAUAAAAAAUAAAAUCUUAAUGUUCAAUGAACAGAAGAAAAUGAAGAAACAUUUGGAAGAAAAUAUUACCUCUAGAAUUAAUGGUUGUUGUGGAUAAUUCAGCAGUGACUGAACACAAGAGCAUGCAAGAAUAGGUAGGAUCUUUUUUUUAGGCAAAUAUUAGGUAGGAUGCAAUCAAAAACGAAAAUAUAUAUAUAUAUAUAUUCGUCGGAUAUUUUAUCAAAAUAUAUUUCGUCGGAGAUCCUAAAUUAUCCAAUAAAAAAACAAAAAUGAAAAAUUGGAUGGUUCAUGCCUCAUGGUGUGUGAAUCUGGUUUUAAAAAUGGUAUAUAUAUUAUUGGAUGCAAAAAUUAACAUCAAAUGUACACUGGCUUAGUGGCAACACAGACUGACAAUGUCUCACACGUGCCUGGUAGGAGAAAACAAAAAGCGGCUGCCUUUGACACGUGUCAAAAUCUGCCGGUCCCGCCAUUUCAUAUGGCGGUAAUGGCAAAAAAAAAAAAAAAAGUGGUCAGUCAGGAUGCGACACGUGUACCGGCGGCCCAGUCCCGCCGUUUCAGAUGGCAGGAACGAGGAAAAAGACAAAAAAAAAAGUUGAUCAUUUUGGUAAAAAAAAAAUCAAAGGGGAAAAAAUUCACUUUUAAAAGUCUAGGUACCUGAACAGGAAGGUUCCACUUGGUUUUGUUUAAUUACAAUUUAAAAUUCUUCAAUUUUUUUUAGUAAGAAUCAAACUAUAAUUAUAAAAGAGUUGUGUUAUUUGAACAACCAUUUUUAUGACAACUUUCGAUACAACCAUAAAUUUGUAAAGAAAAAGUGGUAUUGACACAAAAAUCAAAGCAAUAGAGAGAGAAAGUAAAAACAUAAUGUGAGUAUGAGAGAGAAAAUUGUCACAAAAGUUGUCAAAAAUAGUUGUACAAAUAUCAUUUCUCAUUAUAAAAUUACUAUUUUAAUCUUAACUAAAAAUGCACAAGGGAGAGCCAUUAAUUAAAGAUAUGAUCAAUAAUAAUUCAGCCCCUAGCAUACUUAAUCACAAGAAAACAUUCUAUAAAUAACAGGUGGAUAUAUAAUAAAAAUGUUAUAUCAAACUUGAUAUAAAAAGUAAAAUCUUAAUGUUGAAUGAACAGUAGAAAAUGAAGAAACAAUUGGAAGAAAAUAUUACCUUUAGAAUUAAAGGUUGUUGUUUAGAGUUCAGCAGUGACUUAACACGAGCAUAUGCAAUAUUAGGUCGGAUGCUUUUGUUUUAGCCAACAUUAGGUUGGAUGCCAAUUAUAGUGCGUUGAUGCCCUUUAAAUCAAAAAGUAAAAAAAGUUAAAACAAGUGGUAGGAAGGUUCCACAUGGUCAACAUGACUCAAGAACAGGAAGGGUGUUAUGAAGUUACUUGCAUAUAGGUGGACCCAUCUGGUAGCUGAAACAGUGGUAGCUAGUUUCAUCCAGUUUGGGGAGGAAGGUGUAAAAAGAGGGGAGGGAGGUGUGAAUACGAUAAUAUACAAGGCUGGUUGUGAGAUGUAUGUAUGGUAGCUAGUUUCACACAGCCAGCGGGCCUUCCAGUUCAGUCCAAUUGCUGCAGCGAUUUGGCACCCCUAUCUUUUUAUUUCAAGGGACAAAUUCAAGUCGGAUGCUUCAAGGAACAAGUCUAAUUUGGAGGGUUUGGAGCUUGACGGUAAAGUGGUUCUGGUUCCUUGAGGUGUGUUUCUGACGCGGAUAGGAAAUUUCAUAUAUCUUCUCCAAGCUCGGAUGCACGUUAUGGGUGUGAUUGGUUUGCAAAACAGAAGUACCAGAGAACAGUGCAAGAUAGGACAGCACAAGCAGAACAACACAAGACGAAUUUUUAUGGUAUUGAAUAAUUUUCUUUAUUAUAUGAUUUUUUGGUGACGAAAUGUUAUUUUUGUAUUUUAGACACGUGUGACAAAAAGUUGUGCUGUGGUUUGGCGAGGGGACAAAAAUUACAGUUUUUGUCCUGUCCCUUACCUCCAGUUUGACCUGUUUCUGAAACUGUUUUACAAAUCAAACACUGGACAACUGGAGUUGUUUUAUCCUGUCCUUCAUUUUUUAUAAAAUCAAACGCACCCUAUAGGUCUCUCGUCUUUACUCGUGAUGCGGUGCAAUAAAGGAGGCGGAGACAAAAGGGGCAAUUUUGAGUUGGAACCUUCCUCUAUUCCAAAACAUAGUAUUGAAUCAUAUAGAAGAGAGAUGGAGUGCAGAGUCAUUUCAUCUUAAGGCAUCGUUAGGGAGAUGUUGGUUCCUCGGCCUCCGACACAUGGAUGUUUGCCAUGUAUACCACCUAUGCUUUAUUCGUUUUUGUCCAGAGAAAGGGGUUCCUACACCCACACCUCAUAGGGCAUGGAUGUUUCAGGGUCUUCACUUGACCAUUCAGCUUGAGGAGUUUCCCCUUAGGUAAAAGUAAAGGGUUAGUUAUUCUUUCAGUAGGGAGGAUGGUUUUUAGACUGAUAAGAUGAUGGGUUUUGAUGAAAAAGAUAUUAUCAUGACAAGGUGAAGGAAGUUUGUUGAGGUGAAUAGUGUUGGAACAAAAUGUGUUUCACAAUGAACCUUAUUAAGUUUUGAUGAUAACAAGGUAUUAAAAAUUGUCAAUUGGUUAUUACUAAUAAUUGUUCAAGUGUACAGGACCAAAAGGCUACUCAAGUUAUUUCAAUAGGUCUUGGAAGAACAAUGGAAAGAAAAAAGAAAUUCUGAGCAUCUGAAGAAAACUGCUCCUGAAGCUGAAGUGCUUCUAAAGUGAUGACGUCAUCAGAAGCAGAAAGUCAUCAGAAGCAAAAGUUUUCAUCAGAAGCAAUAUCUUCACCAGAAGCUACGUUUGAUCCUUUAAUCAAACUGAAGAUUCAAAGUAGCUGAUUCUCAAUUCAGUCUUAUCCAAGAAGAACGAAGAAUUGAAAGGGAGGUAUCAACGGAUAUAUGGAUAGCACUGAGCACUUGUCUCUCGUUAAUAGAGUUGACAAAGUACAAGUGUACAACCACUACCUCCACUACUCUGUUUUCUGUCUACGCUACAAGACAAAACAACAGCCAUGCCUGCAUAAUUUGUACGUUCAAGAUGGGAAUGAAUUUGAAGCUUAUUCUUCAAAGGACUACACCCAAAUCAGGCAAAGGAUCAUUGGUGGAUAAUCAAAGGAUUUCAAACGACUCUUUAGACGUGCUGAUUAUCUCAACGUCUCUUUCACGCCUCUAUAUAAAGGAGUGAAGACUUGAAGAUUAUACAUAGAGAUACAUAAAUUCAAAAGCGCCAAAACUCUGUCAAUUUGAUUCUACAAAGCACACUGAAUUUCUGCACUGAUUUGAUACAUCUUAGAAAUUCAAAGUCUAGAGUCUUUACUGUAUUGUAUUGUGAACACCACUGAUUGUAUAUCAAGUGUUCAACUCAAACUCAAUUCUCUGUAUUUUUGUUUGAUUAGAAGUCUCUUGCCUGCGUGCUUGAGCAUUAGAAGUCUCUUGCUUAGUGCUUGAGCAUUGGAAGACUCUUGCGUGUGUGCUUGAGCAUUUUUGUGAAGUCUCAUACUUAGAAAGUAUUGAGCAGUUGUAAUCUUUGUGAUUAUAGUGAAAUCUCCUUGGAAGUGCAAGGGGGACUGGACUACUUCCGUGUUGUGGAAGGAACCAGGAUAACUGCUUGUGUCUUUGUCUUUCUUUUCUCUGCUCUGUUCUUUUCCGCUGCAAUCUGACUCUGAUCAUUUCAUCAGAAGCAAUCAAACUGCUUCUGAAGUUUUAUCAGAAGAAGUAUUUUUUAAGAGAAAAAGAAAACACAAUUCAACCCCCCCCCCCCCCCCCCCCCCUUCUUGUGUUUUUCACCUUUAAAUAGAUGAUUAUAGGAUCUAAUAAUAUUAAGGGUCUAGAUGGUAGGAUCAAGAAGACAAAGGUACGAGACUUCAUUGCAUAUAACCAUCUUGAUUUUCGUUGUGAUACAUGAAACUAAGUUAGAUCAAAUUUCAUAUGCUCUAAUUUAUUUACCUUUGAUAGAAUUCUUUUUGUGAUUGGAGUUUCACUCCGUCGGUUGACAUAAUGUUGGGAUUAUGUCUAUUUGAUGUAAAACCAACUUGACUUUAGUCUUCUCUUUUUGGAGCCCCGACUAUAUGGGGAUGUGCCUAGAUUAGGGGAGAAAAGGGUAAUGUGGGAUCAUAUGAUGAGUACUUUUAAUGCUUUGGGGGUAUUUGGUUGGUGUGUCUUUGGUGAUUUUAACUCAGUCUAGGAGGAGUGCGAGCAGAGGGUCGUUCUUCAUAUCUUAGGAGUGGGGACACGAUUUAGAUCACGGUCACGGAGUUUGCUAAUUUUGUUUCCCAAAUCGGUCUCUUUGAUCUACCCCUCAUUUGAAGGCAAUUUUUGGGGUUCCAACCUCAUGGAACCGCAAUGAGUUGCUUGGAUUGUAUUCUGAUAUUUGUUAAAGUCAUUGCUUUUGAAAAUAAUUCUGAACUAGUUUCUUGAUCAGCUCAUAUUGGCUUUGCAGUGCUUGAAGCUUCACCUUCUUUGACUUGUCAUGACCACCUUAUGCUUUAUUAAGAGUAUCCCAAACACCUUUUGUGGUUUCUUGAUAAACUAUCUUUUCAAAGAUAUUGGGAUCAACACUUGAAUGAAUUAGGAACAAGCCUUUUCCAUCCGUCUUCUUUUGCUCUCAAUUGGCAGAUCUUUGUGCAUCACCAGCAUUAUCUGGCAAAUCUAGAACACAUCUUGAAAUCAUUCACAUUCACGAUUUCAAACACAUCUUGAAAUCUGAAUAUGACUUUCAUUUUAGGACACCACUUGUCACAUUUCUGACCUUUGAAGAUGGGAAGAUUUGCAGGAAAAAUGUCCAUUGUUUGUGGAAUUCGCCAUUGUUGAAAAUUAAAAUUGUUGUAUCCAAGAUCGAAUCAAUUGUUACACCAGUUUGUUGGAACACUUGAUGGUUUUGAAGAAGGGGAAAUGUGGUAAAAGGAGAAAAUGUGUGCUAUGUGAAAGAAUCAAAAGUUUUUAUUUAUUAACAAUUGUACAAUUAACAUCCGUUGAGAUUACUUAUAUCCGAAAUAGCUCAACUAACUCUAAAACAAACUAGUUGCUUGGCUAACACGUUACAGACUCAACUAACUAUAUCUAAUGAUUAAUUGUCCAACAUUGAAUUACAUCACAAAAGUUAGCACAUGUUAUUUGAAAGGACAAAACUUAUGCACAGUUUCAUACCUGCUGUUUUUGCUAUUUUCAAAUCAAAACGUGACAUCUGUACAACUUAUCCACGUCAGCUAACGUAGUGAAAACGGCGUGAAGUUCUUAACGUUUCCAGCAAAUUCCUGUUUUAGGAGCACUACACAACCACCGUCCCCAUGCGCUAACAACAUAAACUGGCAAGGAGAGAAUCUAAAAGAGCAAGGUAAAGAAUUGAUGGAGAUGCACAUAAAGAGUAAGAGGAAUGGGUUGGAAUUUUGAUUGAAGAUGUUAAAUACAUUGAUUUUAUGUAUUUAUCUCUAUGUACAGCUUUAUCAUGGGAUUGGAUGAAGAGUUAUGGGACAUACUGGAAGAUGGAGUUGAUGAUCUGGAUUUGGAUGAAGAAGGAGCUGCUAUAGACAGAAGAAUACAUACUCCUGCUCAGAAGAAGCAUUAUAAGAAACACCACAAGAUAAGAGGAAUCAUUGUGGCUUCUAUACCUCGCACCGAAUACAUGAAGAUGAGUGACAAAUCUACUGCGAAGGCUAUGUUUGCUUCUCUAUGUGCAAACUUUGAAGGCAGCAAGAAGGUGAAAGAGGCUAAAGCUUUGAUGCUAGUUCAUCAGUAUGAACUUUUCAGAAUGAAGGAUGAUGAGAGUAUAGAAGAAAUGUACUCAAGAUUUCAAACUUUAGUUUCUGGAUUGCAAAUACUGAAGAAAAGCUAUGUUGCUUCUGAUCAUGUUAGUAAGAUUUUGAGAAGCUUACCUUCAAGAUGGAGACCCAAAGUAACUGCUAUUGAGGAAGCUAAGGAUUUAAAUACUUUAAGUGUUGAAGAUCUUGUUAGCUCACUCAAAGUGCAUGAAAUGAGUUUAAAUGAGCAUGAAACCUCUAAGAAGAGUAAAUCCAUUGCUUUACCAUCUAAAGGAAAGACUUCAAAAUCUUCCAAAGCCUACAAAGCCAGUGAAUCUGAAGAAGAAUCACCUGAUGGAGAUUCUGAUGAAGAUCAAUCUGUAAAGAUGGCUAUGCUGUCCAACAAGCUUGAGUAUCUGGCAAGGAAGCAGAAGAAAUUUUUGAGCAAGAGAGGUAGCUACAAGAACUCCAAGAAAGAAGAUCAUAAGGGAUGCUUCAAUUGUAAGAAGCCUGGUCAUUUCAUUGCUGAUUGCCCUGAUCUUCAGAAGGAGAAGUUUAAAGGCAAAUCCAAGAAAUCAAGCUUCAACUCCAGUAAAUUCAGAAAGCAAAUCAAAAAGAGCUUGAUGGCGACCUGGGAAGAUUUGGAUAGUGAAUCUGGUUCUGAUAAAGAAGAAGCUGAUGAUGAUGCUAAGGCAGCCAUGGGGUUAGUGGCAACAGUAUCAUCAGAAGCAGUAUCAGAAGCUGAAUCAGAUUCAGAAGAUGAAAAUGAGGUAUAUUCCAAAAUCCCUAGACAAGAACUUGUUGAUUCUCUAAAAGAACUUUUAUCCCUGUUUGAACACAGAACCAAUGAGUUGACAGAUUUAAAAGAAAAAUAUGUUGAUUUGAUGAAACAACAAAAGACAACUCUAUUGGAACUGAAAGCUUCUGAAGAAGAACUCAAAGGGUUUAACCUCAUAUCAACAACAUAUGAAGAUAGACUCAAGAGUCUUUGUCAGAAGCUACAAGAAAAAUGUGAUAAAGGUUCAGGCAAUAAAAAUGAGAUUGCCUUGGAUGAUUUUAUUAUGGCUGGAAUAGACAGAAGCAAAGUUGCUUCUAUGAUCUACAGCACAUACAAGAACAAAGGCAAAGGGAUUGGAUAUUCUGAGGAGAAAUCCAAAGAAUACAGUCUCAAGAGCUACUAUGAUUGUAUCAAGGAUGGAUUGAAAUCCACCUUUGUGCCUGAAGGUACAAAUGUUGUUCAGUCAAAACCUGAAGCUUCUGGUUCACAGGCUAAGAUCACAUCAAAGCCAGAAAACCUUAAGUUCAAGGUUAUGACAAAAUCUGAUCCUAAGAGUCAAAAGAUUAAAAUUCUGAAAAGAUCAGAACCUGUUCAUCAGAAUCUGAUUAAACCAGAAUCUAAGAUCCCAAAACAAAAGGAUCAGAAGAAAAAAGCAGCUACUGCUUCUGAGAAAACAAUACCCAAAGGUGUUAAACCUAAAGUAUUGAAUGAUCAGAAGCCACUCAGCAUUCACCCUAAGGUACAAGGGAGGAAAAGUAAAACCUCCAAAACUAACCCAAAAGGACCCAUGAAGAUAUGGGUACCUAAAUCUGAAUUGGCUAAAAAUGCAGGUGUGCCUAAGGGCAAGAGAGAAACAAAGGUCAUGGUACCUAGACAGCGGAUGUUCAAGGCACAUGACUGGAGAGAAAGCUUUGUUCCUUACCCUUACAAUGAAAGAUGGAGGAGAAGUGAAGUUUGGUGGCAACCAAACUGGAAAGAUCAUUGGUACAGGUACUAUUGGUAAUUCCUCCAUCUCAAUUAAUAAUGUGUGGCUAGUAGAUGGUCUGAAGCAUAACUGUUAUACCCUGAUUUUGGACCUAAAAAUACUCGUUCAAAUUUCUUUUUUAACACUAAUAUUUGUCAAUUCUCUGUUAUUUUACUCUGAAUCUUUACUAUCUUUUUAAACGUAUUAUACUGCCUCUGUCUUUUCUGACAUUACAAGUCAUUUAAGAACUCUGAAAUGUCGCGUUACUUUUCUUGCACUUUAUUUCAAAAAAUCAUACAAAAGGGUAUUUUGGUCAUUUCCUGCAGUGGAACCCAUUUUUGUCCCUGUAUUUGUCUCUAAGUCUCUUCAACUUGUCUGUACAAAUCAUCGUUGAUUCUUUGUUAAAAAUCAUUUCAAAAUCGCAUCUGAGUCAAUUUGGGUCAGUUUAGUCCCUAGGGGCAUUUUGGUCUUUUCCUGUCAAAAUUUUGACAGGGAGGUAUUUUGAAAUACCUCAUGUCAGUAUUUGGUUCGUUUUAGUCCUUUUGUUGAUUUUAUUUUAGGUUUCACUUUACGUUUUGUCAGGUUACCCAUUUUAUUCCAAUUUUAUUUUUAUUUUUAUUUUGCAUUUUGGUCCUCAAAGAAGUCCAAAGCUUUUCAGUCCAGAACUUUUUAUUUUACAUUUCAGUCCUUUUUGGUUAAUUGCAGUUUAGUCCUUAAGUUUUUAUUUUUGCAGAAAGGUCCCAAAUUCAUUUCAAGUCCAAGGCCGUGCCAUUUUCAUACAAGUCCAGGUGUCACCUUUUCAUUGGGUCUCAAGUACACAUGUCAGAUUAUAAAUAGUGCACAGUGCCACACAAAGCCAUUAAUCACAUGCCAACUCAACAAACACAAUCAAGCUUUCUCUCUCCUUUCUGUUAGGAUCAAAAGAUCAAAAAUUCCCAAGAACACGAAGAACAUAAACCCUAAUUUUCUGCAGAAAUCAUAGAAAUUCAUCAGAAAUCAACGAAUUUCACAUCGAUCCUCAGAGAUUCGUGUGAACCUUCAUCACUGGAUUGGAGAUUUCCCUACAAUUCCAAGUGCGAGCUCACAUUGAAGCAAGCUCAAGCACUGAUCACAGGAAUUCUCACGUGGAUCUAAGAAGCAAGAAGCAAGCUCAAGCACGUAAUCACAGAGAAAGAAUCGGAGAAGAUGAAGAAACCAAGCCAGUAAACCGAUUUAUUUUCGGUUCAAAAAGCAACCAGAAAUCAUCAAGAACAAAUCGAAGUUUUCCGAAGAAACUCAGCAGAAUCUCCAUCAAAACUCAGGUAAAACUCAUUUUUUCUCUUUAAUGGCGUUAAUCAUAGUUGAACCUGCAUGCAAACGAACAAACCAGAUCUAAAAAGUUUCCAGAACAGAAAGCGAACUGAACCGUAUGCGCAAGAUCUAGAUCCAUAAGGACUUAGACUUUGCAAGCAAGAACAAGCACCAGAGAAGUAACAAACACGAAACGAUGUAGAUCCUUAAGAGUUUGAACGUACUCAUUCAAAACCCUAAAAAAAAAAAAAUUUCAAAACCGUAUGAAAAUUCUCCGAUCUACGUCGUUUCAGGCUUUGUUUGUGAAAAUCAAUGUCAGAUUCGUGUUUAGGGUUUAAAAACGAACAAGAAAAUGUAAAAAAAUUUGAAUUCUGGGUGUUUUGCUCGUCGGAACCCUAACUUCUCACCGGAGAAGAUGAAGUUUCCGGUGGAACCUUCAUCUUCUCCGGCCAACAACCACCGGAGAAGGGAGGAGAGAGGUGAGAGGUCUGAGAGAAGAGAGAAGUUUAGAGAGAGAGAGAGAGAUGAAAGAAAUGAAUUGGACCGGUGUCCAUAUGCUUAUAUAGACGCCUGAACCGGUCCGGUUCAUUUUGUUUUCAUCCUGGACCGUAGGAUUUAGGGUUUUGUUAUUUGAAUGGCUGUGAUGCUUUGUUUCCAUGUGCUUGAUCUGUGUUACCAUGCGCUGCUUGUUUUGAACCGUCAGAUCUAGGUCUGGAUCAAUCUAACGCCUCUGAGGCCUUUGGAUGAUCCAGGCCCAGUCUGCAUUGGGUUUUGGGUUGGGUUUAAGGUUCCUUUUACGUUUUUACCUUUUUCUUGCUAUCUGUACCCCUACUUUUUGCUAUCUGAACCUGUUUCUUGCUCACAUAUUUUUACAAAAAAAUUCCUAAAAAUCCUAGGUGUUUCUUGAUACAUUUUUCGUAUUUUUAUGGUGUUUUGCAUGUAAAAAAAAUGGUAAAAUGGCAUGAAUUAAUUCCCAUGUGUUUUUACAUUUUUGGUAUUCUUUUGGUUAUGUUUUUUUGUUCUUGACACUUUGAUAUGUGACAUGGAUGAUUGAUAUACAAUAUUGUAAUGAAUAUGCCUCUGAUCAUGUGUCCUUUUUGCUGUUUUUGGAUAUGAUUUUGUAAAUUUCUUGUUUUGCAAACAAUAAGUGUUUGUCUUAAGGAAUAAAGUGUCAAAUUUCUCUAUGAAUUUGGUGUGAUACUUUGCUUGCAUAUGUCUCUAUUAAUUUCAUGUCAUGGCUUGAAACAAAAUCUUUUUCAAAAUUGCCAUGAUGUGAGAAUUAUGGGUCACAAGCACAUUUAGGUAUCAUAUCAAAUUUUUUAGGUUUUUACCACUUUAUUACUUUCCUUUUUUGCCGUUCUUAUGCAAUUUCUUUUUGUUUAUUUCCUACUAUUUUGUGCCUUAUCAUUACUAACCAUUUCAUUUCAUGUGCCAUACAUUUCAUAAGCAUUUCACAAUUCCAUUCCUAUUCCUCAUAGUUUAGGGUUUAUCUCUUUUAUUUCAAUGUUACUUUGGCAUGUAAUAUUUUAGAUAGUUUUAAUUUCUUUUAAGAUUUUUUCAAGACCAUAGAAUGUAUCUAGGACAAUGUAAAGGACUAUGGACUCUCUAAUAAUGUACACCGACACAAGCACCGACACUCGCACACACGUUGCAUGAUUAUCGAUUUAGGUAUAUGUUUAGGAAUUCGACGCCUAGUGAAAUUUCUCCUUCGAAAUAGGCUAAAUUUUCCAAACAAACUUUGGAGUCAAAACUCCAAUGCCUUUUUGUGAAAUAAAAAUAAAGAUCAAAUUCGACAUUUUUCUUCUAUGCCUUACGGCUUCUCUCCUCGUUUUCAAAAAUCAUUUUCCAAGUAAAAUAAAAACCUCAAUCAUCUUCUCCCCUUAUUCUUCACUCAAAUAAAAUAUCUUCUUUUCAAUAAGUAGGCAAUAAAAAAUAAAGCGUAGAAAUAAGCUUAGGAGAACGGUUCUUAUGGAGUACCAUAAUCGCUCCGGGUGCCUAACACCUUCCCGUAGCGAAAACGACCCCCGAACUUAGAAUCUAAGGGUUUUUUCUCAAUUUUGCCCUUCCCAAGAAAAAAUAGAGAAUAUCAAAGAUUGAAAGGUUCAAGCCAAAUUAAUGACUUGACACCCGAAAAUCGCGAUAACAGAAAUGGCGACUUCACUGAGGAAUUUUUUUUUAGCGGGUCGCGCCUAGUUUUCCUUAGUUUAUAUUUACGCUUUGUUUUAUUGCUUACAUAUGUGAAUACUUGUUUACUUUCAUUUGACGUGUGGGGUGAGAAUAUCAAAAGUCCUAUACCCGGGCUGAGUGAACUUAUGUUUAGGUAGAGAUAUAAUCGACAAUUCGAUCCGGGGGUUGCCUCGUGUAUUGGAUUAUGCGAUCAAUCUCACAUAGCUGAGGCAUUUUGAAGGUGAUAUUGUCGGCGUGUGUUGUUAUGCUUAGGCAUUUCACUUUCAAUUGUUCGACGAAGCUAUGAACCGUAGUUACCAAACCCAUCCUAGCCUUUUUAGGACGUAGUGCGGUGGCUAAAUUGAGUGUUGUCUCAAACUUUAGUCGUCACGCGAUACUACACUCAAACUAGACCUUCUCACAAAUAAUCAUGGAACGGGUGUCGUCCUGUACUACCAUGAUAUAUGUGAGAGAGGUUGCAGUUUGGGAACUGUGUUAGAACCUUGGUUACUACUAUCCAAAAGCUUAGUUCACCGGACGCCGUGUCCAUCCGUGGCCCUGUUACUUUGAAUCUCAACCCACCUUGUUCUUUGUAACUAAACAACACAAUCAUGCAUACAUGCAUUCAUGCAUAAACAUUUUUCAUGCAUUCGUCGAAGGGCUUAAACAAAUGGAAAUUUUUGUAAAUAAUCACAGGUAUGAAGAAGACUAAGUGCUACAAGUUCAAGGAAGUGGAUUUGGUCAGUUUAAGAGAGUUGGCACUCAAGGUCAAGAGUCAAACAGGGUUCCGACUCCGGUAUGGGGGAUUGCUUACUUUGCUCCGAACCGAUGUGGAAGAGAAGCUAGUGCACACUCUAGUGCAAUUUUAUGAUCCGAGCUUCUGUUGCUUCACUUUCCCGGACUUCCAGUUGGUUCCUACUCUCGAGGCUUACUCCAAUCUAGUGGGUUUACCUAUAGCCGAGAAGACGCCUUUCACCGGUCCCGGGACUUCUCUUACUCCUCUGGUUAUUGCUAAGGAUCUCUACCUCAAGACGUCCGACGUCUCCAACCAUCUUAUUACCAAGUCUCACAUCCGGGGGUUCACUUCAAAGUAUCUUCUUGAGCAGGCUAAUCUCAGUACUACUUGUCAGGAUACACUCGAGGCUAUUCUUGCUUUGCUUAUCUACGGGCUCAUUCUCUUUCCGAACCUCGACAACUUCGUGGACAUGAAUGCUAUCGAGGUCUUCCAUUCCAAGAACCCGGUUCCUACUUUGCUAGCGGAUACCUACCACGCCAUUCAUGACAGGACUCUCAAGGGCCGUGGGUAUAUUCUUUGCUGCAUAUCUCUUUUGUAUAGGAGGUUUAUUUCGCACCUUCCGAGUUCCUUCCAUGACAACUCGGAGAACUGGUCCUACUCGCAGCGGAUUAUGGCCCUCACUCCUAAUGAGGUCGUCUGGCUCACUCCUGCCGCUCAGGUGAAGGAAAUCAUUAUGGGUUGUGGGGACUUUCUCAAUGUACCUCUUCUCGGUACUCGUGGAGGAAUUAACUACAACCCCGAGCUUGCUAUGAGACAGUUUGGUUUCCCUAUGAAGUCGAAGCCCAUCAAUCUUGCUACAUCUCCAGAGUUCUUCUUCUACACGAAUGCUCCUACCGGACAAAGGAAAGCUUUCAUGGAUGCUUGGUCCAAGGUUCGAAGGAAGAGUAUGAAGCAUCUAGGCGUGAGAUCCGGUGUUGCUCAUGAGGCCUAUACUCAGUGGGUGAUAGAUCGAGCUGAGGAGAUUGGCAUGCCUUAUCCAGCUAUGAGAUACGUGUCUUCAUCUGCCCCAUCUAUGCCUCUACCUCUACUCCCCACGACUCAGGAUAUGUAUCAGGAGCAUCUAGUUAUGGAGAGUCGUGAGAAGCAAGUGUGGAAAGCUCGGUACAAUCAAGCUGAGAAUCUAAUCAUGACUUUGGAUGGUAGAGAUGAGCAGAAGACUCAUGAGAACCUGAUGUUGAAGAAGGAACUAGCUAAGGUCCGGAGGGAAUUGGAAGAGAAAGACGAGCUGCUUAUGAGGGAUUCCAAGAGAGCCAGAGGACGACGAGACUUCUUUGCCAGAUACUGUGAUUCAGAUUCCGAGUCCGAUGAUUCUCCGACUACUUCCUAUGCUUGAGGGCUUCAUCUGUUUAUCUUGCUGAAAUUUCGAAGUCUUCCUUUUGAAAAUACUAUGUAGUUCUGAUUAUUUGCAAGAUUUCUAAUUUGUUUAAAAAUCCUUCGAUGAAAAAAGAAGUCUUUUGCAUUUGCAUUUGCAUAUCAUGCAUCAUAUGCAUCAUGCAUUGGUCACAAAGGCUUCCAAGUACUCACUACCUCCUGGUUCCUCUGCCACAGUUUGAAAAGUGGCUCGUGCUCAGAAGGUCUACGAACCUGACAGAAUCGAUCGAACCAGAGAAUACAGAAGAAGGAAAAAGGCUAUGGAAGAAGAGAACGCUCAGCUCCGUACCGAGUUAGCCACUCUAAGGGAGGAAUUGGCUAAAGCUAAUGAUGUCAUGACUGCUCUGCUAGCCGCUCAAGAACAAUCAGCUACGGCUAUCCCUAUAGCCACAGCUGUACCGGUGACUACAAGCGUGCUCCCAACCACAUCUGCAGACGCUCGCUUUGCUAUGCCAGCUGGGUUUCCGUAUGGGCUUCCACCGUUCUUCACUCCCAGUACUGCAGCGGGCACUUCGGGCACUGCUAACAAUGUUCUGAUCCCUGCAACAAAUGCUGCCUCCAUCAAUGCUACUUUGCCACAAACUACGGCAGCUGUCACUGAGCCUCUUGUGCAUACCCUGCCUCAAGGUAUUAACAUCAACACACAGCACGGAAACAUCCCCGUGACCAAGACCAUGGAAGAGAUGAUGGAGGAACUUGCUAAAGAACUCCGUCAUGAGAUCAAAGCCAAUCGAGGGAAUGCGGACUCUUUCAAAACUCAAGAUCUCUGCUUGGUGUCAAAAGUGGAUGUCCCUAAGAAGUUCAAAAUCCUAGAUUUCGACCGGUACAACGGGCUAACUUGUCCCCAAAACCACAUCAUCAAAUACGUCCGAAAGAUGGGCAAUUACAAAGACAAUGAUUCCCUUAUGAUCCACUGCUUUCAGGAUAGUUUGAUGGAAGAUGCCGCAGAGUGGUAUACUAGUUUGAGCAAAAAUGAUAUCCAUACCUUCGAUGAAUUAGCCGCUGCUUUCAAGAGCCACUACGGGUUUAACACCCGAUUGAAGCCGAACAGGGAAUUCCUCAGAUCUCUCUCCCAGAAGAAGGAGGAAAGCUUCCGUGAAUACGCACAAAGAUGGAGGGGGGCAGCUGCCCGCAUUACUCCCGCUCUUGAUGAAGAAGAAAUGACCCAGACAUUCUUAAAGACCUUGAAGAAGGAUUAUGUUGAGAGAAUGAUCAUAGCUGCCCCGAAUAACUUUUCGGAGAUGGUCACCAUGGGAACCCGUCUGGAGGAAGCCGUCAGGGAUGGAAUCAUUGUGUUCGAGAAAGCUGAAUCCUCUGUGAAUGCAUCGAAGAGGUAUGGUAAUGGACACCACAAGAAGAAAGAAACGGAAGUAUGGAUGGUGUCAGUUGGAGCCGGUCAAUCCAUGGCUACUGUUGCUCCUAUCAAUGCAGCUCAAAUGCCUCCGUCAUACCCAUAUGUGCCGUAUUCUCAGCAUCCUUUCUUUUCGCCAUUUUAUCAUUAGUACCCUCUGCCACCGGGUCAACCUCAAGUACCCGUCAAUGCAAUUGCUCAACAGAUGAAACAACAGUUGCCAGUUCAACAACAACAACAAAAUCAGCAAGCUAGACCUACUUUCCCUCCGAUACCGAUGUUAUAUGCUGAGUUGCUUCCAACUUUACUCCAUAGAGGGCAUUGUACAACCAGACAGGGCAAGCCCCCACCUGAUCUGCUGCCUCCAAGGUUCAGGUCCGACCUCAAAUGUGAUUUUCAUCAAGGUGCCCUAGGUCAUGAUGUCGAGGGGUGCUAUGCUUUGAAGUAUAUCGUGAAGAAGCUCAUUGAUCAAGGAAAGCUGACUUUUGAGAAUAAUGUCCCACAUGUCCUCGACAAUCCUCUUCCAAAUCAUGCCGCUGUAAAUAUGAUCGAAGUAUGUGAGGAAGCUCCUAGACUUGAUGUCCGUAACGUCGCAACUCCUCUGGUGCCUCUACACAUCAAGCUGUGCAAAGCUUCUCUGUUCAGCCAUGAUCAUGCCAAGUGCCUAGGAUGCCUUCGUAAUCCUUUGGGUUGCUACACUGUUCAAGAUGACAUCCAAAGCUUGAUGAAUGAUAAUUUUUUGACUGUCAGUGAUGUCUGCGUGAUUGUGCCAGUUUUUCACGAUCCGCCUGUCAAGAGUAUACCUUUGAAGAAGAAUGCUGAGCCUUUGGUGAUAAGGUUGCCUGGACCGGUACCGUAUACUUCAGAUAGGGCUAUCCCGUACAAAUAUAAUGCUACCAUAAUCGAAAACAGAGUAGAAGUGCCUCUGGUGUCCUUGGCUAUGUUGAACAAUACUGCCGAAGGAACUUCAGCAGCCCUAAGAAGCGGAAGAGUCCGUCCACCAUUGUUUCAAAAGAAGGCAGCUACGCCUACCGUGCCACCCAUUGACAAGCCAACCCCGACUGAUGUUUCUCCCGUUAACAGAGACGCGAGCCAACCAGGCCGGUCUAUAGAGGAUUCUAAUCUGGACGAGAUUUUGAGGUUGAUCAAAAGAAGUGAUUAUAAGAUUGUGGAUCAGCUGUUGCAAACUCCGUCGAAGAUAUCCAUUUUGUCUCUACUCCUGAGUUCCGCUGCCCACAGAGAUACCCUUUUGAAAGUAUUGGAGCAGGCUUAUGUGGAUCAUGAAGUAACUGUGGAUCACUUUGGUAGCAUAGUGGGAAACAUUACCGCCUGCAGCAACCUGUGGUUCAGUGAAGAUGAAUUGCCCGAAGCAGGAAAGCAUCAUAAUCUGGCCUUGCAUAUCUCCGUGAAUUGCAAGUCCGACAUGAUCUCAAAUGUGUUAGUAGACACUGGCUCAUCUUUGAACGUGAUGCCCAAGUCAACGCUGGAUCAGCUGAGUUACCGGGGAACUCCCUUGAGGAGGAGCACUUUUCUGGUCAAAGCCUUUGAUGGAACCCGCAAGAGCGUUCUCUGGGAGAUAGACUUGCCAAUAACUUCGGCCCCGAAACCUUUCUAAUCACCUUUCAGGUCAUGGAUAUUAAUGCCUCUUACAGCUGUCUCUUGGGAAGACCGUGGAUACACGACGCGGGAGCAGUGACCUCUACUUUGCACCAAAAGUUGAAAUUUGCAAAAAGUGGAAAGCUUGUUACCAUUCAUGGAGAGGAAGCAUACCUGGUUAGCCAGCUAUCGUCUUUCUCUUGCAUAGAAGCAGGGUCUGCAGAGGGGACCGCUUUUCAAGGAUUAACUGCCGAAGGUACGGAGCCCAAGAGGGAUGGAACUGCUAUGGCUUCUUUGAAGGAUGCACAGAAAGCCGUCCAAGAGGGUCAAGCUGCCGGCUGGGGCAGGUUAAUACAUGUCAUACCCCAAAUUUUGACCUAAGGUCACACUGACACACGUCUCCGAACUCGGACCAGACUCACAUUUCAGUGAAAAAUUCGGCCGGGAGGUAUUUUGAAAUACCUCAUAAAAUUCCGAAUCGGGCCCUCUUCUCUCAGUCUAAAAUUAUUUCCAUCUUUUAAAUUUUUAUUUUAACUUUAGUCUAAAUUUAGAUUAAAUUUCUUUUAUUCCCAUUUUAAAUUUUCCUUUUUAUCCUUUUUAAAACCAAAAAUAUAGACAUUAUCCUUUUAUUAUUAAUUUUUCUUUUUAAUUAAGUCCCAAAAUUGUCCAAUGAUAAGUCCAACAAAAUAGUCCAAAUUCAGAUAAGCAGUCUCUCAUCUCAAUCCUUAUACACGUUUUGUUCCUUUUUCAUCCCAAUCCAAAUCCAGUUCACGCCUCAUCUGAAACAAAUCCAGUAAAAACAGACGCGUUUCCCUUUUUCUCCUCCACAAGCCACUGCUUUUUUGCUCAUCAGUAACAAACCCUAGCCUCAACCUCACUCUAUAAAUAGAGACCUGCACAACAAAGAAAAACGGAAAAAACAGAGGACAGCAGAACGCAGCAGAACAUACGAAAAAACAGAAAGAAACAGCAGAGAAGCCAAGACAACAACAACAGCACACACACACGCACAACAGCACACACACGCCACAACAGCACACACACGCACAACAGCACACACACGGACAGCAACUCACACACAAAAGGGGGUAGACGGUGACGAAUUUGAACCAGUCACAACACGGAAUUGCAAACGACACGGACACCAUCAGAAUCGUAAUCAAGAGGAAGAAUCGGAAACAAGCAGAUCCGGGACCAGAAUCGGAACAUAGCACGAAAAAGGUAGUUUUUUUAAUUGUUCACGUUUUCUUUUAGAUCCAGGCUUAGUGUUUUGGUUUGAGGAGAUUUUGGCUUUAGAAACAUCAAUAGGAAGGAGAGAGGGAUAUAAAGAGCGAAAAAAAAUAAAUAAAGGGGAGCUUUUUAGCUCCGGCGCGGCGGCGCAGCCGCGAUGGCUCGCCGGCCACCGCGCCGGAAUUCCCCCGGCCACCCCAUCUCCAACCGGAGAAGAAGAGAGAGAACAGAGAGUUUAGAGAGAGAAGGGGACGGAAGAGAGAGAAGGAGGGAGAAGAAAUGAAGGAAUUAGGGUUUACAACCCUUAUAUAUCCCCAAACCGGGUCGCCCAUGACCCAUGACCCGCGACCCGUUUCGUUUCCUUAAAGCCCAAUUCUUUUUUUUUUGCUUUCUGCACACCCCUGUUUACUACUGCACCCCACCAUGUGUUUGGACUUUUUUUUUAUUUUUAUUUUUUCCUUAUUCGUAUUUAUUUAUCUUUUAGCAUUUUAAUUUUUAUUGCAGACCUUAGAAUGCAAAUAGUACAAAACUACAAAAACAUUUUUCAUAAUAAACCUUGAUCCAAAUCAAGUGACCGCAUUUUUAUUUUCUUUUCUUAAUCAAACAUCAAUCAAUUUAAUUCUACCUUGAGUUUAUUUUCAUUUAAAUUAAAAAACACAAACAAAUUCUUAUUUGCCACUUGGCUUUUCCUUUUAAAACCUUUUUCAAAACUAAUAAAAAACAUACAACCAAUCAAACGUCAAUUUCUACUCCGAACUACGAGGUUUUGAUCCCUCACGGGUACGUAGGCAGAGGACCAUGUCCUUCCAAAUCAAUAAAAAAUGUAGAUAAAUUAGGUCUCACUUUCUUUUUCUUUUAAUCAUCACAUUAACUUCUUUUUUUCAAAAGCAAGCAAGUUAUAGCACAUUAAAUUAAAUAAAACCAAGAGGUUCCCGUAGAGUACUACGGACAUAGAGGGUGCUAAUACCUUCCCUUUAUGUAACUAACCCCCGAACCCUAAAUCUUUUCAAAUAGGGGUAGUUUGAACUUUUUUCCCCUUUUCAUAAAAAAUUAAAUGUUCAGUCGUGAAAUAAAUUAGUGAGUCAAAAGCUAAUCAAAUAGCCUUGAUCUCCGAAAAAUGACGCGACAGAAAUGGCGACUUCACUGGGGACACCCCCUAAAGAGGGUUGAGCCUAACUUGGCCUUAUUUAAUUCUCUAUGCUAUAACUUGCUUAAAACAAAAAAAAAAAACAAAAACAAAAAAACAAAAAGAUGGAAAUAGUUGUAUAUAUCUUCUCUUUUCUUUCUCCUCUUUUCUCUUAAACAUGAGUGGUGAGAUAAAGCCCUACACCCAGGUUUGAGAGAAACAUAAGAUAGGACGGUGGUAUAACCAAAGUGCCUUUCCGAGAGUCAAGUCUCGUGUUUAGGUUCAUGUGGUAUAACCCCACUCAAUGGAGGGAUCUUGAAAGUAAUUUGUGUUGGCAUGAAUAGUCGUGUUGGCAUUAUAUUUUCAAGUGACCGUCGAAGUUGAGAACCUUUAGUUACCCUUAACCCAUCUUAGCCUUUUAGGACGUAGUGCGGUGGCUAAUCAAGAGUAGUCUUGAAUUAGUUGAUACGCGAUACUACACUCAAACGAAACUUUCAUACGAAUCUUAUUGGAUCAAGAGUAGUCUUGUAACUCGAUAAUAUUCGGAAGUGGUUAAUGACUUUGGGAACUUGGUAGAACCCGUGAUACAGGUACAAAUGAAACCAUAGUCCUUACCAAAUGGCAUUGUUACUCUAAGCUCCAACAUUGUGGACCUAACCUCACCAUGCAUGAUCAUGCAUACAUGCAUUCAUCCAUAAAAAACUUUUUUUUUUUUUUCAUCAAAAUAUCGAAGGACUUAGAUAAGUUUUCGUAAACAUCAAAGAUACGGUCCUUAUAAGAAGGAACACCAAGAAAUACAACUUCAAAAAUCUUAACUAAGCUUUAGCUUUUGUUAAGAACUUUUUCCUUGGUUUCGUUCUUACUUUUGAAAAGGGAACCAAUUGCAACAUCUUCACAAUUUUCAAAUAAAACAAUGUUCCUUAUCAAGUUUACAAUUACUUUGACAAGUCCUUCAAAAAAGAAACGUGUCUGUUUUUGCAUAAGCAUACAUUAUUUGCAUUCAUAGUUUCAAGUCAGAGUCUUACACUGUGUCUUUUCUACUAAAGGUCAGUCCAUCUCAAAGAGUCAUGGCAUCCUCGUCUGAAACUCACUCGCAUUUACAACACUCGAACAAUCAUGAAGAAAGGAUGAAGUUUCUCAAACAAGAAAAUCAAUUGCUCCGUGAGGAGGUGGCAGUCAUGCAAACUAAGAUGGAUGAAAUGACUGAAUUGAUGAAAGCAUUAACGGCUGCACAUAAUCAACCACCGCCUCCUCCUCCUCCUAUUAGCACUCAAGCCGAAGCAACUGUCUCUAUUUUUCCUGAAUGGACGAUACCUGUUAGUACUUCCCCAAAUUCUAGGCCAGAAGAUCGUCCUUGGAGUGUCCCUAUUUGUCUCAGUGAAGUAUUCCGCCCUAUUGCUUCUGAAACUCAGAUGCCUACUCAUCAAUAUGCAGCUCAUGUUCCUCCGCUUCCUGUAAGAGCUCCUCCAGUUGUCAUGACUUAUUCAACACCUAUGAUGCAUACCAUUCCACAAAAUGAAGAACCCAUCUUCCAUUCAGGGAACAUGGAGCCCAAUGAUAGAAUGAAUGACUUACGGGAAAAAUAUGAUGAAAUGCAUCGAGAAAUGAGGGCUCUCCGUGGGAAAGAAAAAUUUGGAAAGACCACUUAUGAUCUCUGUUUGGUGCCGAAUGUCCAGAUACCUCACAAGUUCAAGAUCCCAGAUUUUGAGAAGUAUAAAGGGAACUCCUGCCCCGAGGAACAUUUGAAAAUGUAUGUAAGAAGGAUGUAUGCAUAUGCUCGAGACGAUCAGGUCCUCAUUUGCUACUUUCAAGAAAGUCUGGCUGGUCCCGCCUCAAAAUGGUACACGAAUCUAGAGAAAACGAGAAUCCAAACUUUUCGUGAUCUAUGUGAAGCUUUUGUGGAGCAAUAUAGUUAUAACAUGGAUAUGGCGCCGGACCGAAGUGAUCUUCAGGCUAUGACUCAAGAGAGCAAGGAAACAUUCAAGGAGUAUGCCCAGCGAUGGAGGGAUACCGCUGCCCAAGUCAGCCCGCGUGUAGAAGAGAAAGAAAUGACCAAGCUCUUCUUAAAAACUCUCAAUCAGUUCUACUACAAGAAGAUGGUCGGAAGCACGCCCAAGAACUUUGCUGAGAUGGUUGGUAUGGGUGUACAAUUGGAAGAAGGAGUCCGAGAAGGACGAUUGGUCAACAAUACCCAAGAAAUUGCCGACUAGGUGGAGACAGGAUCUCUCUUGCACCUUCCAUCAAGGGGCACAAGGUCAUGACGUUGAGCACUGUUUCUCCUAGGAAAUUGAAGUCCAGAAGCUGAUCGACGACAAUGUGUUGCAUUUCGAGAAAUUGAAUCCGAGUGUGUAACUGCAAUUGGGUUGAUGUUUAUGUCUUCUCCUGCUACUCGAUUUGUCUCUAGGGAUAUGUUUGUUUGUUUACUACCUUUUCAAAAAACAUCCUUUCGUCCCGCCCGAGAUGAAAGUGAACUGGUGUAGGGCUUUUUACUUUAAGAAAUUGUCAUCAUUAAUAAAAAGGUCGUUUUGAUCCCGCCUUUACUUUCAUUUUGUGCUUUUUCUUGGAAAAAUGGUAAUACAAAAAACCCAAAAAAUAAUUAAUCAUUCACAAAUAUCUGCAUAAUCAUAACUUUUGUUUACUUGUCAAAAUCAACAAUAAAUCAUGCAUUAAUAAACCCGUUGAACACAUUUACCAUGUACUCUCUUCCAACUUUGAGUUCCUUGUAUCCGAAGCUGAAAGAGGCAUGAAUGAAGAGACUCAUGACAAGAUCUCUCGCCUACUGGGGCAUCUAGCCAUCAAAGCUACCAAACAAAAAUCAUGAAGAUAAUCCAGAAGAUGGCACUCACUUGCAAAGACUAGUUCGAGGUGCUACCAUUCGCUUUGCUCGGAUAUCGUGCUUCAGUACACAUUUCAACAGGGGCAUCCCCCCUCUUUCCCUCAAGUAUACAACAGGGAGGUGAUGCUUCCCGCACGAUCAAAGUCCCAACAAUAGGAGUUAUGUCAAAGUCCAAGCUUGAACAAACUUAAAAUGCAUGACGACCUUGUACAAUCAUGUCAAGAAAGUUUGAAAACAAACUUCCAACAAGAGGGUUCGUCCCCGUGGAAUUCAAGAAUGAGACUUUGUGCUCAAAAGGAUACUAUAUUUCCAAUCAGACUCCAGGGGCAAGUGGACGCCUAACUAUGAAGGAUCGCGUGCAAUAACUUCUCCAACCAUGGAUGACAAACUCGCACUUCCUAUGAAUGCCGGUGCGGUCAAGAAAUACUUUGUCAAAAAUAAUAAAGCUCGAUAAGUCGCAAACCUUAAAGUACGGCUUAGGCAAAAAUGAGCGUCUCGGUGGACUGAAAACCCAAAAGGGCGGUCCGGGCAAAAGUUAGAGACAUGAACAAAAACGAUUAUCCUGAUAGAUUGAAAACCCGAAAGGGCGAUCUAUGCAAAAGUUAAGGAUCAAAAAGACAAAGUAACUGCAUCCGGUCAAGCACAAUCCACUUGGGGCAUCCAGCUAUCAAAAGACCUCCGACUCGAAGCAUCUGCAGAUCAAAGACUCGGAACAGGGGCAUUCAAAGUUGUUAGGGAGAAUAAUGGUUACUGUGUUCAAUGUACCCUCCCCAUUACAUUUACCAUUUUUCCAAAAUUUUCAAAAAAUCCGUGGAGCCAUGCCCUUGGCAGGUCACCACUCAAUUCAUCAAACUUGAGCCUGUGCCCAUUUAUUUGGAACUCUCAUUUAUUCUAUUUGCAUAAUUUCUUCUUAAAGCAAAAAAAUUUCAAAAUACAAAACUUUUUUUUUUUUUUUUUUUUUUACAUCUCUUGAAAAGUGUGAACAACAAACACAUUCUCUUUGAACUCGUGAGUAAGUGAAGUAUACAUCAGCAUCCGCCUCGAUAACGGUUACACUCCGGAAGAGAAACAUGACUAAGUACUAUGGAGAGGUCCUAUACUUUGAACAAAAUGUUGUCACAGUCAAAAAAUACAAAAAAAAAUAAUACAAAGAAGCUCGCUAAGUUGAAAACCUGAAAAGGCGACUUAGGCAACAGAGAGCGUCCCGGUGGACUGAAAACCCGAAAGGGCGGUCCAGGCAAAAAUUAGGGGCAAAACAAAAAAUAUAUUCCCGGUGGACUGAAAACCCGAAAGGGCGGUCCAGGCAAAAAUUAGGGAUUUUUCUUAAUAAAACAAAAGGUAUGACUGCUGAAGCAUACCAAUGGAAGGACACUCUGUGCCGGUUUACAAAUGGCGACUUCUUCCAGACUUCUUUCAUCGACAAUGGGCUCACCCCCCAGGAGGCAUCGGUGGCUACCUAGUGCCAGGUUCUUACACCAUCAACGGCUCGAUUUGCUCACAAUAAUAUCAUCUCCAAGGAAGGUUGCCGAGUGUUUGUAAUGCAAUGUCGGUCCGACUCCCAUCUUACCUGUCUUGUCUCGGUUCAUCGAUUCACGUGUCAUGUACAUUCAUAUAUCCAUACAUUCAUACAAUCAUGCAUUCACCAAUAUUUUCACAUAAAUCAUACGUUUACGCGUACACGACAUAUGCAUAACAUCAAUUCACACAUAAUUGCAUCAGUCAAAGCUUACCAUUGUGUCAAGCCGCAAGUUUCUACGAAUGAAUGUCAAUUUCAAUUUCAAAUUCAAAAGUGUCAUCCCCGGAAAAGCCGUGCUAGUUAUGUCACUAAUCAAUGUCAAUUUCAAUUUCAAAUUCAAAAGUGUCAUCCCCGGCGUAAAGCCAUGCUAGUUAUGUCACUAAUCAAUGUCAAUUUCAAUUUCAAAUUUCAAAGGUGUCAUACCCGGCGAAAAACCGUGCUAAGUCAUGUCACUAAUCAAUGUCAAUUUCAAUUUUAGUUUCGAAGUGACAUCCCCGGCAGAAGGCCGUACUAGUCAUGGCGCUAGUUGAUCUCGAUGUCAACUUCAACUUUAAGUAUCAUCCCCAGCAUAGCUGUUCUAGAGAUGUCACCAAUCCAAACUUUUCAAGCGACCGAUUCCAACAAACGAAUAGCCUAUGUCAGUUUUUUUCCCUUUCGAGCAACCGGUUCCAACAAACGAACAACUCAUGUCAAUCUCUUAUCUUUAUGCCCAGCGACCGAUUCCAACAAACGAAUAGCCUAUGCCAAUGUCUUUUACCUUCCGAGCAACUAGUUCCAACAAACGAACAACUCAUGUCAAUCUUUUAUCUUUAUGCUCAGCGACCAGUUCCAACCAACGAACAGCCUGUGACAAGUGGCCAAUUUCAACCAACAAAAAGCUUGUAUCCUUCUAUUAUUUCAUUUUCAAAACCAAGUCCACAAAUGGACAUUGGAGUCUGAACCAUUGCACUUUGUUUCGAGAUGUCGAGACAAUGAGGAACAACCAUUUUCCCCAGUGAAACCAGAUUCCCCAGUAAAGUCGGAUCCCUUUCUUCGAAGAAUUUGGGUAUCCUAGUGUCUUUUCACUCCAGUCGAGCCAUCAUUGUCAUCAUGCAUUCAUAAUUAAAUCAUGAGCAUUCAUAAACCUCUUAGGUCAAAAAUUGGUGCACUUUUGUAUUUAAGUCUCUUCGGCUCGUCGAGUCAAAGAUUUUACCUUCGAAUCUCUGAGCGAAGAAACUUAAAUAGGGGCAUCUGUCAUACCCCAAAUUUUGACCUAAGGUCACACUGACACACGUCUCCGAACUCGGACCAGACUCACAUUUCAGUGAAAAAUUCGGCAGGGAGGUAUUUUGAAAUACCUCAUAAAAUUCCGAAUCGGGCCCUCUUCUCUCAGUCUAAAAUUAUUUCCAUCUUUUAAAUUUUUAUUUUAACUUUAGUCUAAAUUUAGAUUAAAUUUCUUUUAUUCCCAUUUUAAAUUUUCCUUUUUAUCCUUUUUAAAACCAAAAAUAUAGACAUUAUCCUUUUAUUAUUAAUUUUUCUUUUUAAUUAAGUCCCAAAAUUGUCCAAUGAUAAGUCCAACAAAAUAGUCCAAAUUCAGAUAAGCAGUCUCUCAUCUCAAUCCUUAUACACGUUCUGUUCCUUUUUCAUCCCAAUCCAAAUCCAGUUCACGCCUCAUCUGAAACAAAUCCAGUAAAAACAGACGCGUUUCCCUUUUUCUCCUCCACAAGCCACUGCUUUUUUGCUCAUCAGUAACAAACCCUAGCCUCAACCUCACUCUAUAAAUAGAGACCUGCACAACAAAGAAAAACGGAAAAAACAGAGGACAGCAGAACGCAGCAGAACAUACGAAAAAACAGAAAGAAACAGCAGAGAAGCCAAGACAACAACAACAGCACACACACACGCACAACAACACACACACGCCACAACAGCACACACACGCACAACAGCACACACACGGACAGCAACUCACACACAAAAGGGGGUAGACGGUGACGAAUUUGAACCAGUCACAACACGGAAUUGCAAACGACACGGACACCAUCAGAAUCGUAAUCAAGAGGAAGAAUCGGAAACAAGCAGAUCCGGGACCAGAAUCGGAACAUAGCACGAAAAAGGUAGUUUUUUUAAUUGUUCACGUUUUCUUUUAGAUCCAGGCUUAGUGUUUUGGUUUGAGGAGAUUUUGGCUUUAGAAACAUCAAUAGGAAGGAGAGAGGGAUAUAAAGAGCGAAAAAAAAUAAAAAAAGGGGAGCUUUUUAGCUCCGGCGCGGCGGCGCAGCCGCGAUGGCUCGCCGGCCACCGCGCCGGAAUUCCCCCGGCCACCCCAUCUCCAACCGGAGAAGAAGAGAGAGAACAGAGAGUUUAGAGAGAGAAGGGGACGGAAGAGAGAGAAGGAGGGAGAAGAAAUGAAGGAAUUAGGGUUUACAACCCUUAUAUAUCCCCAAACCGGGUCGCCCAUGACCCAUGACCCGCGACCCGUUUCGUUUCCUUAAAGCCCAAUUCUUUUUUUUUUUGCUUUCUGCACACCCCUGUUUACUACUGCACCCCACCUUGUGUUUGGACUUUUUUUUUAUUUUUAUUUUUUCCUUAUUCGUAUUUAUUUAUUUUUUAGCAUUUUAAUUUUUAUUGCAGACCUUAGAAUGCAAAUAGUACAAAACUACAAAAACAUUUUUCAUAAUAAACCUUGAUCCAAAUCAAGUGACCGCAUUUUUAUUUUCUUUUCUUAAUCAAACAUCAAUCAAUUUAAUUCUACCUUGAGUUUAUUUUCAUUUAAAUUAAAAAACACAAACAAAUUCUUAUUUGCCACUUGGCUUUUCCUUUUAAAACCUUUUUCAAAACUAAUAAAAAACAUACAACCAAUCAAACGUCAAUUUCUACUCCGAACUACGAGGUUUUGAUCCCUCACGGGUACGUAGGCAGAGGACCAUGUCCUUCCAAAUCAAUAAAAAAUGUAGAUAAAUUAGGUCUCACUUUCUUUUUCUUUUAAUCAUCACAUUAACUUCUUUUUUUCAAAAGCAAGCAAGUUAUAGCACAUUAAAUUAAAUAAAACCAAGAGGUUCCCGUAGAGUACUACGGACAUAGAGGGUGCUAAUACCUUCCCUUUAUGUAACUAACCCCCGAACCCUAAAUCUUUUCAAAUAGGGGUAGUUUGAACUUUUUUCCCCUUUUCAUAAAAAAUUAAAUGUUCAGUCGUGAAAUAAAUUAGUGAGUCAAAAGCUAAUCAAAUAGCCUUGAUCUCCGAAAAAUGACGCGACAAUACAGCUUCGUGAGAACAAGCAUAAGGAAGGUCUUGGCUUCUCCCCAACUUCAGGAGUUUCCACCGGGGCAUUCUGUAGUGCUGGGUUUGUCAACGCAAUCACAGAAGAAGCAACUGGAUUUGGCCCGAGGCCUGUAUUUGUUACACCAGGAGGCAUUGCGAGAGAUUGGGAUGCCAUUGACAUUCCCUCAAUCAUGCAUGUUUCUGAGUAAUAUACCUUGUUGCUUAAGUAUCUUGUUUUUUCAAAAUAACAAUCCUCUCGCUCUGCCCAAAGCGAGGGUGAUAUUUUCUGUAAGGGCAUGUUUGUUUCGGCAUUGCCGUUGAUUAAUAAAAAAUUGUCGUUUCUUUCACGACUGCUUUUUUUAGUACCAUUUUUCCUUGGAAAUAAUGGUAAUGCCAGAAAAAACCAAAACAUCUGUAUUUUCUUAUUAAUUUCAAAAAUCUGCAUAAAAACCCUCUUUCUAAAAUCAUCCAACCAUUUUACGCAGAUUGAACUAUAAUAAACCCGUUGGGCACAGUAACCCUGCAUUCCCUCCAAAUUUUGAAUUCCCCGUGUAUGAAGCCGAAGAUGAGAAGGGUGAUGACAUACCAUAUGAGAUCACUCGGCUACUUGAGCAAGAAAAGAAAGCCAUUCAGCCUCACCAGGAAGAGAUUGAGCUCAUCAACAUAGGUACCGAGGAGAACAAGCGAGAGAUCAAGAUCGGUGCUGCUCUAGAGGAAGGGGUUAAAAAGAAGAUCAUCCAACUCCUCCGGGAAUAUCCGGAUAUUUUUGCAUGGUCGUAUGAAGAUAUGCCAGGUCUAGAUCCUAUGAUUGUGGAGCAUCGGAUCCCCACCAAGCCUGAAUGUCCUCCCGUCAGGCAGAAAUUGAGAAGGACUCAUCCAGAUAUGGCUCUCAAGAUUAAGAGCGAGGUUCAAAAACAGAUUGAUGUGGGCUUCCUCAUGACAGUUGAGUACCCUGAAUGGGUUGCCAAUAUUGUACCUGUGCCAAAGAAGGAUGGUAAAGUCCGGAUGUGUGUUGACUUCAGAGACCUGAACAAAGCCAGUCCGAAAGACAACUUUCCAUUACCUCAUAUUGAUGUGCUUGUUGAUAAUACUGCUCAGUCUAAGGUGUUUUCCUUCAUGGACGGUUUCUCCGGUUACAAUCAGAUCAAAAUGUCUCCUGAAGAUAGAGAAAAGACGUCUUUUAUCACUCCAUGGGGUACUUUCUGCUACAAAGUGAUGCCGUUCGGCCUAAUAAAUGCUGGUGCUACCUACCAAAGAGGGAUGACUACUCUGUUUCAUGACAUGAUUCACAAAGAAGUCGAAGUAUAUGUGGAUGAUAUGAUUGUGAAGUCAACAGAUGAGGAGCAACAUGUUGAAUAUUUGACAAAGAUGUUUGAAAGGUUGAGAAAAUACAAGCUUCGAUUGAAUCCCAACAAAUGUACAUUCGGCGUCAGAUCCGGGAAGUUAUUAGGCUUCAUUGUCAGCCAAAAGGGCAUUGAAGUCGAUCCUGAUAAAGUUCGGGCCAUCCAAGAAAUGCCAGCUCCACAGACUGAGAAGCAAGUCAGAGGUUUCCUCGGGCGUUUGAAUUACAUCUCCCGAUUCAUAUCUCACAUGACCGCAACCUGCGGGCCGAUCUUCAAGCUACUCAGAAAGAAUCAGCCUAUUGUAUGGAAUGAUGAAUGCCAAGAAGCUUUUGAUAGCAUCAAGAAUUACCUGCUGAAACCACCUAUCCUUGUCCCACCCGUGGAAGGAAGGCCCUUGAUUAUGUAUUUGGCAGUAUUUGAUGAAUCCAUGGGAUGCGUACUUGGUCAACAAGAUGAGACUGGAAAGAAAGAACAUGCUAUCUACUAUCUAAGCAAGAAGUUCACCGAUUGUGAAACUCGGUAUACAAUGCUUGAGAAGACUUGUUGUGCUCUGGCUUGGGCCGCUAAACGCCUGCGUCAUUAUUUGGUGAAUCAUACAACUUGGUUGAUAUCCAGAAUGGAUCCGAUAAAGUAUAUCUUUGAGAAAGCUGCUGUUACUGGGAAGAUUGCACGUUGGCAGAUGCUUUUGUCUGAAUAUGAUAUUGUGUUCAAAACUCAAAAGGCAAUCAAAGGUAGCAUUCUCGCCGAUCAUCUUGCUUACCAACCUCUUGAUGAUUACCAACCAAUUGAGUUCGAUUUCCCCGAUGAAGAGAUCAUGUAUUUAAAAUCAAAAGACUGCGAAGAACCGUUGAUUGAAGAAGGUCCAGAUCCCAAUAGCAAGUGGGGUUUAGUCUUUUGAUGGUGCUGUCAAUGCUUAUGGUAAAGGAAUUGGGGCAGUCAUUGUAUCCCCGCAGGGGCAUCACAUUCCUUUUACCGCCCGAAUUUUGUUCGAAUGUACCAACAAUAUGGCUGAGUAUGAAGCAUGUAUCUUUGGGAUCGAGGAAGCAAUUGACAUGAGAAUCAAACACCUCGACAUCUAUGGAGAUUCUGCGCUCGUCAUCAAUCAGAUAAAGGGUGAAUGGGAGACCCACCAUGCUAAGUUGAUUCCUUAUCGUGAUUAUGCGAGACGUUUGCUGACAUAUUUUACAAAGGUUGAGCUGCACCAUAUUCCUCGUGAUGAGAACCAAAUGGCUGAUGCUCUUGCUACUCUAUCCUCCAUGUUUCGAGUAAACCAUUGGAAUGAUGUGCCAUUAAUCAAAGUGCAACGCCUUGAAAGACCUUCACAUGUGUUUGCUAUUGGGGAUGUGAUCGAUCAGGCUGGUGAAAAUGUGGUUGACUAUAAACCCUGGUACUACGACAUCAAACAGUUCUUGCUGAGCCGUGAGUAUCCGCCGGGUGCUUCCAAACAAGACAAGAAGACCUUGAGAAGAUUGGCCAGUAGAUUCCUGUUAGAUGGAGAUAUUUUGUACAAGAGAAACUAUGACAUGGUAUUGUUAAGAUGUGUUGAUGAACAUGAAGCGGAGUAGUUAAUGCAUGAUGUACAUGACGGUACCUUCGGGACCCAUGCUACAGGACAUACUAUGUCAAGGAAGUUGUUACGAGCAGGUUACUACUGGAUGGCCAUGGAGUAUGAUUGCUACCAGUACGCCAGAAAGUGCCACAAAUGUCAAAUCUAUGCUGAUAAGAUUCAUGUGCCUCCGCACGCUCUCAAUGUUAUUUCAUCCCCAUGGCCGUUCUCAAUGUGGGGCAUCGACAUGAUUGGAAGAAUUGAACCGAAGGCUUCAAAUGGUCAUCGUUUCAUCUUAGUGGCAAUUGACUACUUCACCAAGUGGGUUGAAGCAGCAUCUUAUACCAAUGUGACCAAGCAAGUGGUAGCUAAGUUUAUCAAGAACAACAUCAUAUGUCGAUAUGGUGUCCCCAGCAAGAUUAUUACCGACAAUGGUACCAACCUGAACAACAAUGUGGUGCAAGCUCUUUGUGAAGAAUUCAAAAUUGAGCAUCAUAAUUCUUCUCCCUAUAGACCUCAGAUGAAUGGUGCAGUUGAGGCCGCCAACAAGAAUAUCAAGAGAAUUGUCCAGAAGAUGGUAACCACUUACAAGGACUGGCAUGAGAUGUUACCCUAUGCUCUGCAUGGCUACCGUACUACUGUGCGCAGUUCAACCGGGGCAACCCCUUUCUCUCUUGUAUAUGGUAUGGAAGCAGUUCUUCCUUUGGAAGUGGAGAUCCCAUCCCUCCGUGUGAUCAUGGAAGCAAAGUUAUCUGAGGCUGAAUGGUGUCAAAGCCGGUAUGAUCAGUUGAAUUUGAUUGAGGAAAAACGUAUGGAUGCCAUGGCUCGUGGACAGUCAUAUCAAGCAAGAAUGAAGACUGCUUUUGACAAGAAAGUCCAUCCUCGAGAAUUCAAGGUAGGGGAACUUGUAUUGAAAAGGAGGGUAAGCCAGCAACCCGACCCAAGGGGCAAGUGGACGCCUAACUAUGAAGGUCCUUAUGUUGUCAAGAAGGCCUUCUCCGGUGGUGCUUUAAUCCUUACACACAUGGAUGGCGUAGAACUUCCAAAUCCAGUGAAUGCCGAUAUAGUCAAGAAAUACUUUGCCUAGAAACAUGAAAAGAACAGCGUGGUAGGUCGAAAACCCGAAAGGGCGGCCUAGGCAAAAAUGCGCUUCCCGGUGGAUCGAAAACCCGAAAGGGCGGUCCAGGCAAAAAUAAGGGACAAAAAAUAUAUAUGAAAAGCUCGCUGAGAUUGUACACAACUCAGGCAAGAAUGAGCGUCUCGAUGAGCCGAAAACCCGGAAGGGCGGUUCAUGCAAAAAUGAGAUUGAAACAAAAGGCAAGUAACUAUAUCUGGCUAACCACCGUCCCCCUUGGGGCAUCUGCAGCUGUUAAUGACUAUCUUCAUCAAAAGCUCCUACGCUUGCAAAUUCAAAGUUUCUAGGAAAUGUAAUGAUUACUGUGUUCAAUGUACCACCAACCAAUAAAAAUUACCAUUUUCCAAGCUUUGUAAAUCCGUGGAGUCACGCCUUCGGCUGACCACCACUCUUAUACGUCAAUUUGAGCCUUUGCUUUUGUUUGAAAACUCUAUUUUUCUUCUACUUUCAAAGCUAUAUACAAAACAUUUUCCUUCUAUUUUUAAUAAUGACAAAGGCUCGAAACAAACAUCUUGAAAAUUGAAAAAGUUUUUUUGAAAAGCAAACCUGAGCAACAGGGUACAUUCAAAUGAACAUGCAUGAGCGAGUGUGUGUUGGUGUCUAUUUCAAUAUAUGUUACAAGCAGGCUCUUCCCCAGGAUGGUCUGUGGUCAAUGGCAAGAAUGGAAAAAACAGAAUGAAAAUGCAUGAAAAUGAAUAGGCUCGCUAAGUUGAAAACCCGAAAGGGCGGCUUAGGCAAAAAUGAGCACCCCGCUGGAUUGACAACCCGAAAGGGCAGUUCAGGCAAAAAUGGGGCAUUAAAAAUUUAUUUCCCCGGUGGAUCGAAAACCCGAAAGGGCGAUCCAGGCAAAAAUGGGAUGCAAAAAAUGAAUGAAUGAAAAUUGAGAAAAUAACAUGCAAAAAGCAUUGACCACAGAUGCGACGUCCACGAUACAUCCGGCAUUAUUCCCAGUAGAGUCUCCCAAGAUUCUAUCCCCAGCAAGUUGCAUAGCUACCUGCCCUCAGCCAUGGUUCCGACACGUCUCCCAACGACGUCAUCUCCAAAGAGGAUUUCCAAGAAUGUGUAAUAUAGCACGAGCCACUACGUGCCCAAUACUCCAAUGUCUUGUCUGUCUCUGCGAAACUGUGUCUACAAAUCGCCAACAGUCAUGCAUUACAAGCAUUCAUACAUACAUAAUCAUGCAUAUUACGUGCCCAUGCAUUUAAUGAAAUUGUUAUAUCAUUCAUGCAUGUUGCAUUUCCAAUGUCAACAUCAGUCUCAAUUCAAUACUCAUGUCGGGUUCUCUGUCAAAACCUUGUGAGCCUAUAAUAUUGGUCAAUUUCUACCUUUCAAAUCAAAUCGACGCCAAGUCAAUUUCAACCUAUGUUGUCAAAAAAACUAAUCCCCUGUGAAUUUGUUUUUGUUCGGUCAAGUGACUAGUUCAAGUCCAAGAACAGCUUGUACCUAUCAUUUUGCUUAUGUUAUCGGUCGAGUGCCCAGCUCAAUCCAAGAGCAGCUUGUACCUGUCAAUAUGUUUCUGUUUGGUCAAGUUACCAGUUCGCAUCCAAGAACGACUUGUACCCGUUUACUUUUCAAUGUUAUCGGUCGAGUUACCAGUUCGAAUCCAAGAACAGCUCGUACCUGUCUAUGUGUCUAUGAUUUUGGUCAAGUGGCUAGUUCAAGUCCAAGAACAGCUUGUACCCGUCUAUCUGUUUCUGUUCGCUCAAGUGGUUAGCUCGAUCCAAGAGCAGCUUGCGCCUGUCUAUUUUGUCUUUGUCUCCGGUGGAGUAACCAGUUCGCAUCCAAGAACAAGCUCGCACCUGUCUAUUUGCCUUGCUUUCAGUCGAGUGACUAGUUCAAAUCAAGAACAACUCGUACUUGUCUAUUUGCCUUUGCUUUCAGUCGAGUGACCAGUUCGAAUCAAGAACAACUCGUACCUGUCUACCUUUUCUAUGUCCCCGGUCGAGUGACCAGUUCGAAUCCAAGAACAACUCGCACCUGUUUGUCUGCUUUUAUCCCCGGUCAAGUGCCCAGCUCAAUCCAAGCGCAGCUUGUACCCGUCAAUUUGUUCCUAGUCUCCUAUCUACCCUGUUAUCUGUUAACUUACCAAUGUCUACCAAUCCCGCAAUGGAUACGACAUCUUUUGUUAAUUCCAGCUUUCGUUUGUCUCGCACUCAUAAUCCAAAUGUUGCAUGGCAUUCAUGAUAUUUGAAAAUGUACAAGCGUAUUUUUACGUCCAAACACAGUGCAAAUGUUAAUAUUUAAGUAUCUUCGUCCCGUCAAGCCAAAGACUCCGUCUCUUGACCCUCCAGACAAAGAAACUUAAAUAGGGGCAGCUGUUAUACCCUGAUUUUGGACCUAAAAAUACUCGUUCAAAUUUCUUUUUUAACACUAAUAUUUGUCAAUUCUCUGUUAUUUUACUCUGAAUCUUUACUCUCUUUUUAAACGUAUUAUACUGCCUCUGUCUUUUCUGACAUUACAAGUCAUUUAAGAACUCUCUGAAAUGUCGCGUUACUUUUCUUGCACUUUAUUUCAAAAAAUCAUACAAAAGGGUAUUUUGGUCAUUUCCUGCAGUGGAACCCAUUUUUGUCCCUGUAUUUGUCUCUAAGUCUCUUCAACUUGUCUGUACAAAUCAUCGUUGAUUCUUUGUUAAAAAUCAUUUCAAAAUCGCAUCUGAGUCAAUUUGGGUCAGUUUAGUCCCUAGGGGCAUUUUGGUCUUUUCCUGUCAAAAUUUUGACAGGGAGGUAUUUUGAAAUACCUCAUGUCAGUAUUUGGUUCGUUUUAGUCCUUUUGUUGAUUUUAUUUUAGGUUUCACUUUACGUUUUGUCAGGUUACCCAUUUUAUUCCAAUUUUAUUUUUAUUUUUAUUUUGCAUUUUGGUCCUCAAAGAAGUCCAAAAUUGCUUUUCAGUCCAGAACUUUUUAUUUUACAUUUCAGUCCUUUUUGGUUAAUUGCAGUUUAGUCCUUAAGUUUUUAUUUUUGCAGAAAGGUCCCAAAUUCAUUUCAAGUCCAAGGCCGUGCCAUUUUCAUACAAGUCCAGGUGUCACCUUUUCAUUGGGUCUCAAGUACACAUGUCAGAUUAUAAAUAGUGCACAGUGCCACACAAAGCCAUUAAUCACACGCCAACUCAACAAACACAAUCAAGCUUUCUCUCUCCUUUCUGUUAGGAUCAAAAGGUCAAAAAUUCCCAAGAACACGAAGAACAUAAACCCUAAUUUUCUGCAGAAAUCAUAGAAAUUCAUCAGAAAUCAACGAAUUUCACAUCAAUCCUCAGAGAUUCGUGUGAACCUUCAUCACUGGAUUGGAGAUUUCCCUACAAUUCCAAGUGCGAGCUCACAUUGAAGCAAGCUCAAGCACUGAUCACAGGAAUUCUCACGUGGAUCUAAGAAGCAAGAAGCAAGCUCAAGCACGUAAUCACAGAGAAAGAAUCGGAGAAGAUGAAGAAACCAAGCCAGUAAACCGAUUUAUUUUCGGUUCAAAAAGCAACCAGAAAUCAUCAAGAACAAAUCGAAGUUUUCCGAAGAAACUCAGCAGAAUCUCCAUCAAAACUCAGGUAAAACUCAUUUUUUCUCUUUAAUGGCGUUAAUCAUAGUUGAACCUGCAUGCAAACGAACAAACCAGAUCUAAAAAGUUUCCAGAACAGAAAACGAACUGAACCGUAUGCGCAAGAUCUAGAUCCAUAAGGACUUAGACUUUGCAAGCAAGAACAAGCACCAGAGAAGUAACAAACACGAAACGAUGUAGAUCCUUAAGAGUUUGAACGUACUCAUUCAAAACCCUAAAAAAAAAUAAUUUCAAAACCGUAUGAAAAUUCUCCGAUCUACGUCGUUUCAGGCUUUGUUUGUGAAAAUCAAUGUCAGAUUCGUGUUUAGGGUUUAAAAACGAACAAGAAAAUGUAAAAAAAUUUGAAUUCUGGGUGUUUUGCUCGUCGGAACCCUAACUUCUCACCGGAGAAGAUGAAGUUUCCGGUGGAACCUUCAUCUUCUCCGGCCAACAACCACCGGAGAAGGGAGGAGAGAGGUGAGAGGUCUGAGAGAAGAGAGAAGUUUAGAGAGAGAGAGAGAUGAAAGAAAUGAAUUGGACCGGUGUCCAUAUGCUUAUAUAGACGCCUGAACCGGUCCGGUUCAUUUUGUUUUCAUCCUGGACCGUAGGAUUUAGGGUUUUGUUAUUUGAAUGGCUGUGAUGCUUUGUUUCCAUGUGCUUGAUCUGUGUUACCAUGCGCUGCUUGUUUUGAACCGUCAGAUCUAGGUCUGGAUCAAUCUAACGCCUCUGAGGCCUUUGGAUGAUCCAGGCCCAGUCUGCAUUGGGUUUUGGGUUGGGUUUAAGGUUCCUUUUACGUUUUUACCUUUUUCUUGCUAUCUGUACCCCUACUUUUUGCUAUCUGAACCUGUUUCUUGCUCACAUAUUUUUACAAAAAAAUUCCUAAAAAUCCUAGGUGUUUCUUGAUACAUUUUUGGUAUUUUUAUGGUGUUUUGCAUGUAAAAAAAAUGGUAAAAUGGCAUGAAUUAAUUCCCAUGUGUUUUUAUAUUUUUGGUAUUCUAUUGGUUAUGUUUUUUUGUUCUUGACACUUUGAUAUGUGACAUGGAUGAUUGAUAUACAAUAUUGUGAUGAAUAUGCCUCUGAUCAUGUGUCCUUUUUGCUGUUUUUGGAUAUGAUUUUGUAAAUUUCUUGUUUUGCAAACAAUAAGUGUUUGUCUUAAGGAAUAAAGUGUCAAAUUUCUCUAUGAAUUUGGUGUGAUACUUUGCUUGCAUAUGUCUCUAUUAAUUUCAUGUCAUGGCUUGAAACAAAAUCUCUUUCAAAAUUGCCAUGAUGUGAGAAUUAUGGGUCACAAGCACAUUUAGGUAUCAUAUCAAAUUUUUUAGGUUUUUACCACUUUAUUACUUUCCUUUUUUGCCGUUCUUAUGCAAUUUCUUUUUGUUUAUUUCCUACUAUUUUGUGCCUUAUCAUUACUAACCAUUUCAUUUCAUGUGCCAUACAUUUCAUAAGCAUUUCACAAUUCCAUUCCUAUUCCUCAUAGUUUAGGGUUUAUCUCUUUUAUUUCAAUGUUACUUUGGCAUGUAAUAUUUUAGAUAGUUUUAAUUUCUUUUAAGAUUUUUGCAAGACCAUAGAAUGUAUCUAGGACAAUGUAAAGGACUAUGGACUCUCUAAUAAUGUACACCGACACUCGCACACACGUUGCAUGAUUAUCGAUUUAGGUAUAUGUUUAGGAAUUCGACGCCUAGUGAAAUUUCUCCUUCGAAAUAGGCUAAAUUUUCCAAACAAACUUUGGUGUCAAAACUCCAAUGCCUUUUUGUGAAAUAAAAAUAAAGAUCAAAUUCGACAUUUUUCUUCUAUGCCUUACGGCUUCUCUCCUCCUUUUCAAAAAUCAUUUUCCAAGUAAAAUAAAAACCUCAAUCAUCUUCUCCCCUCAUUCUUCACUCAAAUAAAAUAUCUUCUUUUCAAUAAGUAGGCAAUAAAAAAUAAAGCGUAGAAAUAAGCUUAGGAGAACGGUUCUUAUGGAGUACCAUAAUCGCUCCGGGUGCCUAACACCUUCCCGUAGCGAAAACGACCCCCGAACUUAGAAUCUAAGGGUUUUUUCUCAAUUUUGCCCUUCCCAAGAAAAAAUAGAGAAUAUCAAAGAUUGAAAGGUUCAAGCCAAAUUAAUGACUUGACACCCGAAAAUCGCGAUAACAAUAACCUAUUGAGCAUUAGUCAAUUUUGUGACAAUGGGUAUGAUGUAAUGUUCAGUAAGACCAACUGCACACUAGUCAACAAGGAUGACAAAUCCAUUACAUUCAAGGGAAAGAGAGUUGAGAAUAUCUAUAAAAUAAAUUUCUCUGAUCUGGCUGAUCAGAAGGUAGUUUGCCUUCUGUCAAUGAAUGAUAAAAAAUGGGUAUGGCAUAAAAGGUUGGGACAUGCUAAUUGGAGAUUAAUUUCUAAAAUUAGCAAGUUACAACUGGUCAAAGGAUUGCCUAACAUUGAUUAUCAUUCAGAUGCACUUUGUGGUGCAUGUCAGAAAGGGAAAAUUGUGAAAAGUUCUUUCAAAUCUAAAGACAUUGUAUCAACCUCCAGACCCUUAGAAUUACUCCAUAUUGAUCUUUUUGGUCCAGUUAACACUGCAUCUUUAUAUGGAAGUAAAUAUGGAUUAGUCAUUGUUGAUGAUUACAGCAGAUGGACUUGGGUAAAAUUCAUUAAAAGUAAAGACUAUGCAUGUGAAGUGUUUAGCAGCUUCUGCACUCAAAUACAAUCUGAAAAAGAAUUGAAAAUUUUGAAAGUCAGAAGUGAUCAUGGUGGAGAAUUUGAAAAUGAGCCAUUUGAACUUUUUUGUGAAAAACAUGGGAUUCUCCAUGAGUUUUCUUCUCCUAGAACUCCACAACAAAAUGAGGUUGUAGAGAGAAAGAACAGAACCUUACAAGAAAUGGCCAGAACCAUGAUCCAUGAAAACAACUUAGCUAAACAUUUCUGGGCAGAAGCAGUUAAUACUUCAUGUUAUAUUCAAAAUAGGAUCUAUAUCAGACCUAUGUUGGAGAAAACAGCAUAUGAACUCUUUAAAGGAAGAAGACCCAAUAUCUCUUACUUUCAUCAGUUUGGAUGUACUUGUUACAUCUUAAACACUAAAGACUAUCUGAAGAAAUUUGAUGCCAAGGCUCAAAGAGGAAUCUUUUUAGGUUACUCUGAAAGGUCAAAGGCGUACAGAGUGUAUAAUUCAGAAACACAUUGUGUUGAAGAAUCUAUGCACGUAAAAUUUGAUGAUAGAGAGCCUGGAAGUAAAACUCCAGAGCAAAGUGAAAGUAAUGCAGGUACAACUGAUUCUGAAGAUGCAUCAGAAUCUGAUCAACCUUCUGAUUCUGAAAAGUAUACAGAAGUUGAAUCUAGUCCAGAAGCUGAAAUCACUCCAGAAGCUGAGUCUAAUUCAGAAGCAGAACCUAGUCCAAUAGUACAGAAUGAAAGUGCUUCUGAGGAUUUUCAAGAUAACACUCAGCAGGUUAUUCAACCUAAAUUCAAGCACAAAUCUUCACAUCCUGAGGAGCUAAUCAUUGGAAGCAAAGAUAGUCCUAGAAGAACAAGAUCACAUUUCAGACAAGAAGAGUCAUUAAUAGGAUUGCUUUCAAUAAUUGAGCCUAAAACUGUUGAAGAAGCUCUCUCAGAUGAUGGAUGGAUAUUAGCUAUGCAAGAAGAGCUAAAUCAAUUCCAAAGGAAUGAUGUUUGGGAUCUGGUACCCAAACCUUUUCAGAAGAACAUUAUUGGAACAAAAUAGGUAUUCAGAAACAAGCUGAAUGAACAAGGAGAAGUAACCAGAAACAAAGCCAGACUUGUUGCUCAAGGCUACAGUCAACAAGAAGGCAUUGAUUACACUGAAACAUUUGCUCCAGUUGCAAGAUUGGAAGCAAUCAGGUUACUUCUAUCCUACGCAAUUAAUCAUGGCAUAAUAUUAUAUCAAAUGGAUGUCAAAAGUGCUUUUCUUAAUGGUGUCAUUGAAGAAGAAGUGUAUGUUAAACAACCUCCUGGGUUUGAGGAUCUUAAGCAUCCUGACCAUGUUUAUAAACUUAAGAAAUCACUAUAUGGCUUGAAACAAGCUCCCAGAGCUUGGUAUGAUAGACUAAGUAAUUUCUUAAUUAAAAAUGAUUUUGAAAGAGGACAAGUUGACACAACACUCUUCAGAAGGACUCUUAAGAAAGACAUUUUGAUUGUACAAAUAUAUGUUGAUGAUAUAAUAUUUGGUUCUACUAAUGCAUCUCUUUGCAAAGAAUUUUCUAAGUUAAUGCAGGAUGAAUUUGAAAUGAGCAUGAUGGGAGAAUUGAAAUUCUUUCUUGGAAUUCAAAUCAACCAAAGUAAAGAAGGAGUAUAUGUUCAUCAAACAAAAUAUACAAAGGAGCUUCUGAAGAAGUUCAAGCUAGAAGAUUGUAAAGUGAUGAACACUCCAAUGCAUCCAACCUGCACCUUAAGCAAAGAAGAUACUGGAACAGUAGUAGACCAGAAGCUAUACAGAGGUAUGAUUGGUUCUCUGUUAUACCUCACUGCAUCUAGACCUGAUAUUUUAUUCAGUGUAUGCUUGUGUGCAAGAUUUCAAUCAGAUCCUAGAGAAUCUCAUUUAACUGCAGUUAAGAGAAUCUUCAGGUAUCUGAAAGGAACAACUAAUCUUGGACUCCUGUAUAGGAAAUCCCUAGAUUAUAAGUUGAUUGGAUUCUGUGAUGCUGGUGACAGGAUUGAAAGAAAAUCAACCAGUGGAAAUUGUCAAUUCCUGGGAGAGAAUCUGAUAUCUUGGGCAAGCAAAAGACAAGCAACUAUUGCUAUGUCUACAGCAGAAGCAGAAUACAUUUCAGCUGCAAGUUGUUGCACACAACUACUUUGGAUGAAACAUCAGUUGGAAGACUAUCAGAUUAAUGCUAACAGUAUUCCCAUCUAUUGUGAUAAUACUGCUGCUAUUUGUUUGUCAAAGAAUCCAAUUCUACAUUCAAGAGCCAAGCAUAUUGAAAUCAAACACCAUUUUAUCAGAGACUAUGUUCAAAAAGGGAUUUUAGAUAUACAAUUCAUUGAUACUGAACAUCAAUGGGCUGAUAUAUUUACAAAACCUUUAUCUGUUGAAAGAUUUGAUUUUAUUAAGAAAAAUUUGAACAUGCAUUUUGUGUCUGAUUGAAAAAUUGCUUGCCUCUGAAUAAGAAGUUUGGUUCUGAAGUCUAUUCAGAAGCAUCUGGUCCAUCAGAAGCUCUUAAAUGAGGUUCUGAGGAAAACGUGCUUCUGAAGAUGACGUCAGCGCUAAGACUUCAGAAGCGGUAUUCUUUGCUUCUGAAUAGCAAGGUUAGUGGGAACGUUGGCAGUUACUUUUUGUAACAGCUGUCCCAUUACCCAAAAGGUAGUUUUCUGAAGAGUCUCUGACGUGGUCUAUUUGUAUUGGAGUAUAACAAAAAGGGCAAUGAUGUUUUACUUGCUUUUUAACAUACUAACACGCGCCCCCAAUUUGUCAUUAAUGCUAUGUUUGUUUGUCUCUUCUGAAUUACAAACGUUUUACUUAAAAACACUAAGUCAAUUCACACACUACUCACUUCACAACAAACACUUUCUAUUUUCUUCUCAACCCUCUGCGAAAGUAAGCGCAUUCACUCUUCCUCUCAAAACACCGUAGAACCCUAAAACUCAUUCAAAUCAAUGGAAAGCUCAAGUUCUGCUGGUGGUUCAUCAUCAAAUAUGGAAAUAGAUAUUCCAGCCUAUGAGAUUAAAGGAAGAACCAUGUCUAUUGAAGAAUGGGAGUUAAUCAUUCAAGCAGAAAAUCCAGUGGAUUUCGCCUCCUUAACUCACCAUGGAUGCGACCUAGUAAGAUUCUACAAGAAGCAAAAGCUGAUGAACUACUUCAGUCUUCUCAAUGGUCCAACUUAUGAAGUUCUGGUCAGACAAUUCUGGGUAAGGGCUUCAGUCUUUGACAUUGAAGCUGCUAGGCAGGAAGAAGCUCAACUAAUUCUGGUUGAUCCUACUCUAAAGGGAAAAACCAGAGAAGAAAUGGGUCUACUCUCCUUCACCGGCACAGAGAUUAGAUCAAAUGUCAUGGGUAUUCCUGUAACCAUAAAUGAGCAGGUUAUUGCUCAAGCCAUGGGAAGGGAUACCUCUGGCAAAUACUUUGGAGAAGAGAUUCCUAAUCCAAGAACCAGCUCUUGGAAGGAAAUUGUCAAUGAGACCAUUUAUGGGUCUAAGGUUGCUCAACCUUACAGCACUUUGAGCAUUGAGAAGAAGUUGCUGCUGAAGAUUCAGAAUGAAAACAUCUUUCCUAAAGGUGGAGGAAAUGAUCAACCUUCUCUUGGUCACAAGGUUUUUCUACAUCACACCAUCACUCAAGAGACCACAAUGAAUGUUCCUAAGUACAUGUUCAAGUACAUGAUCAAGGAACUAAAGAAGAGUCAGAUGGAAAACAGAAAGUUUGUUCCUUAUGGAAGGCUACUCUCUGUAAUCUUUCAAGAAGGAGGACUUCUAAGUGCCUUGAAGGAUGUUGGCAUCUAUGAUAACCAGAAGCUGGGAGCAGUAACUGGGAAGAUAAUCAAUGCAUCAACACUUGUGAAGAUGAAAUUGAUUCCAGCAAAUGCUCACAAGAAACUAGAUUCUGAUAUGCAUGAAUCUGAUGCAAUAUCUGAUCUAAUCACUCAUCACAUCCCUAUCUGCAAGAAGGAUCCUCUGGAUGUGCAAAGGGCCUACAUCUUGGACUUCUACAAGACUUACAAGAAGAAGAUCAGCUUGAAAGAUGUCCCUGAGGAGAUGUAUGGUGGUGAUCUGCCUGUAGCCAAAGGCAGAAAAUCAAAGAAGAAGCAGAUCACCAAGGAAGAAUAUCUUGCUGAAGAUGCUACUGAGAAGGGUGCUCAGAAGCAUCAGAAAGCUAAGAAGGAAAAAUCUACCUUGUCCACUAUUCAAGAGGAAGUGGAGAACUUAGAUGAAGUUCCAAUCAUCAGAAAAAGGACAAGGAAUGCUCAAGAAACGGCAGAACAGCUUGCUUCUGAACAACCUGCUUCUGAACAAGCUGCAUCUGAAGAGCCUCAGAGUCCUAAGAAGAAAAGAGAAGCUGCUCUUCAAACCAUCAAAAGGAAGAGAUCUUCAAGAAAUUUGAAGACAGCUGAAGGACGAAGGGAGGAAAUGUUGGAAGAGCUUCAAGAAAACUGGGAUGAAGACUCAAGUCCCAAGAAGGCAAAAAGGACUAUAACUUCUGAGACAAUAGUCAUGCCUAGUUUUGAAGCUUCUGAGGAAUUAAAGCAAUAUGCUAGGGAGUAUUCUGCAUCCAAGAUAGCAGAAAGGAAAAGGAUGAAGGAAUUGUAUGAGAAGCAAAGGGAUGAGCGUCUCAAGGCUGCAGGGUAUGUGCCUACUCCUGUCAUUGCUGCUUUAGCAUCUGAGUUAGAGCAAGAAACAGUUAAGUAUGGAGCAACUCUGCUUUCACAAGCCUUGAAGAAUAAGCAAGCUUCAUGAGCCACUUCAUCAGAACCAGUUUCAAAAGCUCCAGAAGCAGUUCAUCCAGAAGCUCAAUCUUCAGGUAAUUCAUCCAAACCUGACAUCUAUACUCAGAUUCCAUCUCUACCCUUUUCACCCUCAUCAUCAUCAACUGAAUCAGAUGACCAACCCCUUAGCCAACACAUAGACAAACUUCUUAGAACCAAACCCACCAAACUAACAGAAUUUGGAACACUUGAUUAUGAGCAAACUCAAAUAGAAUUUUCUAAGAAUAGGAUUAAACUUUGUGAGAAAUUCAAUUUGCCUACUACUCAUCCACUCUAUCCAGAAAUUCCAGAACCUGUUAGUGUACAACAACCUCAACCCAACCAAGAACCUAACCAAACAAACCCACAAAAUGACCAAACUCCACAAAGAGCCUCUGAAGUAGUUUCAGAAGCAACUACUUCAGAAAUCCCCCAACAACAAGAAUCCUCAACCCUUCAUAAUUUAGAAAAACACUUAGGUGGUGAAAUGCAACCUACACCCACAAAGGCCUCUAAGACAGUCCCUGGAAUGACCGUGUUAGAAAACCAACAAACAGAAACCAUCCCUGAGCAAACUGUUCCUGAACAAACUGUUCCUGAACAAGCUGCUUCUGAACAAGUUGCUUCUGAACAAGUUGCUCCUGACCAUCAAACAACAGAACAACAACAACCAAAACCACCAAUCAUUGACCUAACCUCUUCUGACCAACAAACAGCCUCUGACCAACCCUCCGCAUCUCAUACAACUCAAUCUGAACCUUCAACCAUCCCUGACUCUAUCCUUGAAUCUGAGUAUAUAGAUGAACAGCUAAUCAGGCUUAGUGAUGAGAUUCAGACACUGAUUCUUCGCAGAACAGUUCCUGUACCUCCUAUUCACUAUCUUGAUCAAUGGAUGGAUCUAAAAAAGAGUUUUGAUGACCUGCUGGAUCAGCUAAGCUCUAAGUGUGUCUCAUCUCACUCUGCCAUGCUGCAAAAGAUGUUGGAUGAUAUGCAUGAAGCAGCUAGAGUGAAAGAGCUGAAUUACGUGCCUCUGCUGGACAUCACUCCUUUCUAUCCAGAAGAAGAGUACAUCACAAGGGCUGCAAGAAUUCAUGCUGGGUAUAAAAGAAGAAUGAGAGAAAAGGAUGAGCUACUUAAGCAGAAGGAUGAACAAAUUAAGUAUCUCUUGGAACAGAUGUACAAGCAAGCCCAACCUUAGUUGCACACCAAUUUUUUUUGCUUGCUUUAAUCUUUGUUCUAAGUACUUUAGUUGCACUGCUUUUGUAUCUUAAUUUCUCUAUAUAUAUAUAUUAUCCUUGUUUCUGGAUCUUGUGCUUUUUCACCUUCAAUAUAUUUUUACAAGCUUUAACUCUGAUAAUAUUUACUGUUUUUAAUGCUGCUUGCUCUGAUAUACUAUUUUUUAAAGGUUAUAUGUUUAUUCUUUUGUUUUAUUUGCUCUGAUACUCUUUCUUUUGUUUUUAUUCUUUUUGUUGAUGACAAAAGGGGGAGUAAAUGUAUAGCAUUUUAAGGCACUGAGCCCCACUAUAACCACUCCUAAACUUUUUUAAAUACUUAUGAUAUUAUUUUUAUGAGUAUUUUAUUGAAAUUUAAUUAAUAAGAAUAGAACUCAGGGGGAGCUUACAAACCUCACCUUAAAGAUCUAUUAGACUCAGGGGGAGUUUACAAACCUCUAUCCCAGUGGUCAACUUAUUAAUUAGAUCAACAACAAUUGAACAUUUUAAAUACUAUUGUUUGUCAUCAUCAAAAAGGGGGAGAUUGUUGGAACAAAAUGUGUUUCACAAUGAACCUUAUUAAGUUUUGAUGAUAACAAGGUAUUAAAAAUUGUCAAUUGGUUAUUACUAAUAAUUGUUCAAGUGUACAGGACCAAAAGGCUACUCAAGUUAUUUCAAUAGGUCUUGGAAGAACAAUGGAAAGAAAAAAGAAAUUCUGAGCAUCUGAAGAAAACUGCUCCUGAAGCUGAAGUGCUUCUGAAGUGAUGACGUCAUCAGAAGCAGAAAGUCAUCAGAAGCAAAAGUUUUCAUCAGAAGCAAUAUCUUCACCAGAAGCUACGUUUGAUCCUUUAAUCAAACUGAAGAUUCAAAGUAGCUGAUUCUCAAUUCAGUCUUAUCCAAGAAGAACGAAGAAUUGAAAGGGAGGUAUCAACGGAUAUAUGGAUAGCACUGAGCACUUGUCUCUCGUUAAUAGAGUUGACAAAGUACAAGUGUACAACCACUACCUCCACUACUCUGUUUUCUGUCUACGCUACAAGACAAAACAACAGCCAUGCCUGCAGAAUUUGUACGUUCAAGAUGGGAAUGAAUUUGAAGCUUAUUCUUCAAAGGACUACACCCAAAUCAGGCAAAGGAUCACUGGUGGAUAAUCAAAGGAUUUCAAACGACUCUUUAGACGUGCUGAUUAUCUCAACGUCUCUUUCACGCCUCUAUAUAAAGGAGUGAAGACUUGAAGAUUAUACAUAGAGAUACAUAAAUUCAAAAGCGCCAAAACUCUGUCAAUUUGAUUCUACAAAGCACACUGAAUUUCUGCACUGAUUUGAUACAUCUUAGAAAUUCAAAGUCUAGAGUCUUUACUGUAUUGUAUUGUGAACACCACUGAUUGUAUAUCAAGUGUUCAACUCAAACUCAAUUCUCUGUAUUUUUGUUUGAUUAGAAGUCUCUUGCCUGCGUGCUUGAGCAUUAGAAGUCUCUUGCUUAGUGCUUGAGCAUUGGAAGACUCUUGCGUGUGUGCUUGAGCAUUUUUGUGAAGUCUCAUACUUAGAAAGUAUUGAGCAGUUGUAAUCUUUGUGAUUAUAGUGAAAUCUCCUUGGAAGUGCAAGGGGGACUGGACUACUUCCGUGUUGUGGAAGGAACCAGGAUAACUGCUUGUGUCUUUGUCUUUCUUUUCUCUGCUCUGUUCUUUUCUGCUGCAAUCUGACUCUGAUCAUUUCAUCAGAAGCAAUCAAACUGCUUCUGAAGUUUUAUCAGAAGAAGUAUUUUUUAAGAGAAAAAGAAAACACAAUUCAACCCCCCCCCCCCCCCCCCCCCCCCUCUUGUGUUUUUCACCUUCAAAUAGAUGAUUAUAGGAUCUAAUAAUAUUAAGGGUCUAGAUGGUAGGAUCAAGAAGACAAAGGUACGAGACUUCAUUGCAUAUAACCAUCUUGAUUUUCGUUGUGAUACAUGAAACUAAGUUAGAUCAAAUUUCAUAUGCUCUAAUUUAUUUACCUUUGAUAGAAUUCUUUUUGUGAUUGGAGUUUCACUCCGUCGGUUGACAUAAUGUUGGGAUUAUGUCUAUUUGAUGUAAAACCAACUUGACUUUAGUCUUCUCUUUUUGGAGCCCCGACUAUAUGGGGAUGUGCCUAGAUUAGGGGAGAAAAGGGUAAUGUGGGAUCAUAUGAUGAGUACUUUUAAUGCUUUGGGGGUAUUUGGUUGGUGUGUCUUUGGUGAUUUUAACUCAGUCUAGGAGGAGUGCGAGCAGAGGGUCGUUCUUCAUAUCUUAGGAGUGGGGACACGAUUUAGAUCACGGUCACGGAGUUUGCUAAUUUUGUUUCCCAAAUCGGUCUCUUUGAUCUACCCCUCCUUUGAAGGCAAUUUUUGGGGUUCCAACCUCAUGGAACCGCAAUGAGUUGCUUGGAUUGUAUUCUGAUAUUUGUUAAAGUCAUUGCUUUUGAAAAUAAUUCUGAACUAGUUUCUUGAUCAGCUCAUAUUGGCUUUGCAGUGCUUGAAGCUUCACCUUCUUUGACUUGUCAUGACCACCUUAUGCUUUAUUAAGAGUAUCCCAAACACCUUUUGUGGUUUCUUGAUAAACUAUCUUUUCAAAGAUAUUGGGAUCAACACUUGAAUGAAUUAGGAACAAGCCUUUUCCAUCCGUCUUCUUUUGCUCUCAAUUGGCAGAUCUUUGUGCAUCACCAGCAUUAUCUGGCAAAUCUAGAACACAUCUUGAAAUCAUUCACAUUCACGAUUUCAAACACAUCUUGAAAUCUGAAUAUGACUUUCAUUUUAGGACACCACUUGUCACAUUUCUGACCUUUGAAGAUGGGAAGAUUUGCAGGAAAAAUGUCCAUUGUUUGUGGAAUUCGCCAUUGUUGAAAAUUAAAAUUGUUGUAUCCAAGAUCGAAUCAAUUGUUACACCAGUUUGUUGGAACACUUGAUGGUUUUGAAGAAGGGGAAAUGUGGUAAAAGGAGAAAAUGUGUGCUAUGUGAAAGAAUCAAAAGUUUUUAUUUAUUAACAAUUGUACAAUUAACAUCCGUUGAGAUUACUUAUAUCCGAAAUAGCUCAACUAACUCUAAAACAAACUAGUUGCUUGGCUAACACGUUACAGACUCAACUAACUAUAUCUAAUGGUUAAUUGUCCAACAUUGAAUUACAUCACAAAAGUUAGCACAUGUUAUUUGAAAGGACAAAACUUAUGCACAGUUUCAUACCUGCUGUUUUUGCUAUUUUCAAAUCAAAACGUGACAUCUGUACAACUUAUCCACGUCAGCUAACGUAGUGAAAACGGCGUGAAGUUCUUAACGUUUCCAGCAAAUCCCUUUUUUAGGAGCACUACACAACCACCGUCCCCAUGCGCUAACAACAUAAACUGGCAAGGAGAGAAUCUAAAAGAGCAAGGUAAAGAAUUGAUGGAGAUGCACAUAAAGAGUAAGAGGAAUGGGUUGGAAUUUUGAUUGAAGAUGUUAAAUACAUUGAUUUUAUGUAUUUAUCUCUAUUUUUCUCAAUAAAGAAAUAGCUUGAGGCAUCAACUUUAAUCUAUGUGACAAUAGACAAAAUCCAAACUUGGUUUGGAAUGUUGUACAAUCAAACAAAAUUGUUACUCUUAAUCAAUCUCCAACUUAAUAGUCUCCACUGUUUAUAUAGUGGUUUGUUCCUAUGAGUUAAUGAAUCGCAGACUCAAUUACAACCACAAUACAAUUUCUCACCAACAAGUGAUAACCAACAUCGAUUAUUGGAAAGAUGAAAGAAGGCAUUAAAAUGAAUUUGACCAAAUUGUAUUAGAAGGAUCGUAUGCUUUUGACUAUGGAUUAUGUGUGGUGCUCGUCAAAAACGAGUUGCGAUUGAUUAUAGGGAAACAAUAAAAAUUUCACACCGUUUCACUUCUUCAGGUGACGUGGAUAAAUUGUACAGAUGUCAUGUUUUAAUUUGAAAACAGCAAAAACUGUAGGUAUGGAACUGUGCAUAAGUUUUGUCCUAUUUGAAAUAAUUCAAAAUCCCAUUAUUGAUGAAAUUAGAGUUAAAUAUGUUUUUGGUCCCUAUAAAUGUACCAACUUUUCGUUUUAGUCCCUCUAAAAUUUUCCUUCAACUUUUAGUCCCUAUAAAAUUUUCAAUCACUACUUUCGGUCCCUAUUUUUAAGUUAAUUUUAGUUUUUUUUUUUUAAUGAAAUUAUGCAUAAAUGUGUAGAAUAUUGUAAAAAUAUUUCCCAAAAAAAUUUAGAAUUUUUUAACAAAACAUAAAUUUAAUAUGAAUUUUUAACCAUAAAAUAUAUAAAAUUCAUAUUAAAUUCAUGUUUUGUUAAAAAAAUUUAAAUUUUUUUGGGAGAGCUUCUUAUAAUAUUAUGAAUUUUUCUUGCAAAAUUUUAUUAAAAAAUAUGAAUUCUACAUAUGAGUUUACUUUAAAGGAGGGACCAAAAAUGAAGAUGGAAAAUUUUAGAGGGACUAAAAGUUGAAGGAAAAUUUUAGAGGGACUAAAACGAAAAGUUGGUAUAUUUAUAGGGACCAAGAUCAUAUUUAACCCAUGAAAUUAAUACCAAAAUAAAAUUCUACUACGAUUUUUAAGUUUGGAUAUUUUUGAAGCUCUUCAAAAUUGUUGCAAUUGGAAGGUUUAAAUCUUUUAUGGCUUCCAUGGCAUGGAUUGCACCAUGGUAGUCAAAAUCACGAUCCAACUCGUGGGAUCGUACGAUUUUGCAAUCUUGUUACCCCUUGACGUGCUUGAGUGUGGCCGGAAUCAGAAUAUGGUGGGUGUAACAGCCUGAUUUUCACUAGAUUUAUUUUAAUUGUUUUAAUAUGUGUUUUUAUAUGCUUUUAUGUGAUUAAUUGCCUCUGUGUGUAUUUUUGAUUGGGAUUAUUAGAAUUUGGUAUACGAAGGGUAUUUUGGUCAUUUUGUGAGUAAGGGUAAAUUAGUAAUUUUUGGUGGAGAAUAUUUUUGUUACUAUUUAGUAAGAACCAUUAUUUUACUAAGUUACUAGUGUGGUAAAUAGUUGUGAGCCGGUAAGUGACCGUUGUUAGUAUUUUACCGUUAAGUGUGUAGAAACAUUUUAGAAUUGUGAUUGAGUGGAUUAAGUCCACUAAGGCAUUAGGGUUAAACUCAUUUGAGAAUAGCCUAUAUAAACCUUUUCUUAAGAGAAAAUAGCAUUCAUUUUUCAUUUCAUAAGAUUUUUAGAGAGAGGUAGAGAGAGAAAGUGCGAGAGAAGAGGAAAAGGGUUAGAAGAAAGGAGUCUUGAAGACCUAAGAGGUGGUGGAGAUUCUAGGAGCUAAAUUGAAGCUUGUGUUAGGAUUUUUGCUAACUAAGGUAAGAGGGUUAGAAUUCAACCAUAAUCAAUUAGUUGUAAUUUUUCAUUAAAUGCUUAAUUGGAUAAGUGAUUAUUUGUUCAUAGUUAUUGAAAUUUGUUAUACCCUGUUUUUGGACCUAAAAAUACUGGGCCCAAUUUCAUUUCAAACUUUGUCAAUUAUUAAAUUUCAACUGCACAGUUCAAAUUGUCUCUGCCUCGCAGUAUUUUCAACCACAAUUUCAUCUAUGUUUUUCUUGCAUAAAACCUUUUGAAAUGUCUUUACUUGUCUUAUAAGUCAUUCAAAAGUGUCUAUGGAUCAUUACAUUACUUUUACCACAGUUUAUUUCAAAAUUUGCAAAAAGUCAUACAGAAGGGUACUUUGGUCAUUUCUUGCAGUGGGACCCAUUUUCAUCCUUGUGACUGUCUCUGAGUCUUUUCAGAUUGUUUUUUUACAUUUCAUCAGUAAACCUUGUUAAAUUCAUUUCAAACUUGCAUCUGAGUCAGUGUCAAGUCAAUUUGAAUCUGUUUAGGCCCUAGGGGCAUUUUGGUCAUUUCACACAAAAUUUUGGCAUAGAGAGGUUACUUUGAAGUACCUCAUUUGGGCCAUUGGUUCGUUUUAGUCCGUUUUGUCAAUUUUAUUUUAGUUUCACUUUACGUUUUGUCAGGUUACCAAUUUUAUUCCAAUUUUAUUUUUUUUAUUUUACAUUUUGGUCCCCAAAGAGGUCCAAAAUUGCGUAUCAGUCCAGAACUUUCUUUUUUUUACAUUUCAGUCCUUUUUGGGUUAUUUGCAGUUUAGUCCUUAAAGUUUUUGUUUUUGCAGAAAAGUCCAAAGUUCAUUUCAGGACCAAGGCCGUGCCACUUUGAUACAAGUCCAGAUGUCACAAUUCCAUUGGCUCAAGUGUACACAUGUCAGCUAUAAAUACAUUGAGUCAGAAUCAGAAGCAAUAAUUACACGCCACAUCACAAACAGAAACCACAAUCUCUCUCCUUUCAGUUACAGAUCAAAAUCAUCAAGUUCAUCAAGAACACAAGAACCCUAAAAAUUUCCAGAACCAAAAAUUCAUACACAAAUUCAUUGAUUUUCACAUCAAUCCUCAGAGAUUCGUGUGAAUCUUCAUCACUGGAUUGAAGAAUUCUCCUACAAUUCAAAGUGCGAGCUCACAUUGAAGCAAGCUCAAGCACUGAUCAUAGGGAUCUCCUUUUUUCACGCAGAAUCUAAGAAGCAUUGAAGCAAGCUCAAGCACGUAAUCACUGAGAGAGAAGCAGAGAAAGAAUCGGAGAAGAUGAAGAAACAGAACCGGUAAACCGAUUUAUUUUCGGUCCAAAAAGCAAGCAGAAGAGUCAAAAAUCAUCAAGAACAUUCAAGUUUUUCCAAAUAUUUUCCUCCAUUAAAAGUUUCAACCAAAACUUCAGGUAAAACUCAUUUCCUCUCUCAGAAAGUGUUAAUCACAGUUAAACCUGUAAAAUCACGCGAGCAAGCAUAUCAAAAAAAUUUCCAGAAUUCAAAGAAAACCGUAACCGUAAGCACGAAACCUAGAUCCAUAAGGAUCUAAGUUUUGAAAGCAAGAACGAGUACCAGAAAAGUAAUCCAACGACGAAACGAUGUAGAUCUUUAAAGAUCUAAACGUUUUUGUUCAAAAAUCAAAAAUCAUUUCAAAACCGUAUAAAGUAUUUUCAAGAUCUACGUUGUUCCAAGCUGUAUUUGAAAAAAUAAUUGCUGGAUUCGUGUUUAGGGAUAAAGGACGAAUCAAAAGAAGUAAGAAUCUUUGAAAUCUGGAAAUUUAGGUCACCGGAAACUGCAUGAACUCGCCGGAGAAGAUGAAGUUUCCGGCGGACCUUCAAGGUCUCCGCCGUAGCUUCAUCCUCGCCGGCGGCGAGGUUAGAGAGAGGUGAGAGAUGAGAGAAGAGAGAAGAGUUAGAGAGAGAAAGGAUUUUAAAAAAUGAAAUAAACCGGUGCUCUUCUGUUUUUAUAAGCCAGCGAACCGGACCGGUCCAGUCCGGUCCAUUCUCCUUUGAUUCCUGGCCGUUUGAUCUAGGGUUUCAGAAUCCUGGAUCAAUCGUGUGGUUCCUGUGCAUCCGGAUCUUUUAGGUUUGGGCUUGGGCUUGUUUCUUUUGGUUUUCUGCGUUUUUUUGCUUUUUUGUGCUAUUUACACUACCUUUUUUUGCUAUUUGCACCUGUUACUUGCCUACUUUUUUUAUAAAAAAUUCCUAAAAAAUCCUAGUUGUUUCUUAAUGUAUUUUUGGUAUUUCUAUGGUAUUUUUGCAUGUAAAAAAAAUGGUAAAAUGGCAUGAACUAAUUUCCAUGUAUUUUUACACUUUUGGUAUACUUUUUGCUAUGUUUUUGUUCUUGAUACUUUGAUAUGUGUUAUGAAUAAAUGAUACCCUAUCUUGUGAUGAAUAUGCCUCUGGACAUGUGCUUCUUUUUGCUGUUUUUGAAUAUGAUUUUAUGGAUUUCUUGUUUUACAAGCAACAAGUGUUUGUUUUAAAGAAUAAAGUGUCAAAUUUCUCUAUGAAUUUGGUGUGAUACUUUGCUUGCAUGUGUCUCCAUUAAUUUCAUGUCAUGGCUUGAAACAAAAUCUCUUUCAAAGUUGCUAUGAUGUGAUGAUUAUGGGUUACAAGUACCUUUAAGUAUCAUAUCAAAUUUUUUAGGUUUAUUACCACUUUAUAACUUUCUUUUGCUUUUCCUAUGCAAUUUCUUUUUGUUUAUUUCCUACUAUUUUGUGCUUUGUGAUUACUAACCAUUUCAUCUCAUGUGUCAUAUAUUUCAUAGCAUUCCACCACCCCCUUCACUUUCUUUAGCCUAGCAUUUAUUUUUGCAAGUUUUAAUUCAUUUUGGGGUGUAAUUUGUUAUCAUUGGUUUGUAGCUUGGCAAAGGGGCCAUAGAAUGUAUUUAGGCAAUUUUUGUAAUAUGUACUAUGGACACUAUGACGCACCGGCACGCACACACUCACCCUAGAUGUAUGCCUAAGAUUGUAUGUGUAGAUGUAUGGCUAGGAUUGCAUGUUUAGAUGAAUGCUUAGGUUUAAACACUUAGAGAAAAAUCCAACUUUUUCCAAAACAUGCAAAUAACCUCACUUGAAAACCUUUUUGAAAAUAAAAUAGGAGUCAAAACUCCUUAUUUCCCUUUUAUUUUCCUAAGUAAAAUUUCUAAUAAAUCUUAACUAUACUUGGACUUCAUUUUGAAAAAGUUAAUUCCACCUCACUUUUUUCCAAUCUCAUGCCCUCGAGGCCUCUCAUCUCUAUUCUUCAAAAUCUCUUUUCAAACUUAAAAUCAACCAACAAAAACAAAAACCAUUUUUGAGAAUGAACUACAAAUGGUUUUGAUCCCUAAAAAGGGUACGUAGGCAAUGAGUCAAAACUCCUCCAAGCCGAAAUAAAAUCAAAUUCUACUUCUUCUCACCCCCAUUCUUAACUAAUCACACCUUCAUUUUUUACAAAUAAGCAAUAAAACUAAAGCGUAGAAAUAAACUUAGGAGAGCGGUUCUUAUGGAAUACCAUAAUCGCUCCGGGUGCCUAACACCUUCCCGUAGCGAAAACGACCCCCGAAUCUAGAACUUUUUAAGGGUUUUUCUCCUUUUACCCUUCCCAAGAAAAAAGAGAGAUAUCAACGGUCGAAAGGUUCAAGUCCAAUUAAUGGCUUGGCACCCCAAAACCAUGAUAACAAAAUUCGUGCUCUAAUUAUGGUGAUAUGUUUGAAUACAUGAAAUUGGUGAUAAUUGAAUUGUUGUUGGUGAAAUUACAUGUUCAUAGUAUGUGAAAAUGAUAUAUUGUGAAUUGUGCUCUAAAUGUUGAAUUGUGCUAUGUUGUUGUCGAAUUAUGAUGUGGAUCAUGUUUAAUUGAUGUUGUUGUUGCUAAGAAAUAUUGUUGUUGAUGAUUCAUGGCUUGGGUGUUCAUAAAUCAUGAUUUGAUGAUGAGAAUUAAGUUGUUGUUGUUGGUUUUGUAAAAAUGGGUUGAUUUAUUGAAUUAUGUUCAAAUGUCAAUUGUUUUCAUGUUUAAUGUGUUCUUGGGAACCCUUUUAGUUGUUUUGACCUAUAAACAAACUUUGGAAACAUAUUUGGGCAUUGGGAGAUCAAAAUUGGAAAUUUUGUGUGAAAAAGGGUUCAAACCCGUAAUUUUUUUCUGCAGAACUAUGACUGUUCGCUUAAGCGAACAAUCACAGUAGGUUUUAUGACUGGGUCGCUUAAGCGAACCGGAAGCAAACAACAAGCGAACUUUUGUUGUAGCUUCUGGAACUUGUUCGCUUAAGCAAACUUGCAUAGUUUUAGCAACCUUUGAUUUUUCGUUCCGGGCUUUAAGGGGCCAAUCCGAGCUUUGUAAAAUGCUUCUUUCAACUAGUUUAACCACUAUUUGAACUUUUAAAUCUACUGGAACAUGUGUUUACUCAUUUGAAUUUUGGAUUUUCCAUUUUGGUUUGAAACUUGAAUUUUUGGUGAUUUGAUGAUUUCGGACUUUUGUCGAAAUGAACUUUUGUGAACUAACUGAGAUUACAAGUUUGGUCUACAGUUCAUAUAGACUUAGGCAAGACUUGUAAAGUUGGUUAAAUGUCUUAAUCAUGUCAAACUUGAUAUUUCGGGUGGGAAUGUGGAAAAUGUGAACUUGGGUUUUCUCAUACGAACUUAAGUUAUACUUUGAACUAAUAUCUAAUAGUUUGUAAGUGGCUUAAGCUUAUGACUACAUGAUUGAUUAAGAUUGAUUUGUGAGUUUUCAAACUUAAAUAAGUUAUCUUAUUUUGAAAAUUAUCAAUGUUGAUCGUUUGCCACUUGAUACGGAUUUUGCCGAAAAUGAUUCUUUAAGGCCAAUUACUUUACAUUCCUUUGUGAUUAGUUGUAUAUGUUUGAAUGUAGAUAUGUGAGUAAUGGUAAUUGUUAGAGGUGAUAUUUAACACAAGGUGUUGUAUUUUCCAUUUUACUUGGAUGGUGAUAAAUUGUGCAAAGUUGAUGAAUUAUAGAAUAUAGUUGAAGUUGAUUAUUGAAUAUAUGUUGAUGAAUUGUGAUAUUUGGUGAUGACUCUUAAUUGAAUAAUGACAUGUUGAUUGUGUGGAUGUAAAUGUUUUAUAAUGCAAUUGUUGUUGAAGUUGAACGAUGUAAUUGGAGGUGUACUUUUAUAUUGUGUUGGCAUAUGUAUAUGUUUAGUAGUUUGCAUUAUUGAGUCUUUGCUUAUGUCCAUGCAUCAUCGUCAUAUCGAGUCAUAUGAGAAAUGUAAAAGGAGGUCAUGUACUUUUACAUAGUUGUGCGUAAGAGGAGGCCGUGUACUCUUACAUAAGAUGUGCGGUUGGCAUCUUGUUGUUGUUGUUUGGUACCACAUGCAUGUAUGUGUCGGAAUUAGGCGCAUAGCAUAUUGACAUGAGUCGUAAUUUUUGCAUGUGAAUGAUAAUUGUUGAAGAUUGUGAAUGAUAAUUGUUGAUGAUAAGUGUGCUUGGUGAGUACUUGAUCGUGAUAUUUGGGAUUGUUUUGUGAAUGUGUAUAUUGAAUUAGCUGUUUAUAUGAAGUACUCGAAAUUUGAUUUAAUUCAUAUAUGCUCAAAUUUAUUUUAUUGAUUAUGAUUGAUGUAAAGCUUACCCCCAGUGGUUUUGACCGCCUACCUGUCUGUAUGGAUGGGUAGACGAAGUGCAGGGUUAGUUGCUUUGGUGAGUUGCUUGCUGGUUGCUUGGAUAGCGGGAGCUAUCUCCGUUAUCGUGUCUGUAGAGUCUAGGAUAGGCUCUGAUAUAUGUGUCUGUUUAUGAUUAUUCUAGAUUAUCUGUUGUGGACAUAUUAUGUUUUGGAGAUUUACCCAAUUGUCGGGAUUUUGGAGAAUUUUGAUGAUGAUGUAUUUUGAUAUCAUUACAUGUAUACUUCUGCGGUGUAUGGUUUAUAUUCGCUGCGACUGUUGAGGAUUUUUAUACAUGCAUGUUGUUUUGGAUUUGGUUGAUGACGCGACGUCUAUUUCUUGAAUAUUUGUAUUAUUCGCAUGUUUUAUCGCUUUAAUAGAAAUAGGGCGUUACAGUGGGCGCGGCCAGGAUCGCCGCGGAAAACCGUAGAUACGGCAGAAUCGUGCGAUUCACUGAUUCUGGUUGUCUUCCUUGAAUUUCCGGUUUGCAGGUCGGACCCGCGACCCGGUUUCAUCAAAACGUGUUUUGUGGUUUUUUUUUUUGUACAAGUUUUUUCAUUUCUUAUUCCCUGAAACGGUUCGUUUCAUUAAACCCAUUAAUUAUUUAGUCAAAAUAAUAACUGUUGUGAAAGUGACUCAAAAUUGGAGAAAUUGAAGUUUGCUGAAGCUGUCAAAAUCGGAGCACAACUUUUGGAGUAGAAUUGACACUUUCAUUCGUAAAAAAUCGGAGCACGAUCUGGCAAAAUUGGAGCACGAUUUCGCGCAGAAGAAUAAAAAUAAAACGUAUUUUUAUGGGCCUGAUUUGGUUCCAAUUUAUGAGGGAUGAUUUUACUAUAAAUAUAGACAUUGUAUCAGUGUAAAUCUUGAGAUAGAGCGGGCUGAAACAAGGAUUUAGAAAGGCAACAACAAAACUAGGGUUUGUAUAGAGUUUGUCUCUUGGCAACAAACACUAGGGGUGUGUUUGUUUCAAGUUAUAAUUGUUGAUUCCCGAGAAUAAAAUGAUAGGAAUGUAUAUGCCUAUGUUUGUUACAAGUUUACUAAAUUUUAUUCCCGGGUAUAAAAUGUUCCUUGGAAUAGAAAAAAUUUCCCAAUGAAAAUGGUGGGAAUAAAGUUCCCAUGGAGAUGGGAAUAAAUUCAUAAAUAAUUUUCCUAUUAUAAUCCCUAUUUUUAUGGUUCCUAGGAAUAUUAUAAAGCUAACCAAACAUAUUUUUCUUAAAUUCCUUGGAAUAAAAUUCCUAUCUUUAUAUUUCAAGGAAUGUUAUUCCUAGGAAUAAAUUUGAUAAACUUGAAACAAACACACCCUAGGGUUUGAGGGUUGAUUCACCUUGGGAAACACUAUUAGUGUUGAGUCUCUUGGUUACGGGAAGAGAUUGGGAUUUGGGUAGAAUUAGGCGGGAGACUUAUUCUUGUAACCCAUUGAUAUCUCUUUUGUAAAGCUACUCAUCAUUACAGUGAACGGAGGGCUGCUGUCUCCCCCCGAUUAGGUCAAUUUGGACCGAACUGGGUCAACAAAUUCUUUUGUGUUCUCUCUUCUUUCUCUCUCGCUGUUUUUUAUUUUUGACUUGUGUUUAUAAUUGUUCCAUACACUUUAUUUUGGUUGCUUGAUUAUUACUCCACACAUCAAAUUUGUUAUUAGUGUGAUUUUCAUCGAAUUCGCAACAAUAACUCAAUUUAUUGUUGAAAAUCAUUCCAAUAAACCCACUAAGCAAUAAUUGUGGAAACUUAUCAAUACACCCAUAAUUUGAGGAAACUUACCAAUGCAAUUCACCCAGAUUCAUAGCACUACUCCCUCUCUCACGUUAUUUAAAUAACCUUUUAAUACUUUGUUUUACCAAAACAAUUAAUCUGUUUUUCCUCUUCUUUUAUCUUUCAAUAAUGUGAUUUUAAACAUACAUGCAAAUAAACACAAUAAUAUUAAUGAUAAAAGAAAAUACUUUGUUAUAUUAAAUUUUAAUUAACAAGUAUACAAUUUGUUUGUUUAUUGAUCAAGUAAUUACAGUGUUUUUUUUUUACUUAUAUAUAAUAUGUUUUUCAUUUUUUAUGCUUCUACAUGAGUUUGUAUGCAUAUAUAUGUCAAUAUGUGAAUUUGGUAGAAUCUUACGAUCCGUGUUACGAUCUCCUGAUUCACGAUCUUGUGAACCCUCUCCGAUCUUGUAUAAGAUCUCAAUUUUGACUACCUUAGAUUGCACCCAUCAUUGGUGGUUUGUAGCCGGGGUCUCAGAUACCUGGAAUGAGAUUCUGUAUCCGUCAAUCAUGAGUUGGAAUUAAUUGAUCACAAUUCAGCAAUGGUUUACGUGGAUGUUACAUUUUGCAUAGUCUACGAGAGAAUUUUACUACCAAUAAUUACACAAAAAUUACUUUCAUCAAAACAUAUGACUACACAAAAGGAGAUGUUAUUUGAAAUAAUUCAAAAUCCCAUUUUUGAUGAAAUUAUAACCAAAAUAAAAUUCUACCUCGAUUAAGUUUAGAUAUUUUUGUAGCUUUUCAAAAUUAUAUGGGAAAUGUUAACUAGUGUCCCGUGGCAACUGGUUAAGGAAGCAAAUAUAGUAAUCUGGCACCAAUUACUUUUGUAGCUUAAAACUCUUUUUUUUUUAUUUCCUUAACUAAUGUCCUAGGAGAACGGUUAGCAUGACCUCGGGGGCACCAAUUAAUGCCCUAGGAGAACCGUUUUGAGAGUUUAUGAAAACAUCUUAUGACAUGUCUUGAAGUUUUCAACUUAUUGAUUAACUCUAAAGGAUAGCUUAUGACAAUAGUUUAACUUUAUUUUAUCUUUUGUUAAAGAAAUAGCAAGCAUUUGUAUGAAAAUUUAUGCAAUAAGUGCACUUAAUUAUUCUUCCAAACAAAACCUCAUUAACGAAAGAGAGACUUUGAAUAUCAAACUUUGAUCAAAAAAUUUGUUUUCUAAGUGCCUGAAAAGAAAGACAGAAUAGUGUUACUUGGCUAUCACUGAACCUCAUUUUCUCUACUAUCUUUCUCUCAAUAAAUGUCAUCAUUCAACUUCUAACAGAAAAUUACAUAUUAAUUAUGUUAUAAUCAUUACCAUAUAAAAAACUUGUGAAAGAAAUAAACAAUUAUAUCCAAAUACUCGUGAAAGAAAUAAACAAUUAUAUCCAAAUACUCGUGAAUAGGCAUGACUAUCUAUAACUGUAACCUGAACCAAAUUGUGUUCAAUCAAUGGAAUGUGAAAAGGUGGUUCAAAUUAUUGAUCUCCGUUGUGCCGAACCAGACCAAUGUAUAAAUCUUCUACAAACUUCAAAGAAAAGUCAGGGAGGUCCACACCAUCGGAAAAUUACAGGAAUUCAUGAAAAGAAAGAUGUAUUGGACCAAAUGAGCUAUCAUUUGACAACUAAAGCAGGGAAAUUGCAUUUUCCUUUACAGAUUAAUCCAACCGAAGUUGCAAACUCAAAGAUGUCAAUUUCGAAAACUUGUCUGUGGAAACAGAAUAUGCUGUUGUAAUUACUUCUGUUCUUCAGCUGCAUUCUCUCCUCGCCGCUGAUGAUGAAAUGGCUGGGAGAAUCUCACCAGCAGGACCAGCAUUUAUCAAUCUGCAGAGAGCAGUACACAUAGGUCAGAGGGAUUUCGUAAAGUGUCUCGAGAGAUAUAUGAUCAAUGCAUAUAUCUUGAGUUGUUUUAUCCAAAGUUAGCAAACAAGACGGGAAGAUGGAUGGGGUUUGUACUGUCAUAUUUCUUUCUUUUCCAAGUUUUAAUUUUUUCUGUAUAGAUUUUAUAUUUUUGUUCUCUACAUUUACUAAGUGUUACAAAGAAGGAAAACAACAUAUCCAUCUUUGUUGAAAUAUGAAAAUAAAUCUUUAAGCUGCUCUCAGAAGUAUAUUGCAUGCUGGUUGAAGGUGUAUAGAAGGAGUACUAAUACUUGCUAUUUAAUAUUGAAUAUAUUCUCCAUACUGAUUUCUGUUAAAAAAAAUAUAUCUAAUUGCUAUCAAGACUUUUUUGUUUACACAUGCAUAUCAGAUGUAGCAGCGUCAUUGUUAGAAUUCUCUGGUUGCUUUAAAAAACUUAUGUUGCUUGCCUAUUUACUGUCAUACCUUCAAACAUAAAGGCUCUCAAUUCCGCAAAAACGUCACUGUUUUCAGAAGACAUCGUCAUUCAGAUAUACUUAUACGAAUCGUGUCUCUUCUAAAAGGUUCAUAUAGGCAUGCUUUGAAAAACUAAUUCACCUAUGAACAACGAAAAAUAUGAAAGUUUAUCUAAUAAAAAUAGGACUUCAACAAUUAAAAUACUUUUAUAUCAAUAGGUAGAAUAAGUAAAAUUUGAAAAUAAAGAAUCCCAUCAGAUGGUUUUAAAUAAUUUGUGCUAAUAAUUAAUGAAGCACUUAAAUUAGAGGCUCAAGAAGCUGUAUGUUAUGCAAAACCUAUGAUGAUGAUAAUCUGUUUGGCAUAUAACAUGAAUAUAGCAGAGAAAAGUGAGAAAAUUCUUGCAGCCAGCCAAUGUUUCUGUAUAUUUUAUUUUUAAUAUGCCGGUGCUGAAUAAUAACAGCCACGAGAAAUUUGAUUAAAUCAUGGUUCAACUAUGAUUAGAAAAUACCAAAUUUCACUGAUAACAAAGUGGCAAAACUUUCAAUUUUUUAUUUACUAUAAUAUUUUCUAUAAUAUCCUCACCUUAUAAUUGGUAGACACAAGUAAUUCUCGAUCAAAUGUUUUCUGGGGAACCUGAAAUCAGAGUCAUAAGAAUAUUAAGAGACCCCGAAAAAGCAAUACAAAGUCACAAGAAUAAGAAAGAGAAGAUAAUAUGGUGAAUUAAAUUAAGAAGAAUUACAUCAUGCACAACUAGCCGCAGCGUCGACACAUUCAAAUGUGGAGCCUACAAUUGGACCAUGCAUGAGUUUUGUGGAAGUGGAAUAAACAGCUACAUACUUCUGGUUGUGUGUGAGAGCAGUGGUCAAUGGUCAUGCCAUUCAUUUGGUCAUGAAUGAGAAUGGAUGGCAACAAAAGAGAACGGUUUCAGGUCACAUGUAAGCGGUCAGAAACGCCAUUGAAACAUAUAUCACAACAACCGUGCACUGUUCAACAUAAAACACAGUAGGCUGUGCAUUAUUUUUACUAUUUAAAAGAAAAUUUACUAAUGUUUGACAAGUAUAAACAGAUUGGGAAAUGUGGUGCACCUGGCUACAAUAACAUCUCAUCUCAGCUGCCAAUCAGGAAAUUGUCACAUAAGGAAUGUGAGAAAUUGUAUGCCAACGCUCUCCUUGCUCCUUUUGGUACAACUGCUUAAUUAAUGGACAGUCAUGAAUGGACAAAGUAGAAAGGGAGAUGGGUAGACCCUCCUCUGGCAAGCUCUCAAAACAAGGACAGUCUUCAAUAUAUAGAGAUUCAAGUGAAGUGAGGUGGAGAAGACCCUUGUAGUUGAUUUUUCUUAGGUUGGAACAAUUUGUCAACUCAAGAGAGUUAAUAGUUGAUGGCAGCAUACUCUCCUCUGGAAAGGAUUCCAAGAUUUCAAAAUCAUCACUAACACUCAAUUGUUUUAAAGAUUUGAGUUGGAACAAACCCCACUCCUCUCUCGAAGCCUUUUCAAGGUGGAUGGCAAUUCAUUUAUCAAAAUGCCAUCACAUCUCUUUAGUUCUAGCUCACUGAUAUUACCAGCCUUGGGAAUUGACGCCUCCAACUCUUGGCAAUCAAUAAUCUCCAAUUUUUGCAAACAAGGAAGGUAUUGAGGCAGGUCACUUUUCAACUUGGGACAAUGUUUUAUACAAAGCUCUUUAAGAAAAGGGAAACCUCCACGACAUAACCAUACCUUCCAUUCAGACAUGUUCUUAAAACACAAUGUUUCAAGGGAUCUAAAUGGAACAUUUGAUGAAUUAUAGCCGCAAAACUCUGAACCAAUGAACGUUAUUCCAUGACAUCCUGAUAUGGAAAGCUUCUUGAGAGAAGGGAACUGCCCAAGUGGUGGCAACUGGGAACAAUAUUUACAUCCCAACAAUUCAAGAGAUACUAAAUUGGGUAGAUGAUGAUCCCCAAGCCAAUUAGGAAAGCUACUACCUCUGUAGUCAUUGAUGCCGAGCCUCAUGAGAUUUCUAUUUGGUCGAAGAGCCUCCAAGAUCGAGACACGUGCUUUAGUUACUGAGUGAUGAGUAAAUAAUGAGUAGUUUUUAUAUAAUAUUUGAUUUCGUUUUAUUUAGAUUUAAGUUUAUUUUAUUUUAAUAUACGGCCAUGCCACCUCCUAGGCCUACUUUUGCUGCUUUUGCUUCAUGGACAAGCUGCCUAUUUUGACCUAAAAGCCCGUGGUUUCUUGUGGAACAUUCUACUGAAUAGUUGCUUAGGUUUUAAGUCGACAUAAGACUAUAAAUAAAGUAUCUAGCUAUCACAACAAAUCAUCUUUUGUUCUCUGAAAUAAUAAGUGACAAUUGUUUCUUUGAAUAAAAGUUCACCUUUAUUUUAUGUUCUUCUUCCUCUUCUUCUCUUCUAUGUCUACAACGAACGUUAGUGAGUAGGCUCUCCUUGUCUUGGGAUUGUUGGAUAAGUCUAAUAACGUAAACCUAAUCAAACCAAACCAUAAACCCUAGUUUUAUAUAAAUCUACUUCUACUUUCUAAUCUAAUUUCACCGUUUUUAUAAUGAAUUAACAAUUACUAAGCUAAGAAGCGAAUGCGGAGGGUUUAGUAAUUGUUAAUUCAUCAUCACAAAUAUUAAGCGAAGGAUCGAAAGAUGGAUUUUUAAUAUUGAAACAAGUGAAAUUAGACAAAGGUUGCGAAACAUGAGAAUAGUCUAGCAAACCUUGAGACAUAUAAAGUUUCGUUCUUCAAGGAUUCUAAUAGAAAUCAACCAUGAGAAUAGGCGUGGUUGCUGGAGGAACACACUCACUGAGACCGAAAGGAGAUGUGAUAGGCUAAAGAGAAACUUAUCUUUAGAAAGUAGAUCAAAUAUAAAGUUAGAAGUUUAGGGUUUGUUGGUGAAGGAUUUGUUGUUAUGAUGAACCAAUAAUCCCAAUGCUCUUUUAUUUUUAUUCUUUUCUUUUAAUUAAAAAUCCAAACUUUCUCAAACUCUCAUCUAAUCAUUAUUUAAAGUUAAUUGAAUUCAUAACUCCCUGUCGGAACGAUACUCUUUUAUUGCUACAUCGGUAGAACUGUGCACUUGCGGUUUUAUCCCAUCACUGAGCCAUCCAUUUCUCUCAAUUCAUCGUACGACAAACUUAAUUCUUCUAAAUGUUUCUUAUCUUUCAAAUUUGCUGCCAUAGCAUCUGCUGGAUCAGCAACAUUUACAACCCUGAAAUUUGAAGCCUUCCUUUAAGGUGGUUGACUUCUGCCAACUGCUUAAUAUCAUAUCCAUGUUGCUCUCCCACAACAAAAUCAGUCAGAAUCUCAAGAUUGAAUAAUUCUCGUAUCUCCUUUGGCAUCUUCUUAAUAUGCGUUCCUUUCAAAUUAAGAUGACGUAAAUUGAUAAGUUUGCAAAAAUUUGAUGGGAGCUUAGUCAAUUUAAAACAUUCUUCCGGUAAGAGCGUAUGCAAAUUAUACAACAUGCAAAUGGAAUUAGGUAAGCUUGUAAUUUCAGUGUAAGAAAGGUCUAGAUAGCACAAAAGCUUUAAAUUUCUUAUCAGAUCAUCAGCUAGCUCUAAAAGAUUGGAACCAGAGAUAGACAACAUCCGCAAAUAUUUUAAUAAUUUUAAGAACAAAUUAAGCUGUCCGUCGGUGCUUAACUUAAAUCCGCAAAUAUUUUAAUAAUUUUAAGAACAAAUUAUAACUGUCUGAAAGUAAAAAUUCGACUAUUUCCUCUUUUUCACGCUCUCUACCAUAUACGAUAGAUUCAGCCAUGAAUGAUGAAGUAGCAAAAUCGCUGGCUCCAUCUUCAUAAUAAUAAGAACUAUGAAGUUGCAAUCUAUCCUUUUGAUUUGCAAGAAACUCUAACCUCUUGAGCAAUACUUUAAUCCUAGAUUCAAAUCGAUUGAUAGAACCUGAAAGAUAGCGUUGUAUCUUUCCCUUUUGUUGUGCAGCAUCAGUAGCAAUGACAUCCAAUACUUGCUCUAAUUCUUAUACCGCAUCACUGCCAUCAUCUUCACGUCUAGUUUCUCGUACUACUCUGUCUCUUCGUCAUCCAGCACUUUAUUGAUAGACUUCAGUGUGAUUUCAAGUUUUUUCACUAGCCCAUCAUUCAAGUAGUCUCUGAAAUCUGUUGAAGCUAACCUCUCAUAAAUCAAUUGAAUGAUAGGGGAAAGAAAUGCCUGACCAACAACAACCUCUGCCAUGAUAUCAAUUAAUUGAACAAAAACAAAAUGAUCUGAGCAAGCGUGUUUCACAACUCUGGGAUGUAGGCUAUAUGCAAGCGUAUUUAUUUAUUCAUUGAUUUGUUUAUUGUUACAAUACCAACCACCUCAACUCUAUUCACUUGUUUCAACCAUAUAUUCUUUUUAAAAUGAUAAACUUAUGUCAAAUAACACCUAGAGUGGGAAUAAGCUGGCCUAAGCUAUAAGUUGUUAGGCAUAAGUAUGUUGAUAAAAAAACAAAUAAUUCAAGGACUAAAUUUAAUAUGUAGUCUAUCAUAUGCUUAUGUUAUUGUUGGAGUUUUUUUAUUUUAUUUUUUUAAAUCUGAUAUGAUAAAAGUAUUUAAAUAAGUAAUAUCACAUGCAUGUUUCCCCCCAGCCGAUGGAAGAUUAGGCGAGUGUUAUUGCAACCGAAUGAGGACCAUCUGAUUCUUUCUCAACUCUUAUGCAUAGUACAUGGAUCUUGAAGACUUUCGACUAAGUCAAAGCUUAGUAGAACGGAACAAUGAGACAUGAAACUCAAGAUCCUUGUUUUUAGCACCAUUAACCACAAAGAGUGACGAGUAAGGAGUUUCGUUUCAAGGAAGAUUGUGCACUAUGGAACGUUAUCAACGGAUCAAGUUGUCAAGUUGGAAGAUGUCAGCCGAACUAGGGCACUACAUGUCAUGUCAUGUCCUUCCGUCUCCUCCAAAACCCAACUCGCACAAAAUCCACAAAUUCAUGUGUUAUUUUGUAUCAGAAAAAAAAAACAAAUCUAAAUUUUUUAGUUUUUGAAGACGGAGAUGCUCUAAAUUCCAAGUUUUUCCAAGUUAAAAAAAAAGUAAAAAAAACUUCCAAGUCUCUGUUUAGAUAUAUUAUCCGGUUCAUUGAAAGAUAUUAUCCUUUUUAUACUAAAAAAAAUUAAAAAUAAACUUCGAUACAUCAUACAUUAAAUAAGAUUUACUGUAUAAAUUAAGAAACAUUUGGAAAUGUAAAGUGAAAAUGGCCAACAAUAAUUAAGUGGUUAAUGAGCUUCCAUCGAACAACGAAAUUCGGAUGGAUGGAAUAAUUCUUAGACAAGUGAUAUUGCGGAAGAACUUUGGAAAGAUUUUAUGAGAUGAAGGAAAGGAAGAAAAAUGUAAAAUUUCGGGUUCUUUUUUAUAUGAGAAGCAAUCUAAUAGAACAAGUAAGUUGAUAAGUAAUAUGUGUUGUAAAAUUAAGCAUAAAAUAUUAUCUCUAUAAAUAAUAAACAAUAUAUAAAUAUAAUAAUUAAUUUAUAUUGAUGAGAAUAAACAAAAGAGACAAAUCAAUUAAACUUAUCUGUCUUGAUAUUGUUGUAGAAUUGACCAUCUACAUAAUUCAAUCAACAUCUUUAAACACCAAUUUGAUAAGAGAACUGCAACAUGAACAAACGGUGGAAGUAGUCUGAGACAUGCUGAUCACACUGUCUUUAAGGAUUUUCCGCUUAAUUAUACUCUAAUCCUAACAUACCCUGCUUGGUUUAAAACCAAGGAUGCAGAAGUCGCAAGAAGGAAAAUUUUCAGGAAGAUGAGAACCAAAUGUUGUGUAUAGACUCAUGAAAAAUCAAAUAAUACAUGACUUGAAGCUUAUGGUUUUUGUUGUGCUAUUGCUCACUAACCAUGAAAAGGGAGAAUUUUCUACAGUACGGUGUAAACUUCUACUCCCUUCUCAAGUGGUAAAACGUGCAGCAAUAGAGAUACACAUAUAUAUUUAGUUUUAGUGAAUUAAGGUUUGGCUAAACAAUAUUAUUUUACAUUCAAGAGAUAUUAAAGCAAAAACGGUUACAAAACUUUGGAGUUGAAAAUAUGUUACAAAACCUGGUCAAAGAUUAUAAAUAAUAAUUAGAUAAUGAUUUCUAUUAAAAUAUUUUUUAUAUAUUUCUCAAUUAAAAAUAUAGGACACAAAAUAUUUAAAACUUUUGAAAUAUACUCAAAAUUUACAACAAUAUGAAAUGCAAUCUAUAGCAGGAAAAAAUAAUGAACAUUUAGCAUAGAGAGGAAAUGACCUAGGCGUGUUUCAAGUUAUCAACUAAGUGAGAUGUGAUUGAUCAUCAAAAAAAUAAAUAAAUUGGGAAACAUCAAUACUUUGUUAUUCACUACUAAAUUUUUAAAUUGAUAAGCUUAUGAAAAAUACUGGCUGGGAAUAAAUUGGGUUGAGCUAAAAGUUGUUUAGCCUAAACUUGAUCUGAUAAAAAAUUUCAAGGAUUAAAUCUUGCAUGUAAUCUCUUAUAUACUUAAGUUUAGGUAUGAAUUUGAUCUUUUAUAAAGUUUGGUAUGACUAGUUAACCUACAUAAAAAAAAUAAUUCUAAAGGAUAACUUUUGUGAAAACAUUUAGAGUUUAUGAGAACAUUUUAUGACAUGUCCUGAAGCUGUUUUCAACUUAUCGAUAAGCUCUAAAGAUUGCUUAUGAAAAUAGUUUGACUUUAUUUUAACUUUUGUUAUAGAAACAGCAAGCACUUGUAUGAAACAUUUAUGCUUUAAGCACUUAGUUAUUUUUCCAAACAAAACCUGAUUAUGAAAGAGAGACUUUGUAUAUCAAACUUUGGUCAAAAAUAUGUUUUCUAAAUGCCUGAAAAGAAAGACAGAAUAGUGUUACUUGGCUAUCACUGAACCUCAUUUUCUCUACUAUCUUUCUCUCAAUAAAUGUCAUCAUUCAACUUCUAACAGAAAAUUACAUAUUAAUUAUGUUGUAAUCAUUACCAGUAAAAACCUUGUGAAAGAAAUAAACAAUUAUAUCCAAAUACUCGUGAAUAGGCAUAACUAUCUAUAACUGUAACCUGGACCAAAUUUGUUAAAUAAAUGAAAUGUGAAAAGGUGGUUCACAUUAUUGAUCUCCAUUUUUCCCAUAUGAAACUAUAAAUCUGAAAAAUACAGGAAUUCAUGAAAAGAAAGAUGUAUUGGACCAAAUGAGCUAUCAUUUGACAACUAAAGCAGGGAAAUUGCAUUUUCCUUUACAGAUUAAUCCAACCAAAGUUGCAAACUCAAAGAUGUCAAUUUCGAAAACUUGUCUGUGAAGACAGAAGAUGCUGUUGUAAUUACUUCUAAUCUUCAGCUACAUUCUCUCCUCGCCCUUGAUGAUGAAACGGCUGGGAGAAUCUCACCAGCAGGACCAGCAUUUAUCAAUCUGCAGUGAGAAGUACACAUAGGUCAGAGGGAUUCCGUAAAGUGGCUCGAGAGAGAUAUGAUCAAUGCAUAUAUCUUGAGUCCUGAUUCGCCAUUGUUGGAUCUAUUUUUAGGCAGUUCACCUAAGAAGGAUAUUUGCUUAACACUACGCAAAAUCUACAACCGCAACUUUUAGUGAUUACUGAACAGGAUCAAAUCUAUAUAGAUGUAAUUUAAUGAAGAGAAUCAACCGAGCAUUUAAAAUUCACUUUUUGACUGCUUGGACUCAACUGGUACGAGGACAUCAGUGGAUCAACAAAAGAAUGAGCCCAUGCUUCAAUAAUAACAGCCACAAGAAAUUUGAUUAAAUCAUGGUUCAACUAUGAUUAAAAAACACCAAAUUUCACUGAUAACAAAGUGGCAUAAAAAAAGGGCAACCCGGUGCACUAGAGCUCCUGCAUAUGCAGGGUCCGGGUUUCAAUUUUUUAUUUUCUGCAAUAUUUUCUACCACUUCUUUCUAACAAUAAAAAGUAAAACAGAAAAUCAAAGUUAAAGGACAUGUCAUAUCCUCACCUUAUAAUUGGUAGACACAAGUAAUUCUCACGCCUCUUUUUUCAAGUCUCAUGUUUUCUGGGAACCUGAAAUUAAUACAGAGUCACAAUAUUAAGAGACCCCGAAAAAGGGAUACAAAGUCACAAGAAUAACAAAGAGAAGAUUAUAUGGUGACUUAAAUUAAAAACAAUUACAUCAUGCACAACAAGUCGCAGCGUCGACACAUCCAAAUGCGGAGCCUACAAUUAGACCAUGCAUGAGCUUUGUGGAAGUAAAAUAAACAGCAACAUACUUUUGGUUGUGUGUGAGAGCAGUGGUCAUGCCAUUCGUUUGGUCACGAAUGAGAAUGGAUCGCAACAAGAGAGCAUGGUUUCAGGUCACAUGUAAGCAGUCAGAAACACCAUUGAAACAUAUAUCACAAACACAGUGCACUGUUCAACAUAAAACACAGUAUGUUGUGCAUUAUUUUUACUGUUUAAAAGAAAAUAUACUAAUGUUUGACAACUAUAAACAGAUUGGUGAAUGUGCUGCACCUGGCUACAAUAACAUCUCAGCCGCCAAUCAGGAAAUUGUCACGUUAGGGAUGUGACAAAUUGUAUGCCAACGCUCUCCUUGCUCCUUUUGGUACAACUGCUUAAGUAAUGGACAGUCAUGAAUUGACAAAGUAGAAAGAGAGAUAGGUAGACCCUCCUCUGGCAAGCUCUCAAGACAAGGGCAAUCUUCAAUAUAUAGAGAUUCAAGUGAAGUGAGGUGGAGAAGACCCUUGCAGUUUAUUUUUUUUAGGCAGGAACAAUUUUUCAAAUCAAGAGAGUUAAUACUUGAUGGCAGCAUACUCUCCUCUGGAAAGGACUCGAAGAUUUCAAAAUCAUCACUAAGACUGAAUUGUUUCAGAGAUUUGAGUUGGAACAAACCCCACUCCUCUAUUGAAGCCAUCAAAUUAGGGCAUCUUUCUAUUCGGAGGCUGCCUAGGUUGGAAGGCAACUGCCUCCCGAAAAAUGAUUCCAGCAAUGGACAAUCGUACAACACGAGAGAAUUAAGAUUGGUGAACAAGUGUAGUGCAAAAGGCAAGGAGGAAGAGUGCCAACUUGUUAUGGUUAAAGUGCGAAGAGAAUUACAGCUACGCAUAUCCAAAGAGGACCAUUCUAGAUUUUGACCAAAGAAGUCUUCAACUUCCAAUUCUUCAAGAAAGGUACUGUUAAAUAGAAUUUUCUCUAGGGCGGAUUCAAUGAUCUGAGUUCCACAAAGGAUGACCUUUUUCAAGUUGGAUGACAAUUUAUUUAUCAAAAUGCCAUCACAUCUCUUUAGUUCUAGCUGAAUGAUAUUAUAAGCAAUGGGAAUUGAAGCCUCCAAAUCUUGGCAAUCAAUUAUCUCCAAUUUUUGCAAGCAAGGAAGAUGUUGAGGCAGUUUCCUUUUCAACUUGGGACAGUAUCUUAUUGAAAGCUCUUUCAGCAAAGGGAAACCUUCAAUACAUAACCAAUCUUUCCAUUCAGACAUAUUCUCAAACCGCAAAGUUUCAAGGGAUCUAAAUGUAAAAUUUGAUGAAUUAUAGCGGCAAAACUCUGAACCAAUGAUACCUAUUCCAUGACAGCCUGAAAUGGAAAGCUUCUUGAGAGAUGGGAACUGCUUAAUUUGUGGCAACUUGGAACAGAGUUUACAUCCCAACAAAUGAUGAUCCCCAAGCCAAUUUGGAAAGCUACUACCUCUGUAGUCAUUGAUGGUGAGCCUCACGAGGUUACUAUUUGGUUGAAGAGCCUCCAAGAUAGAGACAUGUGCUUCAGUUUCUGAGUCAUCUAUUUCUCUCCAUUCAUCGUACGACAAACUUAAUUCUUCUAAAUGUUUCUUAUCUUUCAAAUUUGCUGCCAUAGCAUCUGCUGGAUCAGCCACAUUUUUCAACCCUGAAAUUCGAAGUCUUCCUCUAAGGUGGUUGAGUUCUGCCAACUGCUUAAUAUCAAAUCCACGCUGCUCUCCCACAAUAAAAUCAGUCAGCAUCUCAAGGUUGAUUAACCCUCUCAUCUCCUUUGGCAUCUUCUUAAUAUGGGUGCCUUUCAAAUUAAGAUGACGUAAAUUGAUGAGUUUGCAAAAAUUUGGCGGGAGCUCAAGUAGUUUAAAACAUUCUUCCAGUAAGAGCGUAUGCAAAUUAUACAACAUACAAAUGGAAUUAGGUAAGCUUGUAAUCUCGGUGUAAGAAAGGUCUAGAUAGCGCAGAAGCUUUAAGUUUCUUAUCUCAUCAGCUAGCUCUGAGAGAUUGCAACCAUUGAAAGAUAACUUCCGUAAAUAUUGUACUCUUGAAUACAAAUUAUACUGCACAUUGGUGGAUAUCUUAAAGCGUUUAUCACCAUAGCCUUGUGCUUCUACCAUCAGACUCCGUACUCCUUUAAUGUUAUGAAUCUGCUUUAGUUUUCUAUCACCAUCUUCCAAAUCAAGGCAGCACCAAAUGUGACGUGUCCUUUGAGGGAUAUCUUGCACUUUCACACCCUCUAUUCGUAAGCAGAAUUCUCCUGACAUUGAUGUCGCUAAAUCAUGGACAAGAUCAUGCAUGAUGAAAUUGUACUUACCAGCCCAGAAUGGCAUAAUUGCUGAUUGUUGGAAAAACGACAUUGACACUAGAUCAUUGAAGAAUUUAUUACCCAACUCUUCUUCAUCUUUGGCUAUUCCCUUUAUCAAACCUUCUGCCAUCCAAAGUUUGAUUAAUCCAUCCUUUUCAAACUCAUAACCCUUGGGAAAUAUAGAACAAUAAGCAAAACAAUGCUUCAGAUUGGAAGGGAGGUUAAGGUAACUCAUUCUUAGAACGGAAUAAAUGUUGCUGUCACUCUCAGGUAAACGCCACAAAUCAGUCUCUAAUAUCUUAACCCAUUCAUUUUCAGAGAAUCUUCUUUGCAAGAGAAUCCCCAAUGUUUUCAGAGCUAAAGGCGACCCCCCACAUUUUUCUACUAUUUUCAUACCAAUCGAUUCAAGAUUUGGAUAUUCAAACAUAUUCCUGCCUUCAAAAGCAUGUCUUACAAAUAAACUCCAAGAGUCACUCUCCUCCAAUUGCCUUAAAUGAAGUAUCUGGGUGUAUCUCAUGACUGAUGCAACUUCUUUAUCAUGUGUUGUCACUAUCAUCCUCCCUCGAGAAGGUUCCUGGUUAAAAAUAAGUAGUAACCGCUCCAGCAUAUUGCAAUGUUUGAUCCAUACAUCAUCUAGAACAAGCAAAUAUUUCUUCCCUGCUAGCCGCUGUUGCAAUUGACGUUUAAGUAUUUCCUUGUCGUCAUCAUAUAAUGUUGAUAAAGAAAUUGACUUGAGAACUGAUUUGAUGAGAUGACGAUAAUUAAAAGAUUCUGAAACAUGGAUCCAUCCUAUAACUUCAAAUUGAUCCCUCGUCAUGUGGUCAUUGUAAACAAGCUGCGCAAGGGUUGUCUUACCUAUCCCGUCCAGACCCACUAUACUGAUUAUGGAUACCCGGUUGUAACCGUGACUGUCUGAAAGUAAAAAUUCAAUUAUUUCUUCUUUCUCAUGCUCUCUACCAUAUAUCACAGAUUCAGCCACCAAAGAUGCAGUUGAAAAUCUGCUGGCUCCAUCUUCAUAAUAAUAACGACUUAAUUCGUGAAGUCCCAAUAUAUUCUUUUGAUCUGCAAGAAACUCUAGCCUCUUGAGCAAUACUUUAAUCCUAGAUUCAAAUCGAUUGAUAGAACCUGAAAGAAAGCGUUGUAUCUUUCCCUUUUGUUUUGCAGCGUCACUAGCAAUGAUGUCCAAUAGUUGAUCUAAUUCGUAUACCUCAUUACUCGCAUCAUCAACCCAAUUCUUCACGUUUUGAUUCUCGUACUUCUUUGUCUCUGCGUCAUCCAGCACUUGAUUGAUAGAAACCAAUGUGAUUUCAAGUUUUUUCACAAGCUUUUCAUGGAGGUAGUCACUGAAAUCUGUUGAAGCUAAUCUCUCACAAAUCAAUUGAAUGACGGGGGAAAGAAAUGCCCGACGAACAACAACCUCUGCCAUGAUAUCAAUUAAUUCAACAAAACCAAAAUGAUCAGGCUAUAUGCAAGAAGAUCAGUUUGGUCAACGAAUCCCCACACCUACCAUAUUACCAUCAUGUUUAUUUAUUCAUUCAUUCAUUUGUUUAUUGUUACAAUACCAACCACCUCAACUCUAUUCACUUGUUUCAACCAUAUAUUCUUUUUUUAAGGGGUGAAUAUUUUGUUAUUCACUGCAUUUUAAAAUGAUAAACUUAUGCCAAAUAACACAAAGAGUGGGAAUAAACUAGCCUAGGCUAGAAGUUGUUAGUCUAUCAUAUGCUUAUGUUUUUGUUUGAGUUUAACCUAUUAUAAAGUCUAGUAUGAUAUGUUAGUCUACUUAAAUGAAUUUCUUUUCAUAUAAAAGUAUUUAAAUAAGUAAUCUGACUUGUAUUUGUUUACACAUAAAAUAAUUAUCUUGUUAGCCAAAGUCGACUGAUAGACAAUCAUAGGUUAGGCAUGUUCCCCCCUCCCCCCCAUGGAAGAUUAGGCGAGUGUUAUUGCAACCCAACGAGGACCAUCUGAUUCUUUCUCAGUCUAAUGCUUAGUAGAACUGGACAAUGAGGUACGAAACUAACGAUCCUUGUUUUUAGCACCAUUAACCAGAAAGAGCGAUGAGUAAGGAGUUAUGUUUCAAGGAAAAUUGUGCACUAUGGACGUUAUCAACAUAUCAAGUUGUCAAGUUGAAAGAUGUCAGAUGAACAAGGGGCGCCCCAAACCCCUCAAAGAGGAGAAAACUAACGCACUACAUGUCAUGUCAUGUCCUUCCCUCUCCUCCAAAAUCCAACUCGCACAAAAUCCACAAAUUCAUGUGUUAUUUUGUAUUAAAAAAAAAAAUCUAAAUUUUUAGUUUUCGAAGACAGAGAUGCUCUAAAUUCCAAGUUUUUUUAAGUUAAAAAAAACCAGACCUCCCCUGAGUCCUCUUUAAAUAACAUAAACACUCACUCUAGUUUUAUAUUAGACACAAACAUCUCUUAAGUUUUUUUAAAGGCUAAAACGCACUUUUUGCCCCCUAAGUUUGCAAAAGUUGCAAUUUUGACCCCCUAUUAAAAAAAAUGGCAAAAGUGACCCCUUAUGUUUAGCCCCUUCUGCAAAACCUCAAUUUUGACCCAGUCAAUCCUAUGUGUCAUGCCACCUAAUUUAAAAAUUUGCCAACUAUAUAUUUUUGUAAUUUAAAAUAAAUAGAAAUGCCACAAUGUAUUUUAAUAAUUAAAAAUAAAAUAAAAAAUGAAAGAGCUUUCUUCUUACCAGAUCCAAACGUAAAAACCAUUCCUUACUCACAAAUCAAAAUCCUAAUUAAAAAUCACAAACAAACUAAUGGGUCAAAAUCAUAGAUUUUGAAACUUUCUCAAAAACCCAUCCUUUGUACAAUAACAAUUCAAUUCAGAGAACUUGCUUUCACAAAAAAUGAAGUUUAUCUUCGUGAAAUCAGAAACAAAACAAUUAUUACUUGCUGCUGAUGUUGCUGCAAUUCUGGGAACCUAGAACAAGGGCGGCGGCGUGAGAAUACGAGUUGUUGGAAAGAGAUAGAUCCAAUUCCGAGAGAGAGAUGUUUAAGGUUUUAGAGGGAGUUUUCGUAGAAUUUAUUUAUUGUAGAUAGAUCUGUCAACCACCUCCUCCCUUUUCUUCUUCUCUUUCCGUUCUUUCCAUUCUGUUUUCCUCCAAACUAACCGCCGUUUUCUUUUGCUCUUUAGAUGAGAGAUUUGGAAUCUGCGAUUUGGUUUCAAAGAUGAAAGUUUGAGUUACAGGUAUAUGAGAGAUUUCAGAUUUGUUCAAAGGUUGCUGGGUUUUUAGUUGUAUUUGAUGAAGAAGAUGAAGAAGAGAUGAAGUUCUUCUAGGUUUGUCGCAAGAAGAGAGAUAAAUUACCUUUAGUUUCCUUUUUAAUUAUUUUAUUUAAAUGAAUAAUGUGGUGGAUUUUGUAUUUCAUUUAAAAUUGAAAAAUUGCACAAGUGUCAUCUGAAUCAGCUAAGUUAAAUGCUACCUUUGCGUUGACCUGGUCAAAAUUGAGGUUUUGCAGAAGGGGCUAACCAUAAGGGGUCACUUUUGCCAUUUUUUUUUAAUAGGGGGCCAAAAUUGCAACUUUUGCAAACUUAGGGGGCAAAAAGUGCGUUUUAGCCUUUUUUAAAAUAGAUAGACACAUCUAGGGGUGGACAAAAACCCGCAGCCCGAGAAAACCCGUCCAACCCGAUCUGAAAAAUGAUAAACGGGCGGGUCGAAACGGGUCUACGGGUCCAAGAAAGAGCAUCUUCAGUUUACAACGGGUUGGUACGGGCGGGCCCGGGUAGGAAAAACGGACCCCUCGAUACCCGAACCCACCCGCAGAUGCAUAUCAUGUGAGAGGAGGAUAAUACACACGCCCCAACAGCUGUUUCUCGAACAGUGUGAUAUUCCUUUUCUUUUCUUUUCUUGACAGAGUGAGUGGACAAUGCCUUAUCAGUGGGAUAUUUAAUUCAUUUAAUAGUAUUAUUUUAACUAGGUUUAAUUAAUUGAUGAUAAGAGUAGAUGAGUAGUACACUCUAUAUAGGAAAUAGGGUAGUCAUCAAGUUCAAUUUUUUACUUUUACGAAGCACAAGCUUUGAAUUAAUCCAUAAAAAUAAAAACAAAAGCUCUAGUAUAAUAAAAAAAUGAUGUGAUUUUACUAUGAAACUCUACCAACACCACAGAGAGAUAGACUAUGGUAUCACUCUUUAGAAAAAAUAAAGAAUACAAAUCAUGUGAUCCAUCUCCUUCAUUUCAUUUCAUCUAUAUUCUCCCUUUAAUUUUGAAGGCUUAGCUUCCAUUGUUGUCUAUGUAAAACAGAGAAUUCCAUCAAUUUCAAAUGCCACUGUCUUAGAUCUAUGCAAGAUCUUCUACUCGAUAUGUACAACAAAGAAGAAGAAACCAAACAAUUCAUGAUUUCUUAUGUCCGGAUCUUCCAAAAAGUGUUACCUUCACUUCAAUAAAAAUUAGAGUUGCUGGAAAAAUCACUGAAGGUUUCUCUGCAUCUAACCCGCGUUAACCCAACCCGUGAACCGUACGACCCGUAACCCGCUGAACCCGCAACAAAAAAGGGGUUGAAAUGGGCUUCUGUAGGACACCCGCGGGUUGGGCAGGGUUGGUGUUUUGAGCCCGAACCCGCCCGACGCCCACCCCUAGACACAUCCCUUUGAGACUCAGCAACUUAACACCGUUAGUUUUUUAUUUUUAUAACUAAAAGGGAUACAAAACUUAGGCUAAAGUGCACGCACUUUUUCAUCCAUAACUUUCAAAAACUUGCAAUUUUAAUCCCUUAAGUACAAAAACUACAAUUUUAUCCCUUAAGAUUUAGUCUCAUUGCAAAUUUGAUCCUUUUGAUCAAUUUUGACCUAGUCAACGUCUACGUGGCAGACCACAUCUGUAAUUAAUUAAUUAAAAAAAUUAAAAAACCAAAAAAUGAAUUUUUAAAUUAAAUAAAUGAAAAAAGAAUUAAAAAAUCAGAAAAAGAAUUUUUUUCCUUCCUCAUCUUCUUCCUUCCUUCCUUCCUCUUCAACAUUAUCUUCCUACAACUUCAUAAAAAACUCAAAAACAACUAUAUAGGUGAAAUAUUAUUAUAUAAUAUAUAUUCUUCUUCUUAUGAAAACACCCCUAUCACAUAAUUUCCAGAAUCUGCAUAUCCCUCUCUCUUAGCUCUCUCUUUGUUCCGUAAUUUCCACCGAUUUCAAUUUCGGUUCACAUUUACCAUACAUAUAAAUCAAACUAGUUCCCACAAACACAUCCUGAUCGAAACCACACUUCAAAACCGACUCAUGAACCAAUUUUCCAACCAUAACCCCAAGAAAGUUCAUGUCUGCUAACGGUAAACUUCUCCGUCCGAUUUUCCAACUGUACCAGUUUUGCAGCAAUUUGAAGGAAGGGGGAAGUUGGUGGUAGUUCUGAUAGAUGUUGAUGAAGAUGGACAUGGAGAGGGAUGGCUUUCAAAUAUCACCUGAGAGAAAUGAAUCUUGAGUUGAAUUGAUUGGGUGGAGUUCGGAGAAACGUUAGAGAUGAGGAUGAUUGGAUGGAGUUGUUGAAUUUUCAAUUUGUUUCCUGAUUUUUUAAUUUUUUAAUUUACUUAAUUAAAAAAAUGAUUAUAGGUUUUUUUUAAUUUUUUUUAAAUUCAAUUUACAUAUGUGGCGUGCCAUGUAGGCAUUGAUUAGUCAAAAUUGGUCAAAAGGAUCAAAGAUGCAAAUGGUUAAAUCUUAGAGGGCUAAAAUUUUAGGUUUUGUACAUAGGGGACCAAAAUCACAAUUUUUUAAAACUUAAAAGGGGGAAAGUGCACUUCAGUCUAAGAUUUACUGUGUAAAUUAAGAUACAUUGGAAAUGUAAAGUGAAAAUGGCCAACAACAAUUAAGUGGUUGAUGAGCUUCAAUUGAGUUUGGAUGGAUGGAAUAAUUCUUAGCCAAGUAGAUAUUGCGGAAGAACUUUGGAUUACCAACUUCUCAUUUUAUAUGAGGUGAAGCAAAGGAAGAAAAAUGUAAAAUUUCGAGGGCUUUUCAUAUGAAAAGCAAUCUAUUAGAAAAGGUAAGUAAGUAAUAUGAAAUGCAAUCUAUAGCAGGAAAAAAUGAUGAACAGUUAGCAUAGAUAGGAAAUGACCUGGGCGUGUUUCAAGUUUCAACUAAGUGAGAUAUGAUUGAUUGAUCACCAAAAUGAGAGAAUACAAAAAAAAAAAAUAUAUUGGGAAACGUCAAUACUUUAUUAUUCACAACUACAUUUUUAAAUUGAUAAAAAUGAAGAUAUCACUAAAGUGAUAUCACCAAAAUGAAAAUACUAUAGAAAUUUUAGGGGUCAAACACCCGUAUAGGUCACCUCCCUCUAUGUCGAUCACUAUGUUUUCUAAAGCUCCCCUUGUGGUUGAAGUUGACACCGUUCUCAAAUGCAUUAAAUUAAUCCUAAAGGGACAUCUUGUCGUAGAGAUGGGUUGCGAGCCCAACACCUUUUAGAUGCAUUGUGUGGAGAAGGUUCAACUGUGGCUAGAGAUCUUUUGUGUGAUAUCACUUUAGUGGUUAACCUAUGAUUAGGAGGAAGAUGUGCCUUGAGUUUGGUAGAGUUUGUAGCUUCUUCACCCUUGUCACCAUUGUUAAAUCCUGAUGGUGGAAUACACUCUAUUGCAGUAGGUACUAUUUGGAGGCGUUUGGUAUCCAAAGUUGCUAUGAAAGGAGUUGGUAAAGAUAUGGCUAUCUCAAUGAAUUUCAGUUUGGUGUUAGGGUUUGAAGUGGGGCAGAGGCCAUUUUGCAUAGUGUCAAUAGAGUAUUGAACCUACGACAUGGAGAUGGUUCCUUGACAAUGCUUAUAGUAGAUUUUUCGAAUGCCUUCAACUUGGUAGAUAGGUCAGCACUGCUACGUGAUGUGAGAUUGAGAUGCCCAUCUAUUUCUCUCUAUGGGUUGAGUUUCUUUAUGGCGAAGCAACGAGGUUAUACGUUGGCGGUGGGCAUAUUAUGUCUGCUUCUGGAGUGCAACAAGGUGACCCAUAGGGACGCUCCUUUUUGCUCUUAUGUUACACCCUCUUAUUCAUCAGAUUAGAAAUAGUUGCAAGCUUCUUCUUCAUGUUUGGUAUCUUGAUGAUGGGACUCUUGUAGGGGAUUCAAAGUAGGUGGCUAAGGCUUUGGACAUCAUUCGAGUUUUUGGACUAGAAUUGGGUCUGGUAUUGAAUAUUCGUAAGAUUAAGAUCUUUUGGCCUUCAUGUGAUGGUAAUCAGCAUCGCGAGGGGUUUUUCCCUAUGGAUAUUGGGAGGCCGUCAUUGGGGGUGAAAUUGUUUGGAGGGGUUGUUAGCUGAGAUAAUGGUUUUAUCGAGGGGUUGGUCAUGAAGAGAGUUUCCAGUGUUGUUGAGUUAAUGCAACUUCUUCCACAGUUACGAGAUCCUCAGAGUGAGCAUCUUCUACUUCGAUCAUGCAUGGGUAUCGCCAAAAUUUUCUUUGACCUAAGAACGUGCCAACCGAUUCACAUGGAGGAGGCGAUUGUGUUGUUUGAUAAAGAGUUGUGUGGAGUGGUUGAGGAUAUUGUGGUUUAUUGAGGUCCAUUCUUUGGGGACCUUCAAUGGAGGUUGGCUUUUUUACCUAUUAGGUCUCGGGGGUUGGGUUUAUACUCACUAGUAGAGGCUUCCUCGUACGCUUUUGUGGCUUCUAGGGCGCAGUCUGUUGAAACAAAAUGUGUUUAACAUUACCACCUUAAGUUUUAAUGAUAACAAAGUAUUAAAAAGUCAAUUGGAUAUGCUAAUAUGAAGGUGACAAAAACACAAGAAGGAGAGUUGAAUUGUGGUUUCUUUUUCUUUUCUCCUACUGAAGUCACUGUUCAGAAGCAGAUAGAGUUCAGCUUCUGAAGUGAGGUUCAGAAUCUAAAUGCAGCAGAUAAGUAAUGAGAGAGAGAGAGAGAGAGAGAGAGAGAGAAGAAAGACACAAAUCAAUUAUACAGGUUCCUUCCACAAACCGGAAGUAGUUUCUGUCCCCCUUGCACUUCCAAGGAGAUUUCACUAAAAUCAAUAUUUGAUUACAACAGCUCACUGCUAAAACUAGCAAGAGACUUGAAACUACUCAAUCACAACUGCAAGAGAUUUCCUAUGCUCAAGAACAAAAUCAAGAGACUUCGUAUGCUCAAGCACAACUACAAGAGACUUAUAUUCAAAUAGAAUUACAAAGAAAGAUGUUUGAGGUUGAACACUUGAUAUAUAAUCAGUGAUGUUCACAAUACAAAUCAGAUACAUACUCUUAAGACUCUAGAAUUUCUAAGAUAUAAAAGUUGAUAAGAAAUUCUAAGUGAACUUUGAUGUGAAACAAUUUCAGCAGAGUGUUGACACUUGUAAAAUUGUUGUGAGUCUCUUUUAAAUCUUCAAGUCUUCACUCCUUUAUAUAGAGGUGUGAAAGAGACGUUGUUGAUUGUCAGCACAUCAAAAAGAGUUGUUUGAAGCUUGAUCAAAUCACCAAUGAUCUGUUGCUUGAUUUGGUUAUUGUCCUAUGAAGGAACAAUUUCAAAUUCAUUCCAAGAAUAGAGGAAUACCAGCGUAGUCACAGCUAUUGUUCUUGUACUAUUGCAGACACAAAAAUAGAGUAAUGGAGGUAGUGGUAGUACAAUUGUACUAUUGUCCUUUUCCAACGUUCUUCAAAGAAUAAGCAUCCAAUGCCUUUAAAAUUCCUCUGAAUUAGCCGUUGCUCCAGGCUUCUCCAAAAAAUGUGCUUGAGCAUUUGUAAUCAAAUAUUGAUUUUAGCGAACUCUCCUUGAUUUGUAUUGCUUUUAUUUGAAGUCUAUAUAGGUCCUAAUUUGGAGUGGAAUUUUCUCAAUCUCAAACCAAAAAGAAGUGUCAAUUGGUGAUUUAGUUUCUCAUAUAGGUCCUAAUUUGAAGUGGAAUUUUAUUUGGAGGAGAGAGUUUUUUGUGUGGGAGGGUCAUCUUUUCGCAAGUUUAUUGGAAGACUUGGAGGGUGUGAGUUUGUCUCAAGAGGAGGAUCUGUGGAGUUGGAACUUGGAAGAGUGUGGGAUUUUCUCGAUGAAAUCGGCCUACAAGAAAUUGGACGGUUUGAUGUCGUCGGAAGUCUUGUGGGGUGAGGAGGAAAAAGGAGUGUUCAAGUCAUUGUGGAAGAGUCCAGCGCCUUCAAAGAUGAUAGCUUUCUCUUGGAAGAUUUUGCUUAAUCGUAUUCCGACCAAAGACAAUCUUAGUUUGAGGAAUAUUUUAUCCGGAGGUUUCACGGUCUUGUGUUUUAUGUGACGAAAGGGAGGAAUCAGCAAUUCAUAUUUUCCUUCAUUGUAAGGUGGCGAGUGGGGUGUGGUUGGAGGUUAUCCGUUGGUUCGGCUCCUCUUUUAUUAUGCCUCCGAAUAUCUUCAUUCAUUGGGAGUGUUGGAGUGGUAUUCAUAGAAACAAGAAAAUCCGGAGGGGACUGUAGCUUGUUGGCUCACCACAAUUUGGGUGUUAUGGAAUGUUAGAAAUAAUAAAAUCUUCAAAGAUUUAAAUUGGGAGGCUGGAGAAAUAGUGGAUGAAAUAAAAGUGGUCUCUUGGAGGUGGAUGUUGUCUUGGAUAAAAUAUAUGGCAUGUUUAUACUAUGAAUGGAGGUGGAAUCCUAAAGAAUGCCUUUUGAGGUAAAUGGAGGUUAGCUGCUGUUUGUGCUGAAGGAGGUUCAUGUAUGCUGUUUGUGAUGCUGUUUGCACCUUCUGUUUUUGGUUUGGCAGGCUCCUUUAGCUGUUCAGUGCUGGGCUGCUAUCUGCUGGUCCAUGCAGCGGCUAGCUGUGUUACGGAUCAGCUUCUGUGCUGCUUUUGGACCACCUGCUUUUGCUGUUAAGGUUUGGGGAGGGGUUUUCUGGGAGUUUUUUUUACUGAUAUGAGCUCUUUCCCCUCAAUUAGGAGGUUUUGUGCUGUUGGGUGUUAGGUGGUUUUGGGAAGGGCGUUUUGGACGUUCCUUUUAUAUAUGGUUUGGGUGGUCACCGUUGGGUGUUCCACAUAUUUACGGCACCUUGUAUUUAUCGCUUUUCUGUCCAAGUUUGUGGUUUCUUUACACAUUCUUUGGCUUAAUAAAUUUGGUUGUUUCAAAAAAAAAAAUUGACAACUGAAGCAGGGAAAUUGCAUUUUACAGAUUAAUCCAAAGUUAGCAAACUCAAAGAUGUCAAAUUCAAAAACUUGUCUGUGAAGACAGAAUAUGGGGUUGUAAUUACUUUUGUUCUUCAGCUGCAUUCUCUACUCACCACUGAUGAUGAGACGGCUGGGAGAUCUCACCAGCAGGACCAGCAUUUAUCAAUCUGCAAAGAGCAGUACACACAGGUCAGAGGGAUUUCGUAAAGUGACUCGAGAGAGAUAUGAUCAAUGCUUAUAUCUUGAAUCCUGAUUCGUCAUUGUUGGCUCUCUUUUUAGGCAGUUCACCUAGAUGGAUAUUGUUCUUAACACUAUGCAAAAUCUACAACCAAAACUUUUAGUGAUCAAAUCUAUAUAGUUGAUCGAAAGGAGAUUAGAAGGCUUGAAAUGGUUGGGGUAGUGAAGGCACCUUUGAGUUACAACGGGAGAAUCGAAGCAACAAAUCUAUUGCAGCAAUAUAUAGUCAUAAAAACAAGUUUAAAGAAGAAAAUGAUUGUUUGCUUGUCUGUUGGAGUGAUAGACUGCUAUCAACCUGGAAUUUUAGGAGAUGAAGUUGAUAUAUAUGUUGGAAUAUAUGAAGGUCACCUUGCAUCGUUUUGAAAGAUGAAGUUGAUAUUUAUGUUGGAAUUAAAAGACUGUUAUAUCAAUUUGAAAAAUAUGAAUAAGUAAAAUUUGAAAAUGAAGAAUCCCAUCGGAUGGUUUUAAAUAAUUUGUGCUAAUAAUUAAUGAAGCACUUAAAUUAGAGGCUCAAGAAGCUGUAUGUUAUGCAAAACUUAUGAUGAUGAUUAUCUAUUUGACGUAUAACAUGAAUAUAGCAGAGAAAAAUGAGAAAAUUCUUUCCGGCAGCCACCGUUUCUGUAUUGGGGCUACAUCAAUCGAGAGAGCCAAAACGACAAGUAUAUUUUAUUUUUAAUAUGCCGGUGCAGAAUAAUAACAGCCACAAGAAAUUUGAUUAAAUCAUUGUCGAUAUUAGAGAUAAAGGCAAAGCUGCCUUAAUAUUGUGUUAGAAUCUGAUUAACAGAACCUAAACUAGUUCAAUAGUCUUAAUCUAGCAUUAGUGAUCUAAGUACAGCUGCCAUAUCCAUGUAAGCCAGCUGUCCUAUAUAUACUAGUGAGCCCUUUGUAUUCUGAUUCAGAUUGAAUAAUACAAUACAGUUACACAUUCAGUUACAACUCUCUCUCUCUCUCUCUUCUCUCUCACUGUGUUCAAGGUUCUUCCACAUUCAUCAAUGACGGAAUUCUAACAGUUCAACUAUGAUUAGAAAAACCAAAUUUCACUGGUAACAAAGUGACAUAACUUUCAAUUUUUUUAUUUUCUACAAUAUUUUGUACCACUUCUUUCUAACAAUAAAAAGUAAAACUGAAAAUCACAGUUAAAGGUCAUAUCCUCACCUUAUAAUUGGUAGACGCAAGUUAUUCUCAAGCCUCUUUUUUCAAGUCUCAUGUUUUCUGGGAACCUGAAAUCACAAAGUCACAAGAAUAUUAAAGAGAACUCGAAAAAGGGAUACAAAAUCACAAGAAUAACAAAGAGAAGAUUAUAUGGUGAAUUAUAUUAAAAAGAAUUACAUGUGCAAUAAACCUCCGCGUCAACAUAUCCAAAUGCGGGGCCUACAAUUGGACCAUGCAUGAGCUUUGUGGAAGUGGAACAAACAGCGACAUCCUUCUGGUUGUGCAUGAGAGCGGUGGUCAUGCCAUUGAUCUGGUCAUGAAUGAUAAUGGAUGCCAACAAAAGAGCAUGGUUUCAGGUCACGAUGACAAUAUAUAUCACAAAAGGCAUGCAUUGUUCAAAAUAAAACACAGUACGUUAUGCAUAAUUUUUACUAUUCGAAAGGAAAUUUACUAAUGUUUGACAACUAUAAACAGAUUGGUGAAUGUUGUGCACCUGUCUACAAUAAAAUCUGAUCUCAGCUGCCAAUCAGGAAAUUAUCACAUAAGGGAUGUGAGAAAUUGUAUGCCAAUGCUCGCCUUGCUCCUUUUGGUACAGCUGCUUAAUUAAUGGACAAUCAUGAAUCGACAAAGUAGAAAGGGAGCUGGGUAGACCCUCCUCUGGCAAGCUAUCAAGACAAGGACAAUCUUCAAUAUAUAGAGAUUCAAGUGAAGUGAGGUGGAGAAGACCCUUGUAGUUUAUUUUUGUUAGGUUUGAACAAUUUGUCAACUCAAGAGAGUUAAUAGUUGAUGGCAGCAUACUCUCCUCUGGAAAGGAUUCGAAGAUUUCAAAAUCGUCACUAAGAGUGAAUUGUUUCAGAGAUUUGAGUUGGAACAAACCCCACUCCUCUAUUGAAGCCAUCAAAUUAGGGCAUCUUUCUAUCCGGAGGCUGCCUAGGUUGCAAGGCAACUGCCUCCCAAAAAACGAUUCCAGCCAUGGACAAUCGUACAACACGAGAGAAUUAAGAUUGGUGAACAAGUGUAGUGCAAAAGGCAAGGAAGAAGAGUGCCAACCUGUUAUAGUUAGAGUGCAAAGGGAAUAACAGCUACACACAUGCAAAGAGGACCAUUCCAUAUUUCGACCAAAGAAGUCUUCAACUUCCAACUCUUCAAGAAAGGCACUAUUAAUUAGAACUUUCUCUAGGGUGGAUUCAAUGACGUGAG
rnacentral:lncRNA from 1 species